GAAUUUCCCCAUUAAGACUGUUGUAUUUUAAUCGAAGGAUCCUCAAACGAUGCAAUUGGCCCAAUUCUUUAGGGAGAUGGCCAUAGAAAUGGUUUCUACUCAAGUCGAGAGAGAGUAGAAAUGAAAGAUUUCCAAGGUGUGGAGGGAUACUACCCCUAAGAUUCAUGCUUUUAAGUUUCAAAGCUAUAACUCUUUUAUGGAGGAUGCCACAAGAAACACCAAUCCAAUUGCAAACAGAGGUUGAGGCCGUCCAAUUGUUUGCCAAGACAUUUUGAGGACCGGCAAUGCGAUCCUUAAACUCGAGAAGUGCAAACUGAUCGGAGUUGAGAUUCCUGACUGUCAUACCCCAGCAAAGUCCGGAACAUGGUACGAAUAAAGCUAAAAGAAGAUGAAAGCAAGUGUUGUAGUUCAUGAUAGCAAGACGGAAUAAGCCAAGAAAAUAAAAAAAAGUAGGACAAGGGAAGUUGAGUUGAUAAAAUAGUUUGGAUGAUGAAGAAAAGCCCAGAGAGCAUGCUUUAAUAUGUUUUGAAGAAAUUUCAAAAUAAAUUUCAAAAUAAAUUUCAAAAUAAAAAUUUAAAAAGGAAAGCAAAGUUUUGAAGAAAUUUCAAAAUAAAUUUCAAGUCUUCUUCUUUAAAAAAUACGUACAAAGAGCGAAUUUUCAAAAUUUCUCCUAAAUUUUCUUCACAUUACUCCACAUAAUCCAUUAAAAAAACUUAAAAAAUAUAUUUUAUUAAUUACUAUACAUUCUUUUACUUUCAGAAUAAUAAAUUGUUUAAAAUUUGCUAUUAGUCCCUGUAAUUUAAAAGUUAAAAAAAAAAUUCAAUCCUCCUACUUUUCUAAUUUAAAAAUUCUAGUUCAAUCAAUUUUAAUUUUAAAAUCUUUGUAUAAAAGGUGUUUUUUUUUUGUGACCGAUCACACUUAACCAAUAUUUAAAAAUUAUUAAAAAAUAUUUUUUUUUGAAAUUUAAAGUGAUCUAAAAACAUAUUUUUAAGUACUUUGGACAGUCUAUUGUUGAUUUCCUUAUUAUAUUAAGUGUUUGCAAUCACUCCUAAUAUAUUGUGCUUGAGUUGUGACAAAGUCGAUCAUCAAAUUGCCAUAAUGAUCUAUUGAUGCUGAAAUUAAAGUUUUUGUUAUAUUGAUAGAGCUUGUCCUUCAACGCGUACAACGUGUUUGUUAUUUUUCUCCCUUCAAAUUGUAUGAUCUUAUUCAUUAAAUGAAUUAAUGAAUUUCCCUUUUAAAAAGAUAUAUUUUUAAAAAUUAAAUACUUUAUAAAAUAUUUAAAAAUUUGUAAGCCUUAAAACAAUCAACAAAAUAUUUUUGAAAUUUUAUAAAUAUAUUUUAAAAUUAUAGUAACGCUACAAAAUAUAUAUAUUUACUAAUUAUAUGCACCUUUUUUAUUUUUUUUCCUAACAUAUCAUUAUUUUCAACACUAUCGUAAUCCUGUUUUGAUAAUUCCCUUUCCAUACAUCCUUUUUCUACAUAGAAUUUCAAAAGAAAAUGUGAAUUAAUGUAAACGUGAGAAGACUUAAUUACAUUUAUUAGUUUAUCAAUCAAAACUUAAUUAGAAUCCAUCAAUAUUUCACACAUCAAAAACCCAAACAUAAAAUUCACUUUUAAAUUAUUUGAAGAUACAUUUGUAUUAUAGGAAAUGGAUUAAAUUAGUCUUUUAUUAUUAAAUGUAUUAUUUUAAUCUUUGUAUUAGGUAUGAAUUGUAUCUCCUAGAUUGAAGCCAAAGCUAUUCUUGAAAGACUGAAAUUAAGAUUCAGAUGUGUUGAGAUGGAAAGUGGCAACACAAUGUUGAUUGAAACUAUUUAUAACGGGUUGGCUACAAUAAGUAGUGCUGCCGAAGUAAGACAGAUUCACGAUUGGUGUUCCAAAAAUUGGGAAGUCAAAUUUCGACAUAUUCAACGAAAUGCCAAUAAAGUUGUUGAUUGCAUAGCUAAGGCAAAUGGAGGCGUAAUUGAGCAGCUGGUUAUCUUGGAAGAUCCUCUGCAUUAUGUGAGAUGCUAGCUUGAAGAAGAUAUUAGACAGUCACUAGUGACUGAUGAUAAUUUUCAUUUGGACUGAUGAGCGCUUAAUUUUCUAAGCUUAUGUUCAACAAAAAAAAAUUUAAAUACGUCUAAAUUGUAAUAGAGUUAACAUUUAGUGUUUAAAAAAUAUCUUAAAAAUUAUUUUUUUCCAAUUGCAGUUCAAUUCCACAAAUAUCGACGAUGAACCCGGACAUAAAAAUUACAGAAAAAAAAACACAUCUAUUAUCAAACCAGCAAUCCAUGUCUAAACUUAAAUUAACAAAAUUUGCCACACAACGCCCGGUACACUAUUAUAUAUCUAUACUAGAUUUAUUCUAGAUGCACAUGUUUUAUUAUAUUUAAAAAUUAAAAUGUAUGGUUGACUAAGUUUUAGUUGAGUUAGUAUUGAUAUUAUUGUCAGUGUAGGAAAAUGUGAGUUUAAUCACGCUCAAAUGUGUUUUAUCCUCCAAUUCAAGGGUUAGGAAAAGGUUAUUGAUAAUUAAAUUAUACCAACUUUUAUAAUAUUAAAAAAAAGGAUUUAUAAAUAAUAUAAGGAAAAGAAAAAAAGAGAAACAUAUUCAUAUUGAUGGGCUCUUUCAAUAUUAGACUUUUUUUUCUAUCACAAGUAAAAAUAUCAAAGGUGAUAAUAAUUAAAUUAUAAAAUUUAAAUUGAGAAAAUAGGGGAUAAAAUUUAUAAGUUUUAAAGUAUAAAGAAUGAAUUUAUAACUAACAACAUAUUUUAACCACAUAAUAAAAGUAGUUAUGGAGAGGAUCAUAUAAAAUGCAAAAAUGAAAUAAUAGAAAAGAAAUAAGUGUUGGGUAUAGUGGCAAUGUAUAUUAUACUUCUAAGGGGAGAUCAAGAUUUUAGACAAGGGAAGAAUUUUAAACCUGCUUUUUUCUCUAGAACUCAACGCAAACCUCAAAUUUAUCUUUUUAAAAGAAUUUAAAAAUAUCUAUAUAAAAGGUGAUUUUUUACCGAUCACACUUAACAAAAUUAAAAAAAAAUUGAAAUUUAAAGUGAUCUAAAAACAUAUUUUAAAGUGCUUUUGACCAUCUUGUGCUGAUUUCUUUAGUAAUUUGAUUUGUUCAAUAUAGAUUUUGGUGACUUAAAACAAAAUUAAUAAAAAAAUAUUUUAUCAGAUAUCUUUUUAAUGUUUAAUAAUAAGUUAAUUUAUAAAAUAUACUUUCAUUGGACACAGGGCCUCCAAGGCGGUGAACCACUAAUCAAAUUAAUUUUGAGAUACUUAAAUUUGUUUUCAUCAAUUAAGAAAUUAAAAAAAUUUGUUGAGACCUCAUGAUUAUGUUUUAUAAUUUCAGGCUUAUCAACUAUUUUGAAAAACAACAAAACGUCUUACACCAAAAACUAAAAAAAUAAAAACGUCGACAUUAAAUUUGUUGCCAUGCAAUCAAUUUUAAGAUGGUUUUUGGAGUUAUAUAUCACCUUAGCAUUGACUUACUUUUCUACACUUAGUCUUCUCCAACAAGUUAAAUAUUUCAAUUUUAACAACAUUGACAGGUCUUUGGGGUAGGGUCGAGCAAAACUCAAUAUAGGCUGAGUUGGCUCGGCCAAGUCGAGUCGACUUGUUCAAAUUAUUUAAAUUCGUAAUUUUUAAGGUGCAGUUAGAAUUUUUUGUUUUGAGAUGCUAAGAUUAAAAUAUUUCAGUUGCUAAAACAAAAUAUUUGUAUUUAAAAAGGCAUAAAUUAAAUAAUUAAGUUUUUCGAGUUUCCAUUUAAUCAAAGGUUAAAAGGACUAAAUUGAAGCUUUUUAUUUUUAAGAAAGGCUGAAUGACAAAUUGCCCAAAGCCAUGCCCCUAGCUAUACAACUAACUUCUCUAUGAUUAGUCCUUCGUUUGCUUUGGGUGAAAUCUUCCAACUAGCCUCAUCCUUGGUUUUACUUUCCAACAAUUAGUGUAUCACGAGUUUUGUUUUCUUUAAAAAAUAUUUGUGGAUAUUAGGAGAUAAUGAAAAUUAUUUUACUAUGAAAUUUUAAUAAAACUGGAAAAUAAGUAAUUUAUUUUAAGAGGUCGCAAUUAAACGUUAGAUUUCCAAUUUUUAAAUUUUAAUUUUUUUUUGACAAUUGCAUAAUAUUUUGAGUGUUGUAGGAAUGCCAUAAUAUAACCUUCCCUAAACAUAAUCGACUCUUGAGCAUGAUGGAUCCUAGAACUUCUCCUCUAUUCUCGUACCGCAAAUUGCUUCAAGUGUGGGUUCGAACAAUCACAAAUUAAACACAAAACCAGAAAUGAUUUAUUACUUUCAAUAGCAAGGUAAUUCUCUCUCAAUAGAAACCAAUAGAAGUGUAAUUCUUAGAAAAUAAAAUUUAUUUUUUGAAAAUAUAUUCUCACUACUUUCUAGCAGAAUAACAAUAUGUGAAACUUAUGUCUUGUGUUAAUAGCUCUACCAGUACUCUCUAUUUAUAGGGAGAGAUACGAGAAUCCUGGUUGAAUUAGUAAAACACGAAUAAUAUUUAUUUCAUAGAAAACAAUAUUCCACCCUAAGUAGAUCAAGUUUGUAUGACGCAUGGAUCAAAGCUCAAUCUAGGAGGAAAAAAAUAAAGGAAUUUUCUUUGUAAAGAAAAUUUGAGAUUGUACUAUUUUCAAAGUUAUAAAUAAAAUUAUACGCCAAAUUUUUAAGUCAAUUUCAACUCCAAUUUUGUAUGCACAAAUUUCUAGUACACUUGGUGGGACAUUCUUUGACUUUUAUCUAUUCUCUCAAAAAGUUAAAGUUCAAAGUUACAUUAAACUCAAAGAAGAUAAUCAUUAGUAAACCACCUCACAAGCCUGCUCAAACUAAUCCUACAACUCAUUCCACUUCAUCAUCAAACACCAAUGUUCUUGCUUAUCCUUAUGGAAUUAAACAGUCUCAUUUUCUGCAUUUUGGGUACACACCUGGUUUUAUUUGAUGCUAAAACAGUCCCCGAGCACUCCAAAGCCUAUAAUUGAACAAAUAAUACUAAUUUAAUCUUACAUAACAUGAUCCCAAAUUGAACUUGUAUCGAGGUUUUAACCCAUAAGUGACUAAACCUUACCUUCAACCGAGUGAACAGUAAUUCCCACACAAACUAAGACUCCGAUUGAAGAUUACGAGCCAUUGAAUCCUCCCCUAAUUGGCAUAAACAAAACACUUCAAAAGAAAGUCAACAAAUGGAGACAAAUCACUUAUCUAAAACUUACCGAACGAUCACAGACAAACGUGAAGCGACACGAGGCAGAGUGGGAAAAGAAAAAUCAAGAGGAUGAAGGGUGAAAGAGAGCAGAAAUUCGGUAGCAAUGAAGAGAAAAACGGCAAGAAAGUGGAGGGAUUUUGGGGAAAGUAAAAAAAAAGAUGAAUAGAAUAUUUGAUAACUACCCCAAUCCCUUAUUUCUCUCUAUCAAACUCCCCACUAAAUCCACUACUCAAAUUUUUAGUCCAUCUCAAACUCUCCUGGACGCACGAGCAAAAAAUAAUGCCCAUGCCAAAAUUUAAACAAAAGACCUCCUUCACACCAACACUCCACUUAUCCACCAGACCAAUAGGCUCAUUCUUUUAAUUAUUUUCCAACUUUUACUUAAAAGCCUACUGACCAAAGAUAGGGCUUAUUCAUAAAAAUACCAAAUUUUGCCCAAGACCUGGCUUGAACUUGGGACCUCCCAAACACACCCAGAACACAUAACCACUAAAGCAGACAUAAAUUUUGUGUCACACAUUCACAAUACCCAAAAUUAAAAUUUUAGGGCGUUACAAAAACACAUUAAAUAAUAUCGCAUAAAAUAAUCACAGUUAGAUAACAGUUCAGAAUGUCGAUUUUACAAUUUAACCACCAAUAGUAUCACAGUAUUCACAGUUGUAAUUUCAGAAUAUCAAAUUUCCACAUGAUUCACAAUAUUCACACAUAUAUAAAUAUAUCAUAAUAGAAUUCCAGAUUUGUAUGCACAUGAUUUAGAAGAUGCCAUACAAUUUUGGUUUUUAACAGAAUAAAUCCUACCCCACGUUACAUACCAUAAUGGGAGUUCCCCUAAACUCCCUUCUCCAACACACUAGGUUAUGGAUAAACCACUAUUGGUUCACAAAUAAUAACUGUCAUUUGGCUGUGGACACACAGCAAGUCCCCACAAUUGGAUUCUAGAUUUGGUUGUGGAUUCACAGCAAAAAAAUCCUACAAAUGAAGCCUGCUUUUGCCUGUAGAUUAUACAACAUAUACCCGCAGUUGGAAUCUGUCUUUGGCUGUGGAUGCAGUGUAACACCGCAAACUCGACCUGGACAUUAUGGCUGAAUCUUGAUGAUUUACUUUAACUCGCUAGAAAACCCACGAAUUUACUUUAAAAUCAUGUGGUUAAACUAGUGUUCACUUUGAUAAAUUGUUUUCCAGUUUUAGAGAAAUUUCUUGUUAAAACUGUUACUUUAUUACAAUAAAACAUUAAAGUAAUUGUAUCAUUUUGUAGUGGAAUCUACUAAGCUAUAAGGUUUUGAAAAUCGUGAUUUAGUUUGCAACAAAUCAUUUUGCAAAUAGAAAUUUAAUACUACUUAAUUUGGAAAAUCACGCUAAAACGAAAGCAAAGUCCAAAAUAAUUUACGGUUUGAAAUUCUAAAAAGCCCAAAUUAGACAUAAAGUCUAUUUAAACCAAUUUAUUGAAAGUGUAACACCCUAAACCCGGCCUAUAUGUUAUGGCCAAAUCUAGAUGUGUUACGAAAAAAAGUUUAUAAAAUGACUUCCUUGUUAUUGGCAAACCAUCGUAACCAUUAUUACUUAGUAUAUCUGAUUUGUUUGGAAAACUUAUUGAUAUACUUAUUUGAUUUAAAAUCGUUGCUCGCUUAUGCCUUUUUAUUAAACCAAAUAUUUUGCAGCGGAGUUUCUUUACAACAUCAUAUUUUGGAAAAUCAAAUUGUUUCUUGAAAAUCGUUAUUUUAGAAAAGUUUUCAUUUUCAGAAAAAUUAUUUUAUCAGUUGUUAUGCUGAGAAAACAAAAUAAAAUCCAAAACCAAAAAUAAUCGCAAAAAGUCUAGAGAGUCCCAAAAUGACAAUACUCUUAAAACUAGACAAGCUUAAACUAAUUUUAAAAGAAUGAAAUUUUACAGAAAUGUGGACACCACUGAGCUUCCGUCGCACCGACCCACCUAAAUCUGAGGGUUACUUGAACAGAACAAACAAACAGAGAGUGAGUUUUGAAACUUAGUGUCUAACGCAUAUAUAAACAAAAAUUCAGAAUCAAUCUCAUGCAGAACAGAUACAAGUGUAAACCUUUUAUAAAAUUAGAAUUGUACAGAUACAAAUAUGCAACAUCCUACCCUCAUCCUCUACACACCAACUCCGACCAUCCUAUCACACCACGUGGGGUAUAAAAUACCCAUCCAGCCCUACACACCGUAUAGUGUUUAUAUGACACUUUUUGGAAUAAUCGCAGCAGAGUUGCCAGUAUAUAUGCGAGAUAUCACCUCACAUAGAACACUUCCUCCUCAUAAUACAAAUCCCGCCUCAUAGCUAGAUACAGACAAAAUAUGAUGUAAAAUAAAUUAACAGAUACUAGAGUUAACAUAUCACGCGUGAGCGUAUAAUAGAUAUUACACAUGCUUAUGCAUAACAAAAUAGAUCAUACAUAUUGUAUUCCAUAAUACUCAUAUAAAUGUUAUUUACGUCAAUCUCAAUCUAACAGAGUAGCAGAUUUCAUGCUUUAACGCUUAUACCACACAUAUAGACCCUAUAGAAGGCCCACAGUCGAUCGAGACAACAUGUAUGUCGCUAGGGAAAAAAUUUGUAAUUUGGGCCCAUAUACAUGUAUGAGCCCACACACCCAAAAUGGCCUUGCCCAUGUGGCUCACCAACCUAGCACUCAGCCCAUACGGUCCAAAAUGGCCUAGGUCGUGUGUCACACACAGCCGCAUGUUGCACACAGCCUACCACAUAGCCAGUCACAAAACUGUUUGGAGUUGAAAAGCCCAAUUUUUGGCUUUCGUCAAUCAUCAUUUUCUUACGUUUUCAUUACACACCUGGUUUGAUUCUGACGCAAAAGCAACCCUAUGUCCACCGAAACCUAAAAAUAGCAUUCCAACGCCCAAUUUCAGUGAACAUUUACAAAACUCAAACAAAAACUAUCCAAAAACAUAGCCUCACAAUAGCAUCCAACGCACUCGCACACUUAUCGUCAACAAAUAGGAAACACCCAACACUCAAUUCGUUGGCGGAGCACCAAUUAUGAUAAUGCAAAAAUUUUAUGGAUUCUCAACACUAUCGAUCCGAAUGUAAGAUUGAUGCUUUCCAAUUAUGAUAAUGCGAAAAUUUUGUGGGAUGGUUUACAUGAAUUUUUUUUGUUGUCAACGAUCAACGUAUUCAAUAAUUAAAAUAAAAUAUUAGUCGUUUUUAGAAAACCAAGACUAUGAGUGUUGUAGUUUAUUUCAGUAAAUUAAAGGUUUUGUGGGAUGAACUAGAUAAUCAUGAACCAUUGAUUUGUUGCAAGUGUGGACAAUGUUUAUGUAACUUAGGGAAGGCGCAUGAACAAUGUCGUGAGCAUGAUUGACUUCAUCAAUUACUUCUUGCUCUCUAUUGUAAUUGUUAUGCUCAAACUAGGUUUACACUGUUUUACCAAGAUCCUUUGCCUUCCUUAAAUCAGGCAUUCCAACAAAUUACUUAGGAGGAACAUGUACGUGGAAUUACACUGAUUAAGGAAGAGAAGUCUGAUAUUUUAGGCUUUGCUAUGCGUACAGAGGGUCAUAACAAAGGCCGAGCUAAUUGUAUUGAUAAGUCAACCUUGUUGUGCACUCAUUGCCAUCGCAAAAGGCAUGAGAUGGCUACCCAUUUUGAAUUACAUAGCCACUUGGAUUGGCGGCUUAAGAAGUAUGGGAAGCCAGAGAAGAAAAGUGAUGAUCGUGGUGGUAAGACAAGUGCCACAUCUUCCACGUAAGUGUUUUAUUUCAAAGGAUCACAAUUAAACAUUAGAUUUCUCAUUUUUAAUUUUUUUAUUUUUUUAACAGCUACGUAAUUAACGAGUACCAAUUUUGGGUGUUGUAGGGGUUCUAUAACUUUCCCUAUAUGUAAUCGACUCUUGCACCCACUUUUUUUUCUCUAGAAUUCAAUGCAAACCUUAGAUUUAUCUUUUUAAAAGAAUUUUAAAAUCUCUUUAUAAAAGACGAUUUUUUUAGGUGACCAAUCACACUUAAGAAAAACAAAUCGGUGGCAACUCCUUUCUAAUAAAUGUAAAAAACUUUUUAAACAAAAUAAGGUUGAAAUAAUCUAGUUGUCGUUAUACUUUGAUAAAAUUUUAGAUUUAGUCCUUAUACUUAAAAGGUUAAAAAUUAAGUCUUGUUUUUAUUUAAAAAUCUUAGUCCUAUCGUUAAUAUUGUUUUUUUUUGUCAAAAUUUGUCAAGUUGACAUAUUAAUUAGGUUUCUCUUAUAUAUCGUGGUAUAUGACUAACACAAAAUAAACAAGUUGACAAAAUCUACAAAAAAUAUCAAAGAUGAUAAUAGUUUAAUUAAAAUUUUUAAAUUAAAAAAGUAAGGGAUUAAAUUUAUAACUUUUAAAGUACAAUGAAUGAAAUUAUUGAAAUACAAGAACUAACAACAUAUUUUAAAAUAUUACUAGUAAAUUAUAUAUCUACAACAAGAAUUGUAACCUCUUAUAUUAUAUUCUUGUAUCUAUUUUUGCAUCUUUCAUUAUAAUAUGAUUUAUUAAUUUUAAUAUUUUUAUAGAAUAAUAUGCUUUAAAUAGUUUUUUGUAUAAUUUAUAAAAAUUAUAAUAAACUUACAAAAUAAUUUAAUGAUAUUUAAUUAUUAACCAAAAAAAAUGAUAUCAUAUAUAUUAUGUAUAUAUUAAGAUUCCGAAUCAUUAAUUAUAUAUCUACGCAUUAUAAUAAAUUCAUCUUUCAAAAUUUUCCUUAUAAUUAAAGCAUAAAUUAUAUUUAUAAUAUUAUAAAUAUAUUUUAUCAUAAAUAUUCUUUCAAAUAUUUUUUAAUGUUUAAUAAUAAGUUAAUUUAUAAAAUAUUUUUUCAAUAAAUUAAUGUGAUGAGAUCGUUAGGUGCUUGGAUUUGGUGAAGGGGGAUGAAGAGAAAAGGGAUGGAAGUGAAUAAAAAUGUUGAGAAAUCGAAAGGGUUAGCGAGGGAAGCCGCCAUGAAAGGUGGUUCAAUGGAUAUGAACCAUCAAGCUUUUGUGGAUGAUGUUACUCAAGGUUGUUGCAAGUAAAUUAAAAAAUAUUUUUUUAAAUUAUUUUUUUGUUAAAAAACAUUUUUUAUUUUUUAUGUGGCAUGCCACAUUAUCAUAGUAUCAUGUGACAACUUCUGGUGAUUUCUGUCUGUAACAUUAGUCAAAUCAACAGUUAAAUCGUUCAACUCACAGUUUUUGUUAAAUGAAGAGGUCAAUUGGUUUUUUUGGAAUCAUUGAGUACUCAAUUGGUGCACUUUUAUCAUAAAGGCUAAAUUAAUUUUUUUAAUUUGUUAUUGUUGAGGGCUAUAACAAUAAAAAAAUUAAUGUAAAAUGAAAAAAAUGUUAGAGCUAAAUUUGUCAUUAUAACUAAAAUGUAAAACCAAAAUUUUUUGAAAAAUGAAAAAAAUGGAAAAUCACAAAUUCUAUCACUUAUGUUUGCUUAAAAUUAUAGUUUUGGUCACCAAUCUUUUGAAGUAAAUAUAUGGUCACCAAUAACUCACCUUAAAGUUAUACCCCUACGCAAGAAAGGAUUAAAUGACAUUGGAAUACCAUAAAACUUGUAUCUUUUUUUAUUCAUCUAAUACCAUUUUAACAUUUUCAUUUUAAAAAAUUGACAUAUCAUUUUGAAUUUGAUCUUUUUCAUGGUAUCUCAAAUUCAUUUAAUCUUUCCCUCUCUAAAAAAGCUAAUGUAACACAUUAAUGACAUCAUUUCAAACAAAGUUUUAGGUCAAAUUAUUCAUCUAGUCCUUGUAAUUGUUUUUAUAGGUGAAUUUCAUUAUUAUUCUUUUAUUUUCUUAGGCUUAAAUACACAUUUACCCCUAAUUUUAUCCCAUUCUCCUUAAUUGGUAUUUAUGGUUUAGAAAAUUUUAUAAAUAUAUUAUUUUUUAAGAAAUUAUAAGAAGAUUACAAAAAUUCCAAAAUAAUAUAAAAAAGCCAAGGAAAACCUAGAAAUUCAAAAAAAAAAAAAAAACGUCGACAUUGAAUUUGCUGUUUCACAUUCAAUUUUUGGAGAAGUAGAAUUUUCUAACUUAUUUUCCAUCAACUUGACUUCAAUUUUCAAUCACAAUCAAUUGCAUUCAAGAGCACCACAUCUGUUUGGAUGAAACAAACCUCUCAAUUUUAAGAUAAACGGGUCUUUAGGGUUAUAAAUUGAGGGCCUUUUCCACAAUUGCGGGUGAUUCGUUGAUAAUAACCUCAACAUUUCUGUAUCACAUUUCAAUUUUUAAUUUUUAGAGAGAUGAUUGGGUUACAAGACUGGUUUGAAGUGAAGAUAUUUCAAAAGAAGAUCGAAUACUCUACCAAUAGUCAUAAUUUAAAAUUCAGGUUAUGUUUCAUUUCAGCUAAGUUAAAUGUUAAGAUUGAGGUUAAACCUUUUAGAGGUUGCUCACAAAAGGAUCAAACCUUUAUAAAAUUGCCUAAAUGAAGGUUAAACCUUUUAAAAUAGACAAAUAAGGGCCUAACCUUUUAAAAGGUGUUCAAAUAAGGGUUUCUCAAACGUUGUAUAUCAGGUUAUGUGUUUUACUCUAAACACAUCGACAUUUACCUAUUUUUUCUAUAAAUUUGGUUGAAGUGCAUGAAAAAUCCUUAUUUGAGCACUUUUGUAAAGGUUAAUCUCUUAUUUGACCAUUUUGAAAGGUUUGAUCCUUAUAUAAGUAACCUCUAAAAGAUUGAGCACUAAUUUGACAAGUUUGAGAAAUAUCUAAAUUUGUUUUCAUGAAUCAAGAAAUUAAAAAAGAAAUGUUGAGAAAUAUUUUAGAGAUUCUUAGCUUUGACAAGUUCCCUCCACCAUCUCCCUGCCUCCAGUCCCACCUCUUCUCUUAUGCUCCUUCCAGCUUCUUGCCUUUUGUGUGUUGAAAAUUCAAAGGAACAAAAUAUCAACCUACAUCAUAAGGCACGAUCGCCAGAACUUUACUUUCUAGCCUGUCGAUCCGAUCCAAUCCAAUGAAAGAAGAACAAGGAGUCUUAAGAUCUGUCAACUUUAUUUCAUUUUCAUUUUCUUUGUCAUUUUCUAUGUUUCAUGUCGAAUACAAUGAAAGAAGAACAUAGAAAAAUGUGGCCUAUUUAUUUCCCAAUCAUCAUGAAAUUACUUGCCAUUGACUUAGAAUUUUCUCACCAAUUUUCAAGCAAUCUGACAUGAUUUCUCAAUCACAAUUAAUUGAAUUCAAGAUCUUUUUAGAUGACACAAACAUUUCAAUUUUAACACAAACCAAUAUUUCGGUUAUACUUCAGUGCUUGACAAGCACUUUCACAUUUGUGGGAUAAGAACUCUUAACAUUUUAGGAUCACAUUUAAUUCAAUUGCAUUUAAGACCUCAUGGUUUUAUUCUAUAAUUUCAGUCUUAUCAGCCUUUUCGGAAACAAUAAAACGUCGACAUUAAAUUUGUUGUUGAUGCAUUCAAUUUUUUGAGGGGUCUUUGGAGUUAUAUGUGACUUUAGCAUUGACUGACUUUUUUAUAAUUUAUCUUUUAUAAUAAGGUAAAUAUAUUAAUUUUAAUAACAUCGACAUGUUUUUUAGUAGGGUCGAGCAAAACCCAAUUAAAAUCGAUGAUAUUGGCUUAGUUGACUCGGUCAAGUCCAUUAGAUUGAUAAAAUCAUUUUUAAAAUCAGUUAUAAUGGAUAAAGGUAAUUAAUUAUCGAGUAAUGAAAUACAUAAUCAAAUCAAUUGAUUUUGUUAGAAACUAAAAGAAAAAGGGCUAAGCUGAAAAUUGAUUGCCCUUUAUUAAAAUUAACGAAUCUGUCUUUUACGUAUUAGAUAAUAUGAACAUCGCAUAUAUAAUAAGAAAAAUUACGUAUGAUUAUUUAUUAUCAUAAAAGGUUAGUUUAAAUUUAAAGUAAUCUAAUAUGUUUAUUGAACUUCAACUAUUAAAUAAAGUAUAAGCUAAAUAAGUAUAAAUAUUCUAGAAACCAUUUCUAACUGAUGAUAGGCUAAUUCGAUUAAUUUAUAAAAACUAGAUAGUAGGGUUAUAGUCCUCAAACUACACCUAAUUUAAUAACAUUUAUAUUUUUUUUAGCCUUAAACAUUUAUAGUUUUUGUUAAUUUGGUCCUUACUCUUUAAAAUUACAUAAAAAUUGCAAAAAAAUUAAAAAUUAAUUUUUAUCAUGAUUUUAAUAACAUUUAUAUUUUUUUUGUGGUUUGGUAACUUAUCAACUUGACUCUUACUUGUAACCAACUUUUCUAACCUUUUUCGUACCCUUAACCUAAGUCCCGUUACAAUUUCUAAAGACCUCUUGAUUGGUGUAUCAUCUCGAUUUGUUUUUAUAGUGGUGGAGAUUUGUUUUUUGUAGUGGCAUGAUUGCCAGAACUUUACUUUCUAUCCUGUCGAUCCGAUCCAAUGAAAGAAUAACAAAGAGUCUUAAGAUCUGUCAACUUUAUUUCAUUUUCAUUUUCUUUGUCAUUUUCUAUGUUUCUUGUCACAUACAAUGAAAGAAGAACAUAGAAAAAUGUUGCCUAUUUAUUUCCCAAUCAUCAUUCUAACAGGCCGAAUUAGCCCAGGCCCAAACAUUAAUAAAAUGUCCAGAUUACAAAAUAACCAACCAAAAAUUAAAAGCCCAAAAUAAUAAAAUAAAACCCAUUACAUUAACCCAAAACUCCAGCCCAAUUACAUUGAAGCCCAAAAAAAUAGUUUUUAGAAACCCCUAGGGUUUCUGGAACAAUCCGCGCCGCUCCUCCAUCCGCUUCUCCACGCACGCUGCACCUUUCCACGUGCGCCUCCAGCUGGCAGUGUACCUCCAAUGCAACAAACAAAGCAACAAGCAGCAAAAGAAAUGGAAAAACAACAAAAAAAAAAAGAAAGGAGCAACAAUGUAUAACAGAUUGAUAACAAAUAAUAGAAAAAAUAGCAGUAAAUAGGAAAAAAAAUUAAAAAAUAAUGAGGGUAAUUUCAUUUUUUUCUCUGUUUUGGCUAUAAAGAGAGCCGGUCAAAAUCUCUAAAGGGGGAUUUAGAAAUCAAUCAGAAAACAAGUAUUUUGUACCAACAAUUAGAGAAAAAAAAUACAAAAAUAGGGAUUGAAGGUUUUUUUUUCUUUCGUUUCGAUUUAUUUUAAAAUAGCAUAGAAAAUAAAAAGAAGGCUUACCUUGCGACGCCUUCAGAUCCUCUCGAAAAGGGGCUAAAAGGCCCUAUGUGGCACAGAUUUGACCACUGUUCACGGUGGAACCGCAGCGGAGGCGCAGAGGAUUGGCAUCAAUUUAGGCAGGGUUUGAAACCCUAGCAGAGAAAAAAUUAGGGUUGAUAGAUUUUUUUUAAAAAAAUGGCAAAAUGUUGUUUUAAAAAAUUUUGUUUUAAAAAAAAUUGUUGCUUUUAUAAAGGGUGUAAAACGGCGUCGUUUAGGGCAUGUUUCGAUGGCCCCAAAACGGCGCCUUAUAAGGCAACCCCCGACGACCCGACCUGCUCCAUGGGGGAUCCGCGUGGUUUUUGUUAAAUGGGUUAUGUCUAACCCUGGCCCUUCUACUUUUUAUACUUGUUUUAAUUUGAUCCUCUUUUUAUUUAUUUUUAUUUCUUUAAAUUAAGCCUGAUAAUUUUUUUCCAUUACAUUUUAAUCCUUAAUGAAACGGCGCGUUUUAGAGGAGAAGGGAAAAUUACCCUUCUAGUCCCUUCUUGUUAUUCGAGUGUUCAGAAGGGUCCUUUUUUGUUUAUUUUUUAUUUGCCCCAAAAUUUUGUUUUAAAGCUUAAUUUAGUCCUAUUUUGUUAUUUUAGCUAUUUUAUUAUUAGAUUAAUUAAUUUAAUAUUAUUAUUACUGCUAUUAUUUUACCCCUAUUAUUUAUAUAUUUAUUAUUAUAACUAUAUCAUUAAAUCAAUUAGUUUUUACAUUAUUAUUUCCAUUCUGUUUUUUAUUUACUUACUUAAAUACUUUAAAUGCAUUUAUUUUAUUUCUUAUUUUUUUAUGAAAUUUCAAAACUUUAGACUAUUUUUUUGUUACUAUAACCCUAAUUUCAUUCAUUUUAUAAUAGUUUUUUUUUAAAAUAUUUCUUAGAUUAAUUCCCUCGAUGUUAUUUUGUAUAUUUAUUUAUCUUUUUAAAUUUUCGAUAUUGUCUUAUUGUAUUAUUGUUGUUACUAUCAUUAUUCAUUAUUAUUGUUGAUUUUAUUCUUCUUUGAUUAAUGUUUAUGUUAGAGUAAUAGGUGUUAUGUGAUCAUUGUUAUUAUAUGUUAUAAUUUGUUGACACUCGUAUUGUAGUCAUUCGUCAGCUUAAUAUUUUGAGUAACAUUUUAAAUAUUACAUUAAUUUUGACCCAAAUGCAUAAUUUUUUAAUAAGUAAUAUUUCGUAUUGUGGAAUUUGAGAGAUCAUUCCCUAACUUACGGGGUCUCGAUUUUUUUGAUAAAUCUGAAUAUAAGAACUAUUUUAAAAAAAUACGUUUUAAAAUUAUCUCGGGAAUUUAAAAAGAAGCGUGUUCUAACUUACGGAAUAUGAUCUUUUUUUAAAAAUCGAGAUAAUCAAAUAUCUUUCAAAUAAAUAAACUUUUCGUGUUUAUUCUCGUUUUAGGAUUUAAGAUAUUGUGUCCUAACUCACGGGACACAAUUCUUUUUCUCGAUUAACGUGAAAUACGCCCUUUUUAAUUUUAUCUUUUUAAGUGAUUUUAACAAAAGGAUUGUAUUUUAAAUCUCUUCAAAAUUUUCAAUUUUUCGACAUUGAGACAUUAACUAAUCAAUUAGGUACCAAUUUUGGGCGUUACAAGGGUGUUAACCCUUCCUUGUACAUAACCGACUCCCGAACCUAUUUUUCUGAAUAUUAUAGGCCAAAAUUGUUUUAAUAAAUUAAACCCUUAAGAGGUGACUCGAUCACAGCUCAUAAAAAUUAUCGGUGGCGACCCUUGUUUUAAAAAAGGUGGUUUCAACAGCUUGGCGACUCCGCUGGGGACAAAAAUAAGAGUCAAGCCGCGAGUUGAUUAUUUCUUAUCUUUUUGUCAGAAAUUGUGAAUUCGAUUUAAAUUUAUGAUCUUUUCAUUGCAUUUUAUGGUCUGCAUCAUUUUUAUAUGCUUGCUUUACUACUUCGAGUCUUUUAAUCUUCGCAUAUUGUAUUGCAUAACCGUUCGGUUAUACCCUUUUAAGCGGGAGUGAGAAAUUAUUCUUUCGUGAGGUUUUCACCUUCGUAUAGGAUAGUGGAUUACUUUCAGGAUACAUCCAUACCUAUGUCUUCGUGAGAUUCUCAUCUCCGUAUAGUCAUAGGGAAAUGUAUUCCCCUGAACUGAACUCAGUCCGUAUGAGCCUAUAAUGGGUGAGGAUUGAGGAAUCUGCUGGUUCAGGUACCCUUUCUUUAGAACUAAACCGCAUGUAGUGAGCCCUAAGAGCAUACCCUAGGUAGAACCACUCCAAACCCCUAGUGGUCACCCAAAUAGGUGCUCUAUUUAUUUUUGCUUGCUUGUUUUUGCCUUGUACUAACCUAUUUGUUAUGGUUAUGAGUGCAUUGCAUUUUUAUCAUAAAAAAGAUGUGUUGAUUCACGUUCAGUUGCUAAAUAGAGAGCUUGUCAUGGAAAACGAAUUUCUUGAUAAAGUGGAAGACAAUGCGGUUGUCCGGAUAUGGUCCAAGAAAAUGUGAAGAAAGAAGGGUGAUAGUCUAAUGGAGGACUACACGACCUUGCUUUGUUGCCUGAUGAUUCAAGUUGACAAAGAUUAUUCGAGAGUCUUCAAUGUCCCGACCUUUUUAAAGAAGCUAACGAGCGUCACGAGGAUGAGCGAGUAAUGAGUUGCGGCCCGGAUCAAGCAAAAAAAAGAUAGAGGAGACACCCUUUUUGAAGAGUUCACGAGAUUUAUCUUAACAUCUAGACGAAGAAAAAGAUCAAUCUCUUUGCCUAGAGUAUGAGGGCAAAGCCGUAUAUAUCCGCUUUAUGUAAAUAAAUUUGUUUUCUAGUAAAGUUUUUCUAAUAGGAUUGAAUCAGAAUCAACGUCUCUUUUUGCAUUCAUUCCAUUCAUCUGCAUUGCAUUUCAUUGCAUCUAGAAUUUCACAAAAGGACCCUAAUUAAUCGAAAUUGUUAUAGCUACCUUGAAAAACUAACGAAAAUUUACCAAUUAAAUAUUCCUAUGGUACCCAUUGCAAAACUAAAGUAAUGGAUCAAAUAUUAGAAAGAUUAGAACAAAUGCUGAAGGAUAAACAUAACUGCUUUGGCUUAGGGUACAAGCCAGAUACAAGACAAAGAAGAAAUAGGAAAGGAGAACACGUUUGAGCGGGGAUGAGGUCAAAUGGGAGGGAUUAUUCAUCCCAGGCGAAGAAUGCCAAGAGAAGAAAAUAUUGAAAACAUGUUGGGAAACGUUCACAUCAAUGCCAUAUACGAAGAAGCAAUUGAAGGAGUGACCUUGUUAGAUAUCCGCCCUUAUGAACCUAAGAGUGUGCUAAACAAUUGGACUGCAGAAGAAAUUCUUGUAGUGUUUAGAGCUUACUCAUAGUAAUGUUCAGAACACACUUGUUGCUUUUAGCCUAGAAGUGAUAAGAAUCCCUCUGUGAAAUAGGCUCAUGUAUAAACAUCAUUAUUUUAAUGAAGUACAUCUUUGCAUUCAUUUUGAGCAAAUAUUCUUUUAUUCUUUUCAUACGAGUAAUUAUUUUGGAUUCUUUAAUUCUUUUGGGAUUUUCUUCCAAAAUCAUUCUUUUAUUACAUCCAUAAUCAUACUGUACAAAUAAUGUAAUAGCCUGAAUUUUCAGUGGUGUCGGAAUGGUGAUUCAAGAUCACUAAGUCUGACAAAUGAGUAGAAAAUAUUAUUAAUUUAGUAAGAAUAAGUAAAUGUGAAGUUAGGAAAAUUUUUGAAAUAGUGAAUAGUGUACUAGGAAUAAAUAUUAAAAUAAUUAAAAUAAAAAAUGAGGUAUCGAGACCUCGAAGAUUUUAAACCAAGCCAUAAGUACUUUUAGAAGUAUUUUUAGAGUGUCAUUGAGUUGGUAUUAAAGUUUCGUUAGAAAAUUUUAACGCUCGGAUAGUUAAUUAACCAAAAAGGACUAAAUUGAAAAUAGUGUAAAAUUUGUUAAAUUGUGAUUAAAUAGCUUAAGUGAUUAAAAAGGAGGGAUUUAAAAGGCAAUUAGGCCCAAAUUAUAUGGGCUGGACGGUUGGGUAAGAAAAAUCAGCAGAAUGUAAGGAGAAACAGGGGCAAAAUUGGAAACUUAACAAAUUAAACAUAUAAAACAAAGACAAAAGUGAAAAAUCUAGAGAUCUGCUCACAAUUUAUCAGCAAAAAUGCCAUAGGAGGUCUGAAAGAAGCUGGUUUUUCAUAUAUUUGAAUCAUGUAAGUUUAAUUCUUGAUUAUUUCUUCUAAUUUUUGUGAUUUUGAUACUUUUACAAUUAGGUCCAACUAAUUAUUUCAUUAGUUUUUGAUUUCAUGGCUGAUUUUGAAAGUUACCAUUGAUGAGUGUUGGAUUUUUAUGAUGAAUAAACAUGGAAUUAAAGCUUUAAUUUUGUUAUAUGAUGAUUUUAUUAAGUAAUUUUGAUAGAAAUUGAUUUUUGGGACCUAAUUGUGAAAAAGUUUGGAAUUAGGGUUUGGUGUUGCGGUUUUGAAUAUGAAAGUCUAUGUAGUAGUCUAAAAUAGUUGGAAAAGGUGUUAAUUGAGAAAAAUUAGAUCAAUUGAGGGGUUAAUUGAGUAGGACCAAAUUGUAAAAACUGUAAAGUUUGAGGUAAAAGUGUAAUUUCGAAAAUUUAAGGGCAUAAAUUGUGAAGUGAAUUAGAAUAGAAUUAUAUGCUGAUGAAUGAAUAAAUUUGUAUUUUAGAUCGAGAACCCGAAGCAAGCCGAGGAAAAGAAAAAGUAGUUGAUUAGUCCCUGAACUUUUACAAAUUCUGCAAAUCGACCCAGGUAAGUUCAUAUGGCUGAAAUUUAAUGAUUAAAUGUUAAUUUCAUGAAUUAUGUAAUGUAUGAUGAAAUGUAUUUAGUGUUGAAAUGAGAGUAAAAUAAAAAUGCGAAAAUCGAAUAAAUGAUCAAAUUAAGCGGAACGCCGGAUUUGAGUACUUCUGAUCAAGAGACAAAGUGAUAAGUGGUAGCUUUAGCUACACUUAUCUGAUCAAGUGAAAAAGUGAUAAGUGCUACACUUAUCUGAUCAAGAGACAAAGUGAUAAGUGGUAGCUUUAGCUCACUUAUCUGAUCAAGUGAAAAAGUGAUAAGUGCUAUACUUAUCUGAUCAAGUGACAAAGUGAUAAGUGGUAGCUUAGCUACACUUAUCUGAUCAGGGCCAAAUGAUAAGUGAUCAUACGUAAGACCAUAGUUAUACUAUGGCCAAGUGAAAGUGAAGUACUCAAUUUUCCGUAACCGUUCCUUAAUUUUGAUCAAGGAUGGUAAGUGACAAAUAGGCCCAAAGAAAUUAUGGUAAAAGAAUAAGUAGUAGUGAGUUUAUACCAAGGAACUCUCCAAAGAUUGUGGUUGACAAGUAAACUUAGUAAUGGUGUAUAUUGUAUAAGUGUACAAAUGUUUGGUAAGAUUUAUGUUUGUGCCUAUGAACUUACUAAGCUUUUCUAUAAGCUUACAUGUGUGUGUUUAUUGUUUUUCUAGAUUAACGUAUUUAUACAUUCGGAGGAUCGGAUCUACUUCGAGAAUCACACUAUCCAGAUAUACUCCGGUAGAUUUUGUUAAACAACUUUUUGGAUUUAUAUGGCAUGUACAUAGAAUUGAAGUAAAAAGUAAUAGAAUGAAUGACUGAGUAUGCAAAGUAAAUUUGAAUGUGAUGGUUGUGUUAGAUAUUGAAAAAUACAUGUUUUUAGUUUGAAAUGGUUGAUUGGCUGAACUUCGUUAGUAUUCAAGUGAAGUAGUUGAAAUACUGGAAUUGGUUGUGAUUUGAAAUUUGCAGGGAAGGUUAGAUAAAUAUAAAGGGGUUAUAUUGAUUUUUUUUAAAAAUUUCAAUGGAAUAAUUUUUGGACAGCAGCAUUGAUGUAACUUUUAAAAAUCACCAAAAAUAGUGGAAAUAGAAUUAGAAGUUGAAUGAGAUAUGAAAUUAAAUCUGAAUGAGUCUAAUUUCACAUGAAAGAAGUAGAAUAAGAAAAAGAGUUAUAUAUUUUUAGAUAUUUGAAUUUUAGUGAAACAGGGCAAGAAUGUUUUUGAAGUCCCCUGUUCUGACUUUAGAAAUUUAGUAAAAAUUGUACAAAAGGAAUUAUGAAUUAUAAUUUAUAUGUUUAAAUUCCGUAAUGAGUAUAUUUUAAGUAGAAAUAAUUGGAACCACCAUAUGAAGUCUUUGCAAUGAGAUAAUUGAAUUUUAGCGACAAGAGGUCAGGAUAGUCAAUUAGUGAAAUAGGGGAGACUUCAACUAAUAAACUGUAUUAAUUUGCUAAACCAAAAAUUCUGAAAAAUUUAUGGUGAAUAUACAUAUGAGUCUAGUUUGAGGGAAAAUUUACGGAUCUAAAUUUUUAGUUUCGUAUCUUGAGUUAUAAUUAUUUUAGUGACUACUGCGCAUGUGGACAGCUUUGUUGUGAAUGGUGAAAUUAAUUUUUAAAGUAAAUUUUUAUGCCCCGAACUUUUAAGUUCAGUCAAGUAACGCCUUAUGCUCGACUCCGGCAACCGUCUUGGGUAAGGGGUGUUAUAAAUAAUUAUUCUUAAAUUCAUACAUUCUUUGUAUAUUAUUUUGUACCUACAAUAGGUCCCUAGAUAUUAACAACAUGAGUGACGUUGCUACAGACUCAGAAUUUCCUUUUAAACAAGACAUGUGUUUAGAGGGAUCCCAUGGCUUUGAAGAUGACGUAGACUGUGGCUUAUCUCUGAAUUUGUUAAGGAUGGUAAAACAAGAGGAGAAGCAAAUCCUACCUCACAAGGAAUCAAUGGAAAUUGUGAGCUCAGAAGGGGGAAAAGAGGUGAAGAUUGAGACUAACAUUGCCACAAAGACAAAGCAUGACCUCGUUGAGUUACUCCAAGAAUUUAAAGAUGUCUUCGCAUGGUCAUACCAGGAUACUCCCGGGUUAAGUACUGGCAUUGUAGUACACUACCUUCUUAUAAAAGAAGAUUGCAAGCCAGUUUAGCAGAAACUCUGAAGGAUGAUGCCUGAUAUUGUGCUAAAAAUAAAAGAAGAAGUUAAAAAGCAAUUUGAUGUUGGGUUCUUACAAGUGGUUAAAUAUUCAGAAUGAGUAGCCAACAUCGUCUCAGUCUCUAAAAAAGAUGGGAAAGUACGAAUGUGCAUAGAUUACAGAGACAUGAACAAGGCCAGCCAAAAAGAAAAUUUCCCAUUGCCUCACAUUGACACUUUGGUGGAUAAUACAGUAGGCUACUCACUGUUUUCCUUCAUGGACGACUUCUCUGGAUACAACCAGAUAAAGAUGCAUCCCAAAAACAUGGGAAAGACUACAUUCGUGACCCUAUGGGGAAUGUUUUGCUAUAAAAUGAUGUCAUUCGGAUUAAAGAAUGUGGGAGCGACGUAUCAAAGGGAAUGGUAACCUUGUUUCAUGACAUGAUGUACAAGGAAAUCGAGGUUUAUGUUGGCGAUAUGAUUGCAAAAUCCAGAACAGAAGAGGAACAUGUGUAGGCCCUAAGAAAAUUAUUCUUAAGACUGAGAAAGUUCCAGCUCAAGCUUUCCAACGAAAUGCACAUUCAGAGCUAGGUUAGGAAAGCUGUUAGGCUUCACAGUUAGUGAAAAAGGAAUCGAGAUCAACCCAGAUAAAGUCAAGGCGAUACGAGAUUUACCUCUACCAUGCACUCAGAAGGAAGCUCGAGGUUUCCUAGGAAGACUGAAUUACAUUGCUCGAUACAUUUCACAACUAACCGAAAAAUGUGACACCAUAUUAAAAUAAAAAUAGAUUAAAUUGUAAGUAAAACAUAAUUUAAACAUAUGAAUACAUCAAAUUAAUAAUACUAAAUGAAUACAGUUAUUUAUGAUGAUGUUGUUGCCAAUUCCUAAUUUGGUGUCUAGUUAAUUUGUGACAUCAUAAAUUUAAGUGAUAAAUUUAAGGUUUUAUGUAUUGAUGUGGAUUCAAAUAUCACCAUAAUUUUUGUAAAUAAAAAACUAAUAAGAUAACUUAUAUUAAGUACGAAAGGGUAUUUUUAUAAUUUCUCUAAUCGAGUUGGUGCCCGGUUGACUCAUGACACUAACUCAAUCAGAAGCUUUAAUAAUAAUAUAGAUAUUCAUGUUAAAAAAACAAAAAAAAAGUACUUUAGUUCCAAAUAAUUAUAUAACAAGUAAAUUUAUAAUUGAUGAAUAAAUUUAUAAAUAAUAUAUUUAUAUGAUCUAAUAUAUUAUAUUUAUAUUAAUUAUAUAUCAUCUACAAACUUUGAAGAUCAAUUUAUUAAGUAAAAAUGAAAUUGUUAACACUAAAUCAAUUUUUAGAUUUUGUAUAGAUGAUUUAGUGAUGAUAAAAACAUUAUUAACACUAUUUUUUAAUUAACAAAAAAUUAGUGAUAUAUUUAAAUUAUAUUUAUCAUUUAUUAUUUUUAAUAAUAUUUUUUAAUUAUAUGAAGUAAAAUUAUAUUGUAUACUAAAUAUGGUACAUAUACUCUAAUUAUAACUUGAAAUUUUAUUAUAUAAAUUAAUAUAAAUUUGAAUAACAAAAUAAAAAAAAACUAAUUAGAAUAAUUUUAAAAAACAUUAUUUAAAAGUAGUUAAAAAUCACGUGCAACAGGUGAGAUCAAUGGUCUUUAGAGAAGAAAUGUUGAAGAUCAAAGUUGGAAUCUGGCCUAUAAGGCCUUUAAUUGCUUUAAUAUUAAGCAGUUCCAAACCAAGAAGAUUACCGAUUUCCUCAGGAAUUUGACCUGCACACAUGGUCGAAAAAUCAAUGUGUCAAACUACCUAUUUUGUUAGCAUAAGUCAAAGAGGUUUUCUUUUCUAUUCUACAUAAUUUGCAGAUGUUAGAUUUUAAUAUUUUUAAGCAUAUUUGUUUUCAUCAAAUUAACUAUUUUGAACUAUUUUGCCUUGAAUGAAAUAAAAUGCUCUUACUUUUGUUAUCUAUUACUAAUCAAACUCUUUUAUAAAAAAAAUACUUUAAACUAAAGAAACCAAGAAAAUUCAAUACCUUCUAGGUUAUUCAACCCCAAAUAUAAUUCUUUGAGUCGUGUCGGAUUUCCAAUACUUCUUGGAAUGAUCCCCAUCAAUUGAUUAUAGGAAAAUGACAAAAUUUUAAGGUUGUUGCAUUUGCUUAUACUUGACGGAAUGUUACCAUAUAAUUCAUUCCGACUCAAGUAAAGCCCUUCAAGCUUGGAAAGAUGUGACACAUAUCAUUAGGCAAGCUACCUGAUAGGCUAUUGUUGGAGAGAUCAAUGGCCUUCAGAGAAGAAAUGUUGAAGAUCGAAGUUGGAAUCUGACCUGUAAGGCCUUUAAUUGCUUUAAUAUUAAGCAGUUCCAAACCAAGAAGAUUACCGAUUUCCUCAAGAAUUUGACCUGCACACAUGGUCGAAAAAUCAAUGUGUCAAACUACCUAUUUUGUUAGCAUAAGUCAAAGAGGUUUUCUUUUCUGUUCUAUAGUAAUUUGGUGAUGUUAGAUUUUAAUAUAAUUCAGCACAUGUUUUUCAUCAAAUGAAAUAAAAAGUUUUUCCUUUUGUUAUCUAUUACAAAUCAAGCUCUUUUAUUAAAAAAAUACUUUAAAUUCAAGAAAUCAAGGAAAUUAAUUACCUUCUAAAUUAUUAAACCCCAAAUAUAAUUCCUGGAGUCGUGUUAGAUUUCCAAUACUUCUUGGAAUGAUCCCCAUAAAUUGAUUAUGGGGCAACAACAAAUUUUUAAGGAUGUUUCAUUUGCCUAUGCUUGACGGAAUGUUACCAGAUAACUCAUUGCUAUGCAAGUGAAGCCCUUCAAGCUCGGGAAGAUGUUGACACAUAUCAUUAGGCAAACUACCUAAUAGGCUAUUCCUGGAGAGAGCAAUAGUCUUGAGAGAAAAAUGUUGAAGAUCGAAGUCGGAAUCUGAUCUGUAAGGCCUUUAAUUGCUUGAAUAUUAAGCAUUUCCAAACUAAAAAGAUUACCGAUUUCUUCAGGAAUUUGACCUGCAGACAUAGUCGAAACAUCAAGGUGUUAAAUUUCCUAUUUUGUUAGUGUAAAUCAAAGAGGCUUUUUAUUUUUUUUCGUUAUGAAAUAAUAUGGAUAUGUUCGAUUCUAAUCAUAUUUAAGUAUAUAUUAGUUCUUGAAAGAAUGAGUUCUUAUUUUUGGUAUUUAUAUUGCAAAUAUAUAUUUUUUUAAAUUUAAAAGAAGGGAGGGGGCAAAUGUGUUUAAACUAAAGACAUCAAGGAAAAGGCAUACCAAGUAUAAUUGUUUAAGUUGUGUCAAAUUCCCAAUGCUUUUUGGAAUGAUCCCACUAAAUUGAUUAAUAGACAAUUCCAAAAUUUGAAGGUUGCAGCAUUUGUCUAUACUUGAUGGAAUAGAACUUGAUAAUUCAUUUCUACUCAAGUAAAGCUCUUUCAGCUUGGGAAGAUGGACACACAAAUCAUCGGGCAAGCCACCAGAAAGACUAUUAUCACAAAAAUGAAUCCUUUUCAAAGAAGAAAUGUUAAAGAUGGAAGAUGGAACCUGGCCAGAUAAUUGAUUGAAUCCCAAGUUCAAGAUCUCUAGAUUGGACAAGUUGACAAGUGUUUGAGGGAUCGUGCCUGUGAAGUUAUUAUUUCUCAUUUCCAACCUUUGAACUCUGUGCAAGUUCCCAAGCCAUGGUGGAAUUUCCCCAUUAAGACGGUUGUAGCUUAAUCGAAUGAUCCUCAAACGAUGCAAUUGGCCUAAUUCUUUAGCCAGAUGGCCGUAGAAAUUGUUGUUGCUCAAGUCGAUAGAAAAUAGAAAUGAAAGAUUUCCAAGGUGUGGAGGGAUAGUACCCCUAAGAUUCAUGUUUGUAAGAUUAAUCAAAGCUACAACUCUUUCAUGGAUGAUGCCACAAGAAACACCAACCCACUUACAGACAGAGGUAGAGUUCGUCCAAUUGUUUGCCAACACAUUUUGAGGAUCGACAAUGCGAUCUUUAAACUCAAAGAGUGCAAACUGAUCGGAGUUGAGAUUCCGGACUGUCAUAGCCAAGGAAACAAUAGAACAUUGUAUGAAUAAAAGUGAAAGAAGAUGAAAGCAAGUGUUGUAGUUCAUGAUGGCAAGACGAAAUAAGCCAGGAAAAGGGAAGUUGAAUUGAUGAAGAAAUAGCCAGCCAACAUGCUUAAAUAGGCUUCAACCCUUGCACACUUCUCAUACAUAAAGUUCGCUGCCAUUACAACAAGAAAACUCAUAUCUCCAUUCGUACCUAUCCAUACUUUAUUUGACUAACUUUUCCCUAACAAGUGUUCAGUAAGGAGAUAAAUCAGUUUGGAGCUAUUCACCGGCUUCUCCAAUCUUGGUUUCAAACUCCUAACCCAUCAAUUCACUUUAAUUGAAACGAUAUACACGAGUCUUUCGGCUUAUAUUUUUAAUUUAAUUUUUGUUACUUUUCAUAAUAUUUUUUGAGAAAUCCAAAUAUUCCAGUCUGAAAUUUCUUCAUUGCCACGUCUAUCUCCUGGGUAAGUCCGUGGUUAGGCAGCCCACUUUGGGAGCAGGAUUGUAAUUGUAAUUCUAUCCGACUCAUUUUACUAUUUAGAAAUAUAAAAGUAAUAUUAUAUUAUUUUUUAUAUUUUUAUAAAUUUAAUUUUAAUUAUAAUUUUUAAACAAUAAAACGAGUCAUUUGUAUUUGCCUAGUCUAAAUUGAAUCAGGAGUCAAAAAAAUUUUAAUCAUAAUUUACUAUUAUUUUAAUUAAUUAAAAUUUAACCUACUACAACUAGUAGUUGCAGAAAAAAUGUCAUUCCUUUAGAAAAACGAAAAUCCUUUAGAAAAAUGAGAACUUAUGAAGCAUUCAAUAAGAGUCAUUGGAAUAAAUGGUAACGAAAUCAUAAUUCAAUAUAAAGCUAAAAAAUGUACCAAUCUAUAUAAAUAAUGUAAGAUUUGUGAUACCUAAAUUAUUAUAUUUUCCAUAAAUAUAUGAAGAUAUUUUAUUAGGAAAUAAUUUUAUAUAUAAAAUUUUUUAUUUUCUUUUGAUAGAAAUUUAAUUAUGUUAUCUGUAGAAAAAAAUAUUUAUAGAAAUAUUAUUAGUAGAAAAUCAUAAAUUUGUGUGUGGCAAAAAAAAUUCACCACCAAGAAAGGGGCAAAUUAAACAACUUGAAACAAGUCAUUGGUUGUUUAAAAUAUUAGAUAAUAAUUUCAGUGAAGAAUCAUUAAAAUUAUGACAAAAUAACCCUAGAUAUUGUAGUAUUAAAUUGGAAAAUCUCAAUAAUAUUAUUAGAGUAAAACCUAUGAUCUAUCUAAACAAGAUAUAGAAGAUUUUGAUAUACAAAUUAAGGUUAGAAAUCAUGCGGAAAUAAAAAAGAAAAAAAAGCUAGUAUGGUCAUUAAUUAUAAAAGAUUAAAUCAAAAUAUUAUUUUUUUAUAGUUACUUGAAUUAAUCAGGCUAAACAAACAAAAUAUUUUAGUAAAUUUGACUGCAAAUCAGGAUUCUAGCAAAUCAUGAUAACAGAAAAGUCCAAACCUUUAACGGCUUUUAGUGCACCCAAUGGACAUUACCAAUGGAAAGUGAUGUCAUUUCAAUUAUGUGAUGCACCACAAAUCUUCCAAAGACGAAUGGAUUUUAUAUUUAAUAAAUAUAAAAAAAUUCUAUGUAGUCUACAUAGAUGAUAUUUUUUAUAUUUUUAGAUACACUAGAAUUACAUAAGAAACAUUUAAAUAUUAUUUCUUAAGAAUUCAUAAAAUAUAGAAUCAUAUUAAACCCUAAAAAUAUAGAGUUAGAAAAAAGAGAGAGAAUUUUUAUAAUAGUGGAAAUAAAAAAUUGUCCUCAAAAGAUUGAAGAAAAAAAGAACUUCCAACAAUUUCUAAUAUAUUCCUCCCAAAUUUUCAGUUUCAAUUUUAUUACAGAAUUUCUUUGCCGACAAUAAGAAAUUAAGAGCGCUCUUUAAGUUGAAUAUAGUCCGUCAGAUAUGGCUAUCUAUAACAUGGAACCUUUGGUUUUCAAGCUGAAUAGGAGAAUUGAUUCACUUGAUAAGUAUGAAAAAUUGAAACUGCUAAAUUUAAGUGCACUAACUCUGGAUAUCAUCAUUAUUUUUCUGUACAUUAAAGUACCUGUUUGAUAUGCGAUUUCUGCCUCAAACUAUCAACAUCUUUAACAUCCUUUUGCUAUAGUUAGCAUGGGUACUUCCUUUUAGAUUAACAGUUAGGUUUGAACUGUGAAUUAGAUUUCUGUGGCUGCUGGGAUUGAAGAAGUUAGUAUGCGAAUGACAUUGGACAAAUUUGGCAAAGUCUUCUCCAUCAGUGAAGAAAACCCCUUGGCGUAUGAAAAAUGUUCACCAUCUUAGACAUUUGUUUUCUUAUUGUAAGAAUAUUUUUAACAUUGUAACUUUUAACAUUAUUGUAAGAAUAUUUUGAAUUAUACUUCAGUUAUCAAUUUAUAUCAUAUAUCUUUUGUUGAAUUUGAAGUAUAAUUUAUAUUUGCUGUUUUUGGUUAGAUUUCAUGCUAUAGGAAGGGUUGUAUAUGGAUAGAAAUUGAAUGUUACAAAUCUGCCAAAGUUAGUGGCGUUUUUUCAUAAGAGCUGCUAAAGAAUGCUAUUUUUGGCGGUGUUUGUAAUAAAAGAGCCGCUAAAGGUCAUGUUCUUUAGCGAUGUUUGUGGGUAAAGCGCCGCUAAAGAUCAUGUUCUGUAGCGGUGUUUGUGGAUAAAGCGCCGCUAAAGAACAUGACCUUUAGCAGCGUAUUUUCACAUAAACGCCGCAAAAUUUAGCGGCUUUGUCUAUAGCGACUUUUUUUGCAGCGCUUUAAGUUUUAGCGGCGCUUUUAGGCCUAAAAAAGGGCCGCUAAAAGCCUGUUUUGCUGUAGUGAGCAUAUUUACAUUUUCGUCCCAAUUUCAACUAACACCCCAUCUAUUUCCCACUUCCCUUUUUCGGGCAAUUUCAACUAACACCUUCAUAUCAAACAUAACUAUUUUUCAAUUUUUCUUCUUUAUUUCAUUAAUAAAAUUAUCAAUCUAUUUGUUUUUAAAUAUAUAAUUUCAUUAAUAUUUUUUAAAUUAUAAUAUAAGAGUUGUUGUUUAUUUAUAGUUUUAUUACAUUAUUUACUCUCUCUUUUCUAUCAAGUUUUUUAAAUUAUAAUAUAAGAUUUAUUUUAUCAAUUUGUGGCUUAUCCAGUAUUCAUCUAUUUUAAUAAUAACUUGAGUUCCAGUCAUUAUCAUACCAGAAAGAGUUCCAUUUAUUCUUUAUCGUAAAUUUUAUAAAAAAAUAUACAUUUUAUUAUAAUACUAUAUGUGUUACGAAUAAUAUUUUAUUGUGGAUGCCCAUAAUUUUCAAAGUUGUAACCUCUAAUGUAGUAACCUUAAUGAAAUUAUGAGGCUUUUAUAUUGUAAUCAAGCCUCUAUUUAUUCUUUGUAACUUAAACAGAAGCAUAUUUUCUAUUAUAUUGAUAUUUUUUAUAGAUAUAUAUAUAUAUAUAAGGAAUCAAAUAAAAAGUUAUUUACCUUUCUAUUAUAUUGAUAUUUUCUAUUUGAUUUGUUCUUUUCUUUCACUAUUCCAUAAUAUAUUAUCAGUACGAUUUUAACCAAGAGUAACAUGUUAUUAGAUUGUGUCAAAAUUUUGUUGAGAAUCAUUAGAUUGUUUCCUUUUUCUUCUAUUUAGCCCCAAAUUGCACCCCUACACAAAAUUCAACAAAAACAUGGAAAAAUUAGUGGUGCACUCUCAUAAAUUAACCAAUUUAAUUACAUAAAAUAUGUAACUUUAGCAUUUUAUCAAUCAUGUUCUUUAGCGGCAUUUGUGGGUAAAGCGCCGCUAAAGGUCAUAUUCUUUAGCAGCGUUUGUGAUAAAAGUGCCACUAAAUAUCAUGUUCUUUAGCGGCGUUUGUGGAUAAAGCGCCGCUAAAGAACAUGACGUUUAGCAGCAUUUUUUUACAUAAACGUUGUAAAAUUUAGCGGCGUUGUCUAUAGCGACGUUUUUUGCGGUGCUUUCAAAUAGUUUUAGCGGCGCUUGUAGGCCUAAAAAAAUGCCGCUAAAAGUCUGUUUUGCUGUAUGAGCAUAUUUACAUUUUCGUCCCAAUUUCAACUAACACCCCAUCUAUUUCCCACUUCCCUUUUUCGGCCAAUUUCAACUAACACCUUCAUUUCAAACGUAAUUGUUUUUCGAUUUUUCCUCUUUAUUUCAUUAAUAAAAUUAUCAAUCUAUUUGUAUUUUAAAUAUAUAAUUUUAUUAAUAUUUUUUAAUUAUAAUAUAAGAGUUUUUGUUUAUUUAUAGUUUUAUUAUAUUAUUUACUCUCUUUUUUCUAUCAAGCUUUUUAAAUUAUAAUAUAAGAUUUAUUUUAUCAAAUGGUGGCUUAUCGAGUAUUCAUCUAUUUUAAUAAUAACUUGAGUUCCAAUCAUUAUCAUACCAGAAAGAGUUCCAUUUAUUCUUUAUCGUAAAUUUUAUAAAAAAAUAUAUAUUUUAUUAUAAUACUAUAUGUGUUAGGAAUAAUAUUUUAUUGUGGAUGCCCAUAAUUUUCAAAGUUGUAACCUCUAAUGUAGUAACCUCAAUGAAAUUAUGAGGCUUUUAUAUUGUAAUCAAGCCUCUAUUUAUUCUUUGUAACUUAAACAGAAGCAUAUUUUCUAUUAUAUUGAUAUUUUUUUAUAGAGAUAUAUACAUAAGGAAUCAAAUAAAAAGUUAUUUACCUUUCUAUUAUAUUGAUAUUUUCUAUUUGAUUUGUUCUUUUCUUUCACUAUUCCAUAAUAUAUUAUCAGUACGAUUUUAAUCAAGAGUAACAUUUUAUUAGAUUGUGUCAAAAUUUUGUUGGACUUCAAGUAUUGGAAUUUAAUUGUUUAAGUUAAGAAUCAUUAGAAUCAAUGGCUAUUUGAGAUAUGCUUGAGGAUGAUCUCAUUCUCUUCAUCACAAAGGUGGAGGUUAGAAAAUCUUUAUGUUUAAACAUUUAUAGCUUUAAAGUUAUUUUAACCUCUUAUUGUGACCUUAUAAUAUUUUGUAAUUUUUUGUAUUAUGGUAUAUAAAAAAAAUCUAACCAUAGUGAUUGAUUAGUAAUAUGAAUUUGUUAUUUGUUAUGUUUAAUAUAUAUUUUAUUUAUACUUAUUCAUUUUAUUUUUAUAUGAGUAAAUGAAGUGUUUGAAGAUUCGAAAUUUUUAUCAUCCAAGUUGAAAAUAAGUGCAAAAGUGUACAUUAUUUAAAAUAAAUUACGCAUUCAUUAAUGUUAUAUGAUAAAAUCAUUACAUGUUCUAAAGAACUAAUAUUGCAUCAAACUGUAAAAAGCUCUUGAAGAGUUAAUAUUUUACCUCCUUGUGAUACAAAAUCAUAUACAAUAUGAUAUUAUUUUUCAAAUCGAGUAGAUAUAUGUUGAGGGAAAUCUUUAUGUGGUUUACAUUAAAACCAUGGAUAGAAAUGACAUGAGAUACUCGUGUAUUUUUAUUAUAAAUAUUCCUUGAAGGAAGACACUUCACUUGUAUGAUUGACAUAUGAGAUAGUGGCAAGAAGUUCAUAGUGUUGGUAUGGUCGUCUAGAUCAUCUCAAAUCAAUAAUGAUGCAAAAUAAUUUGAAGAGAAUUUAUAUGAUUUUAUUGAAGAAUGAGAAGAUAUUUUCAUUUUGAUAAUUGUCAUCAAUACUAGUUCUUUGGAAAAAAAAUAUUGAACUAACAUAAAGUUAGAGGUUGGUUGCAUUUUUUGAUGAUAUCCAAAUAAUAUAUGAGCUCAUGUAUCACAUGUAUGCAACCCAAAGUUUACAGUAUUAUUUCUUGAAAUAAUUUGAUUCUACACAAUCUCUAUAGUAUGCAAUUUGUGCUAACAACGUUGGUGCAUUAUAUCCUAAGCUUGAUUUUCGUAGUUUUAGCUGAGAUAAUAUUAAGUUGUCUAUGCCUAUAUAUGUUAUACUUAAUGGUUAGCAAAAUUGUGCCUCCAUUUAAUUGCUUAACCAUUAAUAUAAGAAUAACUUUAAAAUAAGCAUGUAAUUUUAUUUGCAUAGAGUCAACAUGUAAGAAACAUUUGCCCCAUGAGAAUUGGCUUUCAUUUAUAAGCCAAUAGGUUUCAUAUGACUAUUUGGAUGUAAAAUAUCUAUUUUAUAUUCCACCAUAAUGCACUAAGAUGGUCCAUCAAGUAUGAAGUUGAGAAAAUUUAGAAUUUUUAUUUGAUGGUAAAAGUUGAAAAGAGAUAUAUACUUAUAAUUUUGAAAAAAAUAGUCAUGUUGCAAAUUUUUCUCAAUAUUAGGGGGAGACAAGUUGGACAAAUAAGGAUAAUUAUGUCAUCACUUUUUGUGAUCCCUCACUAAUAUUAUGUGCACAAAGUUUGAAGGAAAAAAGUAUUUGCUAGACAUGUUUAGUGAUGACACUUAGAGAUUGUAUAUACUAGAUGAUACAUAUACCAGCUAAAAUGUUCCAAAUAAUUAUGAGUCCUAGAAGGACAUAGUGAUAAAAAUAAUUUUUGGGCACGCUAGAAGGAUAAAAAACUAGUUCAUUCUAUAAAUCAAAAAAUUCUUGAAAGAAAAGAGUAAGAAAUGAAGCUGGCCACACAUUAAAGGAAACGAGUACUCAUGAAGAGACCUAAGGCAUAACUUUUAAUAAAACCCCAAAAGAGGUUCAAUACAUGGAAUUAUGAAUAUAAUAAGAUAUCUCGAUUAGUUAUAUCAUAACUAAAGAUGAUGGGGUUGAUAAAAGGAAAUUGUUGUUAACAACGAUAAUCUAAGUAGAACAUUUCAAUAUUAUGGUAAAAUGAGUAUUUUGAAUGAAAAUAUACUUGAAAGUAUUUAGAUGGGAACAACUCAUCAAAAUAAAUAGACGUUUCUAUUAUAACUUAUGAAAUGUGUCUCGGACAUGAAGUCCAAACAUUCGACAGGUGUAAAGCCAAGUGGAGUAUAUGUUAGCAUAAUAGUGAAAAAAUACAAAUCAUAAUAUAUAAAAUUGACUUGUAAGACAAACUUUCCCAAGACACUUGAUUUUGAUUAUGAAAAAUGAUUAAUUUGUGAUCUUAUCAAUUGAACAUACUUUGUAUAAUCAACAAAUUAUUAAUUAACCUCAUUUAACCAAUUUCCUUCAACACAUUUCAAAUCAAAUUAAUGUGUUGAGCACGCCCUUAACCCUUUUUCUUGAUUCAUUGCAUAGUCUAUUUCCAAGUACCAUAAUCAUCAACAUUUCAAUAUAUAAAGUCAUAACAUAAUGAAUCAUAGUUAGAAUUUUUUUUACCCUAUUAACCAAGUAUGGAACAAAAAUAAAAACCUAAUUUGUCAAGCUCAUUCAAUCAGCUUAUAUAUUAUAAGAAGAGCCUAAGUAUAAAUCCUAUACAUGAUUUCAAAUUCAACUAUUUAUAUUUGAGAUUCAAUUUAAAAUUCAUACUGAAAUUAUCAAAUUAACUCGUAAGCUACUCACGCUAAACAUUAAGGUACUCGAAUUCAAGUGGCUAGAUAUCAUAAACACUUUUAGCUUGUAAAACUAUUUCUAAGGGUCAGCCCAGAAUCAUGGUUGAACCCAAAAUCUGGUAACAAAAAUUUAAUUGAGCCAUCAGCCUAAAACAAAUAAGGCUUAAAAGGUUGGCACCCGAACAAUCAAAGAUAAACACCACCAUAUGCCACUCCCUGAAUCCGAUACAUACAAUAACACCCUUCACCACUUUUAUUCUUCUCCUUUUUUUUAACCUCAAUUUGGAUGGUCGCAUUUCUCUUUUUAGUGCUUUAUAGGGUUUGGGCUUUCAGAAUCCUCAGAGAUGCAAUUCAUGGAUCCCUCUAAGAAAUGCAAGCUUGAUGAAAAUGGUAUUAUUUCAACGGCAUCAGAACCUGACCCAAUCACCAAACUAACCCCACAAGAUGGCCGCAAGCUAAUCGAGCAAUUUAUCGUCGAUCAACUCCUUGACGUCCUCCAAGAUGCUGUUUGUUGUCACCUUGAUGUUCUUUCCGCCGUACACUCUAUUGCCGAUCAAGAUCCAUCUCAAAGGAAGCUUUUCAUCCGUGGUUGGGUUGGGAUACUACAACCCAACCCAACCCACAUUAGCAUACUACCAUGCGGUAACUUCUAGUGAUUUCUGUCUGUAACAUUAGACAGGUUAACAGUUAAAUCGUUCAACUGAAAGAUUUCUUUGAAGGAAGAGGUCAAUUGAUUUUUUUUGGAAUCAUUGUGUACUCAGUUGCAUUUAAGACGGGUAUCAUUCAUAAAGUAUAUAUCUACAUCAAGAAUGGUAGCCUCUUAUAUUAUAUUCAUGUAUUUAUUUUGCAUCUUUAAUUAUAAUAGGAUUUUUUUUGUUUAUUUAUAGUUUUAAUUAUAAUAUUUUUUAAAUAUGCCAAAGUAAAUUAUGUACCAAUUUUAAACUUCUCCUAGGUAAUUUAACGUAAGGGCAUUUAUGUUAUUUUACCACUUAUGAUAAAACUAACCUAAUUUUAGAUCUAAGUGUUUACCAACCUUCUUUUAGUCAAAUUAUGCAAGCCUAAAAUUUUUAGCUUAAUUUGAGUUUGUUUACUAUGUCUAAUUCAAGUUUUAUUAUUAAGAACUAAAUUGUAACUUAAACAAAUUAGAAUACCAAUUUAAAGAGACAAAAAUUCAAAGCCCCAAAACCCACACGGGCAUGUGGGUAAGUGACACAGGCGUGUGGAAACUGGAGCUAUCACACACGGGUGAGUGGGACUGAAAAAUAUGAAAUAAAUUAAUCCAUUUAAAUUUCCAACAACCAUGCUAUACUACCAAACCAAAUAAUGUUAGAAGCUUUGAAUAGGGGCGAAUCUUAAAAAAAAAUAGAAGAAUUAGAAUUAAAUUAUAAAAUUUUGAGAAGUUGUCAUGUAUUAAUUUAUUAUUUUUUAAAGGGUCUUAAUAGAUUUUUUUUCCCCAUUUUGGUUUGGCCAAUACCCCUGUCUGCCUCUUUCAAUUUGCUUCAACCCUUAGCCCAAUAUUCGAUUUGUUGUGGAAGUUUGACGCAUAAAAAUUCCUUUUUUAGAGGUUUAAAUUAUAAAUUUUUAUUAACAAAAUAUAAAAGAAAAAAACAUGUGUAGACAAGCCAAGAAACCUUUGGGAUCAUACAGGUGAUUUUGAGAUGUUCAUGGUUAUUUUGGUGGAGAGGGUAAAAAAGAAACAAAUGAUUCAUUAUAUAUGAUAUAAUUAUGAAAUUCAAGCCAUAUAUUGUAUGUUUCAUCCAUACAAAUUUCUUGUAGCAUUAAAUGACUCGUAGGCUUGCUGAAUUUCUUUGAAAGGCCCAAAGGCAAUUUAACAUUCACAAAAUAAUCUCUAAAUAGUGUAAAGACAAAUCAAAUCCACAGUAGCAUUAGAGUUGAUUAAGCUAAGCAUUGGCAAAUAUUACUUUGAUUUUGCAUGCAAUAUUGGCAAAACCCCCUCUUACAUUAGAAAAACAACAUAAUCCAUGAAACAUUGAUAGCCCAAUACAAAUUUCAUCGAGAAAAAAGUCUCUUUGUUUUGUAGAACAUGAUAGUAAAGAUGUGGAGUUUCGUUCUUCUUAUUGGCCUCCUUUAGUUUUCCUUGAUCAACAACCACUAGCCAAAAACACAAUUAGAUUAGAUUAUGAAUGAUACUUUCAACUAUGACAAUAUUAAAUACAAACCACUCUAAAUAACUCUAAAUAAAUGGAAAGCAGCAAAUUACCAGACGAGGCAAGCUAGCUCAAUUAAGACCAUUGUGUUAUACUUGUCUCUGAAUUGAAAAAUUUAGAAGGAAAUAAAGAGAAAGACUUAGAAAAUACUUGAAAACAGAAAAAAAAAUUAUGUCAUUUAAAAUAAAAAAUUUCUAUUCAAGCCAUUUAAAAUUUGUAAGAUUUUUAAAAUUUUAAAAUGAUAAAGGUAAAAUUGUACUUUGGCACCCCAAAAAUGAUAAAACUUUGAUUUAAUUAUUUAAAAAUUAUAAAAAUAUAGGCUAUUAAAAUGGUGAAAUUAUAUUUUUACUAUAGUAAAAAUUACAAUUUAAUUUCACCCCUAAAAGGAUUUUCUGGCUUCGCACCUAAUAAAAUCUUUGGCAAAAGACUAAAAUAAAAUUAUACCAUGAAUGGAAAAAGAAACUAAUAAAAUCCAAUCUAACAAAGAAAAUAACUUGAUGUCCAAAAGCUACCAUAAACCGUAAUUCAUGGGAAGGCUUGUUGCUUAUUUUAUUGGUUUCCAUUUUGAAAGAAGUUUGAAUUUUGAAGAGAGCCUACUACGUGAAAGCAAAAGAAAAAAAAAUAGUUUAUAUGAUUAAAAUUCCAGAAUAGAUUAAAAAUGUUGAAUUAAAGAUAAAAUUAAGUGUGAAUUAAUAACCACAAGUGUACUCUUUACUCACCAUCUCUGUUAAAAAUGUUGGAUGUUGUUUAGCAACCUUUGUUUGAUUUUCUUCAGCUCAACCACAACAUCUUUCAUAUCUUUUCUUUCUUCUGGUAACUCAGCUGAACAAUUCAAAGCCAACUCCAUGAUAGAUGAAAUACAAUUUGCUUUAACAACAAUGUACUCAUCCUCUCUUCUUAAUAAAUCAACAUCUGCAAUUUCUAUCGCUCCUUUAGGCAAUGAUCUUUCCAUCCAAUGCCUUAUACUCUCUUCUUCAACAAAAACCUUAUCAGUUGGCUUUUUCUUUGUGAAAGUUUCUAUAAGGACGAUCCCAUAACUAUAGACGUCAGAUUUUAUAGAAACAAUUCCUGCUGAUCCAAAUUCUGCAUUUCAAGUAUAAUUAGAACAUCAUUCAUCCUCAAUUAUUUCUAAAACGCUUAUUCAAAUAUCUAUCCACAUACACGUGAAACAAAAAUAUAAAAUACAAAUUAGGAAAAUAAUCAUACAAAAAUAAAAAAAAGAAUUCACCUGGUGCCAUAUACCCAAUAGUUGCAAGAGUCAUGGUUUGCUUCAUUACUUCACCUUCUCCCAACAAUUUGGCAACGCCAAAAUCUCCAACAUGUGCAACCAUGUCUUCAUCUAGUAAAAUAUUGCUUGGUUUUAUGUCACAAUGAAUUAUAGGUGUUGGAUGUCCAUUGUGGAGGUGUUCUAUAGCUACCGCAACAUCUAUCAUUAUGUCGACCCUUUGUAUGAUACCAAGGAAACAAUUUUCAGAAUGUAACCAUUUCUCAAGGUUUCCAUUAGACAUGUAAUCAAGCACCAAGGCUUUGAAGUCAACACUUGAGCAGUAAGUAAUGACCUUCACAAUAUUACGAUGAACUAUAUUAAGCAUAGCAUCACAUUCAAUGUCAAAACUCCUAAAUGCUCCCUCUGUUUGCAAAUUGAAAACUUUUAUUGCAACUUCCAUUCCAUCUGAAAGCCUCCCUUUAUAUACAUAUCCAAAACUCCCUGAACCAAGCGUAUUGCUUUCCUCAAAUCCAUUAGUUGCUCGUGAAAGUUCAGCAUGUGAAAUUCUUCUCAGUGUCUUCAAAGACAACAAAUCAUCUUUAACUGGUAGAGCUGUACUCCUUUGGCAUCUUCUAUACAUAAUAGUUAAGACUAUUAGUACUAGGACAAUACCAAUUGUUGGUAAACCAUACCUAAAAGCAUGCAAUAUAAUCAUUUGGGAGUUUUUGUGGAUGUCAUUUUUGCAAGGUGGGACUAGCAAUCUAGGUGGACCACAAAGUGCACAAUUAUUCAUGAAUGAUGUGCUAGAAAAGUUUGAAAAACAUCCUUUGCUGGGAAUUUCCCCUUCAAGUCUAUUGAAAGACACAUUAAAAUACUUUAGAUAUAAAAGCUUUUCCAAAGAUUUGGGAAUGACUCCAGAGAGAUUGUUAUUGCAUAAAUCCAAGAAUUCCAAACUAAUCAACCCUUCAAAUGAUUCAGGGAUAUGACCAUAUAGUAUGUUAUUUGAUAAAUCUAAUGAAACCAAAGUUAUAAGACCCCCAAAUGUGGAUAAGAUAUCGCUCGUGAGAAGAUUCCUUGAUAAAUUUAGUCUCAGUAGACUCCUAAAAUUUCCAACAUCAAUAGCAUGUGAAUUGUGAAGACGGUUUGAUGAUAAAUCUAUUUCUAAGAUAUCUUUAAGACUCCACAAAGUUGAGGGUAUUGUAGAACUCAAUUUGUUGGAACCUAACCAAAGAUAUCUCAAAGCAGAAAUAUUACCUAAACAAGAGGGUAUGGAUCCAUGCAGCUUAUUCAACCCUAAAUACAUCUCGUAUAGUCUCUCCAAACCACAAAGGCUUUCUGGGAUAGGCCCUCCUAAUUUAUUAGAGGAAAGACCUAGAAUUUGGAGAUUUCUCAUUCCUCCUAUUGAUGCUGGAAUCAAUCCACUUAAUUUAUUAUACCCAAGAUCUAAAAGCAAUAGGUUGGUUAAGUUACCUAUUUCCAUAGGAAUAAUGCCUUGAAGCUCACACUCUGUGGCAUGAAAGUAUUGAAGGGAUUUUGAAAGGUUCCCGAAAUAAGUAGGAAGAACGCCACUCAAUGGAUUUCCUGAAACAUCUAUUAUGCUCAAAUUCCUACAAUUCGUCAAAGAAGAAAGAAAGCUCCACUCAUGAUCAGUAGCAGAUCCUGUGAUCAAAUUAUUGUCAUAGAUUUGGAGCCAUACAAGUUGUCUUAAGCUGCCAAGCGUUUUAGGGAUUGGGCCAGAGAAUGAGUUAUCUCCCAAGUCUAGUUCCUUAAGCAUGGAAGCAUUGGAGAUAGAGUUGGGAAUGUUUCCGCUAAGUUUAUUUCCCCACAGUAAAAGAAUCUGAAGCUUUGGAGCAUUGGUAAUGGGUGGUAAAUUACCUGUAAAAUAGCAUCUUUUAGAAAACAUUCACAAAAUAUAUAAUACAUUAAAAUAAAAACUUUAAAUCAAUUAAGAAUAAAAUUUUGGCAUGGAAAAAUGUGAUGAAAUCAAUUAGAAAGUUGAGACAUAAUAAGAAGUUUUGAGUAGUAAUUAGUCCUUGUGAUUUGUAUAGACAAAACAUAUAAUACACUGAUAAUUUUUUUAAAAUAUUGUAAAACCUGAAAUAAAAUAAAAAAUAAAAGUUUGGCACGAGAAUGUGGCAUCUAAUCAUUCUUAAAAAUAAGACUAACAUUAAAUAAUAAUUAGUUAUGAUUUGAGAAACAAAAAUGUUAAAGAUGUAAACUGGUAUGAUUUUUAUCUAUUGGGUUAAUUAUUUAUUUUUAUUAAAUUAUAUAUAGUGUAAAAUUUAAAGAUUAUUAUUUGCUCAAAAUUUUUGUAUUUUAGGAUUUUAGGAUCGCAUUUAAUUCAAUUGUAUUUAAGACCUCAUGAAUUUAUUCUAUAAUUUGAGUCUUUUCAACCUUUUGGGAAAUAAUAAAACAUCGACAUUAAACUUGUUGUUGAUGCAUUCAAUUUGAUUUUUUGAGGGGUCAUUGGAGUUAUAUGUGAAUUUAGCAUUGAUUGACUUUUUUAGAAUUAAUCUUUUAUACCAAUUUAAUAACAUCGACAUGUUUUUGGGUAGGGUCGAGCAAAACCCAAUUAAAACCGAUGAAAUUGGUUUAGUUAACUCGGUCAAGUCCAUUAGAUGGAUAAAAUCAAUUUUAAAAUCAGUUAUUAUGGAUUAAGGUAAUUAAUUAUCGAGUAAUGAAAUACAUAAUCAAAUCAAUUGAUUUUGUUAGAAACUAAAAGAAAGUGGGAUAAGCUGAAAACUGAUUGCCCUUUUUUAGAAUUAAGGAAUCAGCCUUUUACAUGUUAGAUAAUAUGAACACCCCAUAUAUAAUAAGAAAAAUUAUGUACGAUUAUUUAUUAUCAUAAAUGGUUAGUUUAAAUUUAAAGUAAUCUAAUAUGUGUGUUGAACUUCAACUAUUACAUAAAGUAUAAGCUAAAUAUGUAUAAAUAUUCUAGAAACCAUUUCUAACUGAUGAUAGGCUAAUUUGAAAUUAAGAUUAAUAUAUAAAAACUAGAUAGUAGGGUUAUAGUCCUCAAACUACACCUAAUUUAAUAAAAUCUAUAGUUUUUAUAGCCUUAAACAUUUAUAGAUUUUGUUAAUUUGGUCCUUACUCUUUAAAAUUACAUAAAAAUUGCAAAAAUAUUUUAGAAAUACAAUUUUUUCGUAUUUUUAAUAACAUUUAUAGUUUUUUUUUUGGUUUGGUAACUUAUCAACUCGACUCUUAAUUGUAACCAACUUUUCUGAUUUUUUCGUACCCUUAACCUAAGUCCCGUUACAACUUUCUAAAGACCUCUUGAUUGGUGUAUCAUCUCGAUUUGUUCUUAUAGUGGUGGGGAUUUGGUUUUCAAGCAAGCCUAUGCUAAUCACAUUUUUCGUUCAACUAUUGAGCACACAGUACUUGAACCUUAAACACUUUGAGUGCUUUGAGUGAAUCUUAGUUAGGGUAUUGAUUAUUGUUGAGUUUGAAUUUUAGGUAAUUAUUGAGAUGGAGGAGAUGCCUAUUUUUUUGUGCUUUACAAAUUUCUGCUUAGAUUGCUUUUAUUCUUUAGUUUCAUGCUAGUUUCAAUUUCCAGUGCAUGAUUAUCUAUAGAUUAUUCAUAAGGCAUUGUCGGUGAAAACAAUAAAUUGAGGGAGAUUAACUUGAAAUAAAUUGAGGGAUAUUAACUUGAAUAAAGGUUGAGAAUUUUGCUUAAGGACAAACAAAUGCUUAAGUGUGGGGAUAUUUGAUAAGUGCUAAAAUUGAUAUGUUUUAACAUCAUUCUUAAUGUGUUUUUGGUUGAUUAUUCGAUGUUAAUGAUGCUCCUAAUCCUUACAAUUCGUGUUUUUAUGCUUAAUAGAACAUUUGGGAGGAAAAUGAGCUAAAAAUGAACGAAAACCUGAAAAUGGGGGCAAACUAUAGGACAUGGGCUGACCUAUUCCUCAUGACCGUAUGACUCACACGAUCAUGUGGUAGGUUGUGUCGAUUUCGUAGAUUUGCACUCUGAACUGUAAAAAAAGAAAAUUUUAGAUUUUUUGAGCAUUUUAAUACGUAUAUAUGAAAAAAAUAAGAAGAUAGGAGAGAACCUUCCUAGAAUAUUUAAGAAAACAACUCCAAAGACACUAUUGAAGUCGACUCUGAAGCAAAUUUUCCUCAAGAUUGAAGAUUCCCAGUUGGUUUCUUAAGAGAUUAUCAUGAGUUUCUUUAUUUCUUCUGGUUAUACUGCCCUUUGGAUGUUUUUAUUUUUAAGCAUGAACUAAUUUUCUAAAUACCGAAUUAGAGAGAUGAACCCUAUGAUAGAUUGUGACACCCCAAACCCAACCGGAUAGACCCGCCCGAAUUCAAAGCAUUUCAUUAGCCACCUAAGUGACUCUCCAGCUAACGACCACCCAAGACACACCUCGACCUUAUAACACCUCAAUCUUAUCUAAUUACUAGUUAUUUAUUAAUGUAGAAGUAAAUUAAUAUGAGCCAAUUUUAAACUUUUUCUAGGUAAUUUAACCUAAAGGCAAUUUUGUCAUUUUACCACCUAAUGUAAAACUAACCCGAUUUUAGAUCUAAGUGUUUACUAACCUUCUUUUAGUCAAAUUAUACAAGCCUAAAAUUUUCAGCUUAAUUUGAGUCCGUUUACUAUGUCUAAUUCAAGUUUUAUUAAUAAGGACUCAAUUGUAACUUAAACAAAUUAAAAUACCAAUUUAAAGAGACAAAAAUUCAAAACUCCAAAACCCACACGGGCAUGUGGGUAAGUGACAAGGGCUUGUGGGAUUGAAAAAUAUGAAAUAAAUUAAUCCACUCAAUUUUCCAACAACCAUGCUAUACUACCAAACCAAAAAAACACUUGAAGUUUUGAAUAGGGGCGAAUCUAAAAAAAAUUAGAAGAAUUAGAAUUAAAUUAUAAAAUUUUGAGAAGUUAAAAUAUAAUUUUAUCAUGUAUUAAUUUAUUGUUUUUUAAAGGGUCCUAAUAUAAUUUUUUUCCCAUUUUGGUUGGGCCAAUACCCCUGCCUGCCUCUUUAAAUUUGCUCCAACACUAAACCCAAUAUUCGAUUUGGAUUAACAACAACAUAUAGGUUAGUAUUUGUGGGAGUUUGACGAAUAAAAAUUCCUUUUUUAGAUGUUUAAAUUAUAAAUUUUUGAAAGAUUAAAAUAAAUUUGUAUUUUUUUAUUAACAAAAUAUAAAAGAAAAAAAAAUAUGUUUAGACAAGCCAAGAGAACUUUGGGAUCAUACAGGUGAUUUUGAGAUGUUAAUGGUUAUUUUGGUGGACAGCGUAAAAAAGAAACAAAUGAUUCAUUAUAUAUAAUAUAAUUAUGAAUUUCAAGCCAUAUAUUGUAUGUUUCAUCCAUAAAAAUUUCAUGGGAGGUCCAAAGGUAAUUAAAUGACUUGUAGGCUUGCUGAAUUUCUUUGAAAGGCCCAAAGGCAAUUUAACAUUCACAAAAUAAUCUCUAAAUACUGUAAAGACAAAUCAAAUCCACAGUAGCAUUAGAGUUGAUUAAGCUAAGCAUUGGCAAAUAUUACUUUGAUUUUGCAUGCAAAAUUGGCAAAACCCCCUCUUACAUUAGAAAAACAACAUAAUCCAUGAAACAUUGAUGGCUCAAUACAAAUUUCAUCGAGAAAAAAGUCUCUUUGUUUUGGAGAACAUGAUAGUAAAGAUGUGGAGUUUCGUUCUUCUAAUUGGCCUCCUUUAGUUUUCCUUGAUCAACAACAAUUAGCCAAAAACACAGUUAGAUUAGAUUAUGAAUGAUACUUUCAACUAUGACAAUAUUAAAUACAAAACACUCUAAAUAAAUGGAAAGUAGCAAAUUAAGACCAUUGUGUUAUACUUGUCUCUGAAUUGAAAGAUUUAGAAGAAAAUAAAGAGAAAGAGUUAGAAAAUACUUGAAAACAGAUAAAACUUAUAUGUCAUUUAAAAUAAAAAAAAUUUCUAUUUAAGCCAUUUAAAAUUUUUAAGAUUUUUUAAAUUUUAAAAUGAUAAAGGUAAAACUAUAUUUUGGUACCCAAAAAUGAUAAAACUUUGAUUUAAUUCUUUAGAAAUUAUAAAAAUAUAGGCUAUUAAAAUGGUGAAAUUAUAUUUUUACUAUAUUAAAAAUUACAAUUUAAUUUCACUUGCUAAAAGGAUUUACUGGCUUCGCCCCUAAUAAAAUCUUUGGCAAAAGAUUAAAAUAAAAUUAUACCGUGAAUGGAAAAAGAAACUUAAGAAAACCCAAUCUCACAAAGAAAAUAACUUGUCCAAAAGCUACCAUAAACCGUAAUUCAUGCGAAGGCUUGUUGCUCAUUUUAUUGGUUUCCAUUUUGAUUUUGCAAAAGAAGUUUGAAUUUUGAAGAGAGCAAAAGAAAAAAAUAGUUUAUUAAUUUUUUACGAAUACCGACAUAUUAUAUACAUGAUUAAAAUUCCAGAAUAGAUUAAAAAUGUUGAAUUAAAGAUAAAAUUAAGUAUGAAUUAAGAACCACAAGUGUACUCAUUACUCACCAUCUCUGUUAAAAAUGUUGUUUAGCAACCUGUGUUUGAUUUUCUUCAGCUCAACCACAACAUCUUUCAUAUCUUUUCUUUCUUCUGGUAACUCAGCUGAACAAUUCAAAGCCAAUUCCAUGAUAGAUGAAAUACAAUUUGCUUUAACAACAAUGUACUCAUCCUCUCUUCUUAGUAAAUCAACAUCUGCAAUUUCUAUUGCUCCUUUAGGCAAUGAACUUUCCAUCCAAUGCCUUACAGUCUCUUCUUCAACAAAAACAUUAUCAGUUGGCUUUUUCUUUGUGAAAGUUUCUAUAAGGACGAUCCCAUAACUAUAGACGUCAGAUUUUAUAGAAACAAUUCCUGCUGAUCCAAAUUCUGCAUUUCAAGUAUCAUUAGAACAUCAUUCACCCUCAAUUAUUUCUAAAAUGCUUAUUCAAAUAUAUAUCCGCAUACACAAGAAACAAAAAUAUAAAAUGCAAAUUAGGAAAAUAAUCGUACAAAAACAAAAAAGAAUUCACCUGGUGCCAUAUACCCGAUAGUUGCAAGAGUCAUGGUUUGCUUCAUUACUUCACCUUCUCCCAACAAUUUGGCAACGCCAAAAUCUCCAACAUGUGCAACCAUGUCUUCAUCUAGUAAAAUAUUGCUUGGUUUUAUGUCACAAUGAAUUAUAGGUGUUGGAUGUCCAUUGUGGAGGUGUUCUAUAGCUACCGCAACAUCUAUCAUUAUGUCGACCCUUUGUAUGAUAUCAAGGAAACAAUUUUCAGAAUGUAACCAUUUCUCAAGGUUUCCAUUAGACAUGUAAUCAAGCACCAAGGCUUUGAAGUCAACACUUGAGCAGCAAGUAAUGACCUUCACAAUAUUACGAUGAACUAUAUUAAGCAUAACAUCACAUUCAAUGUCAAAACUCCUAAAUGCUCCCUCUGUUUGCAAAUUGAAAACUUUUAUUGCAACUUCCAUUCCAUCUGAAAGCCUCCCUUUAUAUACAUAUCCAAAACUCCCUGAACCAAGCAUAUUGCUUUCCUCAAAUCCAUUAGUUGCUCGUGAAAGUUCAGCAUGUGAAAUUCUUCUCGGUGUCUUCAAAGACAACAAAUCAUCUUUAACUGGUAGAGCUGUACUCCUUUGGCAUCUUCUAUACAUAAUAGUUAAGACUAUUAGUACUAGGACAAUACCAAUUGUUGGUAAACCAUACCUAAAAGCAUGUAAUAUAAUCAUUUGGGAGUUUUUGUGGAUGUCAUUUUUGCAAGGUGGGACUAGCAAUCUAGGUGGACCACAAAAUGCACAAUUAUUCAUGAAUGAUGUGCUAGAAAAGUUUGAAAAACAUCUUUUGCUGGGAAUUUCCCCUUCAAGUCUAUUGAAAGACACAUUAAAAUACUUUAGAUAUAAAAGCUUUUCCAAAGAUUUGGGAAUGACUCCAGAGAGAUUGUUAUUGCAUAAAUCCAAGAAUUCCAAACUAAUCAACCCAUCAAAUGAUUCAGGGAUAUGACCAUGUAGUAUAUUAUUUGAUAAAUCUAAUGAAACCAAAGUUUGAAGACCCCCAAAUGUGGAUAAGAUAUCGCCCAUGAGAAGAUUCCUUGAUAAAUUUAGUCUCAGUAGACUCCUAAAGUUUCCAACAUCAAUAGCAUGUGAAUUGUGAAGAUGGUUUGAUGAUAAAUCUAUUUCUAAGAUAUCUUUAAGAUUCCACAAAGUUGAGGGUAUUGUAGAACUCAAUUUGUUGGAAUCUAACCAAAGAUAUCUCAAAGCAGAAAUAUUACCCAAACAAGAGGGUAUGGGUCCAUGCAGCUUAUUCAACCCUAAAUACAUCUUGUAUAGUCUCUCCAAACCACAGAGGCUUUCUGGGAUAGGCCCUUCUAAUUUAUUAGAGGAAAGAUCUAGACCUUGCAGAUUCCGCAGUCCUCCUAUUGAUGCUGGAAUGAAUCCACUUAAUUUAUUAUGGUCAAGUUCUAAAACCAAUAAGUUGGUUAAGUUACCUAUUUCCAUAGGAAUAAUGCCUUGAAGCUCACAAUUAUAGGCAUGAAAGGAUUGAAGGGAUUUUGAAAGGUUCCCAAUAUAAGUAGGAAGAACGCCACUCAAUGGAUUUCCUGAAACACCUAUUUUUCUCAAAUUCCUACAAUUCGUCAAAGAAGAAAGAAAGCUCCACUCAUGAUCAGUAGCAGAUCCUGUGAUCAAAUUAUUGUCAGUGAUUUUGAGCACUUCAAGGUGUUUUAAGCUGCCAAGCAUUUUAGGGAUUGGGCCAGAGAAUGAGUUAUCUUCCAAGUCUAGUUUCUUAAGCAUGGAAGCAUUGGAGAUAGAGUAAGGAAUGUUUCCGCUAAGUUUAUUUCCCCACAGUAAAAGAAUCUGAAGCUUUGGAGCAUUGGUAAUGGGUGGUAAAUUACCUGUAAAAUAGCAUCUUUUAGAAAACAUAUUCAUUGAAUACCAAAUUCACAAAAUAUAUAAUACAUUAAAAUUAAAACUUUAAAACUUUAAAUCAAUUAAGAAUAAAAUUUUGGCAUGGAAAAUUGUGAUGAAAUCAAUUAGAAAGUUGAGACAUAAUAAGAAGUUUUGAGUAGUAAUUACUCAUGAUUUCCAUAGACAAAACAUAUAAUACACUGAUAAUUUUUUUAAAAAUAUUGUAAAACCUGAAAUAAAAUAAAAAAUAAAAGUUUGGCAUGAGAAUGUGGCAUCUAAUCAUUCUUAAAAAUAAGACUAACAUUGAAUAAUAAUUAGUUAUGAUUUGAGAAACAAAAAUGUUAAAGAUGUAAACUGGUAUGAUUUUUAUCUAUUGGGUUAAUUAUUUAUUUUUAUUAAAUUAUAUAUAGUGUAAAAUUUAAAGAUUAUUAUUUGCUCAAAAUUUUUGUAUUUUUCGUAUAUUUGAAAUUUAAUCUUUAUAUUUUUUAUUUUCUGUGAUUUAGUCUCUCUACUUUUUGAAUUGAAAAUUUUAAGUUUAUUUAUUAACACUGUUAAAAAGUUUUUGUGUUAGUAUGGCAUUUUGAAAAAUAAAAUAAACUUGAUAUCUAUGUUUUUAAUUAUUCCAAAUACUGUUUUACUAUUCCAAGAUAAAUUAUUUGUGUCUAGACCAAUAUCUUAAGAACUAUUGUUGCAUGUUUAAUUAUUCUAAAGAAUUGUUGAUUGAGUCUUAGUUGAAGUGCACUAUUCUCCUAUUUAUGAAUUGGGGAGUUGAUAAAGUACUAAAUUUUGAUAUAUUUUAAAAAAUUAAAAAUUUAUUAAAAUAUUUUUAUAAAAAUUAAUUGUACCAAAAUAUACAAUUUUAAUAUCAAAUUUUUAAUUUUUUUAAAAAUAUUAGCGAAUAUAUACUUUAUUUCAAGUUACACAAUUUUUACUAGUUUUUAACUUUUUUUUUAAAUUUUUAUCGUCUUUUAUAAUUUCAUAUAUUUUUUUAUAAUUUUUUACAAUAUUUACAAUUUCUAACAAUUUUUAAUAAUUUUAUUAUUUAUUAUAAAUUUAAAAAUUAACAAAUUUUUAUUUUUUUAAAACAAUUAUAUAUUUAUAAUGUAGUUAUUUUUUUAUAAUUUUUUUUGAAAUUUAAAGAUUUUUUUGGUUUUUUCUAGAUGAUGAUGCCAUCAUGAUGUCAUCAUAUGCCACAUGGCAAUUUAUAAUUAGUUGACUAUCUCAAUCUAUUUUUUUAACGUCCAAUGGACUAAAACAAGAACACCUGAUAAUGUUAGAGACUACACUAGGAAUGUUUGAUAAUAUUAGGUACUAAAGUGGGCAAAAAAAAUUAAGGACUAUAUUAAAAAUAUAUCUAUAAUAUAUAUAAAUGCAUGGAUUUUGAGAAACUUUUGAAAUGACAAAUAUAUAGUCUUUGUUUUUUUUUACUAUAUUAUUGAAUUUUUUAUUUUAAAUAUUUUUUUAUUACUUUUAAGAUUUAUCAUAUGUAUGGAUAAAAAUUUUGGUUUUACUAAAAUAUUUGGUUAAAUAAAUUCACUUUAUAAAAAAAUUUAGCAUCCUUAUAAAUAACAAUUUUGAUUCCAUUAAAAAAAUUAUUUAAAAAUAUAUAAUAAAAAUUUAAAAUUUAUAUUGAAUCACUUUAUACUUAAAUUAUUAUUAGAAACUUUAUCAUACACAUAUGUGUAUGAGAACCACGUUUUCAGAACUUAAAUUUGUGUUCUAAAAUAACUUAUGAUAAAUAAUUAAAUGUAUAAUUUGAAAUUAUAUUGAAAUAAAAAUAGAUUAAAUUGUAAGUAAAACAUAUAUAAUUUAAACAUAUGAAUACAUCAAAUUAAAAAUACUAAAUGAAUACAUUUAUUUAUGAUGAUGUUGUUGUCAAUUCAUAAGUUGGUGUCGAGUUAAUUUGUGACAUCAUAAUUUUAAGUGAUAAAUUUAAGGUUUUAUGUAUUGAUGUCGAUUCAAAUAUCACCAUAAUUUUUUUAAAUAAAAAACUAAAGCACCCUCAAAUAAUAUAACUUAUAUUAAAUAUGAAAGGGUAUUUUUGUAAUUUCUCUAACGAGUUGGUGCCCGGUUGACUCAUGACACCAACUCAAUCAAAAGCUUCAAUAAUAAUAUAGAUAUUCACGUUUAAAAAAAGUACUUUAGUUCGAAAUAAUUAUGUAACAAGUAAUUUUAUAAUUGAUGAAUAAUUUUAUAAAAAUAUAUUUAUAUGAUCUAAUAUAUUAUAUUUAUAUUAAUUAUAUAUCAUCUACAAACUUUGAAGAUCAAUUUAUUAAGUAUCAGGAAAAGAAAAAAUGAAAUUGAAUUAACACUAAAUCAAUUUUUAGAUUUUGUACAGAUGAUUUAAUGAUGAUAAAAACAUUAUUAGCACUAUUUUUGAAUUAACAAAAAAUUAGUGAUAUAUUUUAAUUAUAUUUUUUAUUUUUUAUUUUUAAUAAUAUUUUUUUAAUUAUAUGAAGUAAAAUUAUAUUGUAUACUAAAUAUGGUACAUAUACUUUAAUUAAAACUUGAAAAAGUAUUAUAUAAAUUAAUAUAUUUUAAUUAUAUUCAACCAUUUGAAUAACAAAAUUAAAAAAAAACUAAUUAGAAUUAUUUACUUUUUAAAGUUUAAUGGAAAAUAAAAAAUAAAAAAUAAAUCAAUUCAUAUAAAUCUUAUUGUUUAUUAUCAGAUUAAAAUGAUAAAAGUAUAUGACAUACAUAGAAGAAACAAAUUCAACACCAUGUUUUUGGAGUUUGGAAAAAAUUAAAGUGAAAAACCUACCUUCUAAACUGUUGUUAAAUAGAUCUAUUUCUUCGAGCGUAGUUGAAUUAAAAAUACUUGAUGGAAUCUGACCUGCACACAUAGUCGAAAAUUGAAGUGAAAUCAAACUCUUUUGUGAAAAAAAUAUUACCAGAUAAUUCAUUCCAACCCAGGUAAAGCCCUUCAAGCUUGGGAAGAUGUUGACACAUAUCAUUAGGCAAACUACCUGAUAGGCUAUUGUUGGAGAGAUUAAUGGUCUUCAAAGAAGAAAUGUUGAAGAUCGAAGUUGGAAUCUGACCUAUAAGGCCUUUAAUUGCUCUAAUACUAAGCCUUUCCAAACUAAGAAGAUUACCAAUUUCCUUAGGAAUUAGACCUGCAGACAGUCGAAAAUUCAAUGUUUUUCAGCAUAUGUUUUUCAUCAAAUGAAAUAAAAAGUUCUUCCUUUUGUUAUCUAUUACAAAUCAAACUCUUUUAUAAAAAAAAUACUUUAAAUUCAAGAAAUCAAGGAAAUUGAUUACCUUCUAGAUUAUUAAACCCCAAAUAUAAUUCUUGGAGUCGUGUUAGAUUUCCAAUACUUCUUGGAAUGAUCCCCAUAAAUUGAUUAUAGGACAACGACAAAAUAUUAAGGUUGUUGCAUUUGCCCAUGCCAAAUGGAAUGUUACUAGAAAACUCAUUGCUAUCCAAGUAAAGCCCUUCAAGCUUGGGAAGAUGUUGACACAUAUCAUUAGGCAAACUACCUGAUAGGUUAUUGUUGGAGAGAUCAAUGGUCUUCAAAGAAGAAAUGUUGAAGAUCGAAGUUGGAAUCUGACCUGUAAAGCCUUUAAUUGCUUUAAUAUUAAGCAUUUCCAAACUAAGAAGUUUAAAUCAAUUAAGAAUAAAAUUUUGGCAUGGAAAAAUGUGAUGAAAUCAAUUAAAAAGUUGAGACAUAAUAAGAAGUUUUGAGUCGUAAUUAGUCCUUCUGAUUUGUAUAGACAAAACAUAUAAUACACUAAUAAUAAUUAGUUUGGCAUGAGAAUGUGGCAUCUAAUCAAUCUUAAAAAUGAGAUGACACUGAAUAAUAAUUAGUUAUGAUUUGGGAAACAAAAAUGUUAAAGCCAUUGCUUUUAAUGUAAACUAGUAUGAUUUUUAUCUAUUGGGUUAAUUAUUUAUUUUUAUGAAAUUAUAGUGUAAAAUUUAAAGAUUAUUUUUAUCUAUUACAAAUCAAACUCUUUUAUGAAAAAAAUAUUUUAAAUUAAAGAAACAAAGAAAAUUCAAUAUCUUCUAAGUUAUUCCACUCCAAAUAUAAUCUUCAGUGAAGAAAUCUUGAAGAUGGAAGAUGGAACCUUACCAGAUAAUUGAUUGAAUCCCAAGCUCAAGGACUCUAGAUUAGACAUGUUAACAAGUGUUUCAGGGAUUGUGCCUAUAAAGUUAUUAUUUUUCAUUUUCAGCCUUCGAACUCCCUGUAAGUUCCCAAGCCAUGAUGGAAUUUCCCCAUUAAGACUGUUGUAUUUUAAUCGAAGGAUCCUCAAACGAUGCAAUUGGCCCAAUUCUUUAGGGAGAUGGCCAUAGAAAUGGUUUCUACUCAAGUCGAGAGAGAGUAGAAAUGAAAGAUUUCCAAGGUGUGGAGGGAUACUACCCCUAAGAUUCAUGCUUUUAAGUUUGGAAACAAAUUCAACACAAUGUUUUUGGAGUUUGGAAAAAAUUAAAGUGAAAAACAUACCUUCUAAUUUGUUGUCAGAUAGUCCUAUUAUUUCGAGCAUAGUUGAAUUAAAAAUACUUGAUGGAAUCUGACCUGCACAUAUAGUUGAAAAUUGAAGUGAAAAACAUACCUUCUAAACUGUUCAACUAAAAAAACUUUAAGCAUAUUUGUUUUUCCAUCAAAUUAACUAUUUUGCCUUGAAUGAAAUAAAAUGCUCUUACUUUUGUUAUUUAUUACUAAUCAAACUCUUUUCUAAAAAAAAACUUUAAAUUAAGAAACUAAGAAAAUUCGGUACCUUCUAGGUUAUUAAACCCUAAAUAUAACUUCUGGAGUCGUGUUAGAUUUCCAAUACUUCUUGGAAUGAUACCCAUAAAUUGAUUAUAGGACAACGACAAAUUUUUAAGGUUGUUGCAUUUGCCCAUGCCAAAUGGAAUGUUACCAGAUAAUUCAUUCCAACUCAGGUAAAGCCCUUCAAGCUUGGGAAGAUGUUGACACAUAUCAUUAGGCAAACUACCUAGGUUAUUGUUGGAGAGAUCAAUGGUCUUCAAAGAAGAAAUGUUGAAGAUCGAAGUUGGAAUCUGACCUGUAAGGCCUUUAAUUGCUUUAAUAUUAAGCAAUACCAAAUCAAGAAUAUUACCGAUUUCCAAACCAAGAAUUUAUAGAAGAAACAAAUUUAACACAAUGUUUUUUGAGUUUGGAAAAUGUUAAAGUGAAAAACAUACCUUCUAAUUUGUUGUCAGAUAGUCCUAUUAUUUCGAGCAUAGUUGAAUUAAAAAUACUUGAUGGAAUCUGACCUGCACAUAUAGUUGAAAAUUGAAGUGAAAAACAUACCUUCUAAACUGUUCAACUAAAAAAACUUUAAGCAUAUUUGUUUUUCCAUCAAAUUAACUAUUUUGCCUUGAAUGAAAUAAAAUGCUCUUACUUUUGUUAUUUAUUACUAAUCAAACUCUUUUCUAAAAAAAAACUUUAAAUUAAGAAACUAAGAAAAUUCGGUACCUUCUAGGUUAUUCAACCCCAAAUAUAAUUCUUUGAGUUGUGUCAGAUUUCCAAUACUUUUUGGAAUGAUCCCCAUCAAUUGAUUAUAGGACAAUGACAAAAUUUUAAGGUUGCUGCAUUUGCCCAUGCCAAAUGGAAUGUUACCAGAUAAUUCAUUCCGACUCAAGUAAAGCCCUUCAAGCUUGGGAAGAUGUUGACACAUAUCAUUAGGCAAACUACCUGGUAGGCUAUUGCUGGAGAGUUUAAUAAUCUUCAGAGAAGAAAUAUUGAAGAUGGAAGAUGGAACCUGACCAAAUAAUUGAUUGAAUCCCAAGUUCAAGAUCUCUAGAUUAGACAUGUUAACAAGUGUUUCAGGGAUUGUGCCUGUAAAGUUAUUAUUCUUCAUUUCCAGCCUUCGAACUCUCUGUAAGUUCCCAAGCCAUGAUGGAAUUUCCCCAUUCAGACGGUUGUAGCUUAAUUGAAGGAUCCUCAAACGAUGCAAUUGGCCAAAUUCUUUAGGGAGAUGGCCAUAGAAAUGGUUGCUACUCAAGUCGAGAGAGAGUAGAAAUGAAAGAUUUCCAAGGUGUGGAGGGAUAGUACCCCUAAGAUUCAUGCUUGUAAGAUUCAAAGCUAUAACUCUUUUAUGGAGGAUGCCACAAGAAACACCAAUCCAAUUGCAAACAGAGGUUGAGGCCGUCCAAUUGUUUGCCAAGACAUUUUGAGGACCGGCAAUGCGAUCCUUAAACUCGAGAAGUGCAAACUGAUCGGAGUUGAGAUUCCUGACUGUCAUACCCCAGCAAAGUCCGGAACAUGGUAUGAAUAAAGCUAAAAGAAGAUGAAAGCAAGUGUUGUAGUUCAUGAUAGCAAGACGGAAUAAGCCAAGAAAAUAAAAAAAAGUAGGACAAGGGAAGUUGAGUUGAUAAAAUAGUUUGGAUGAUGAAGAAAAGCCCAGAGAGCAUGCUUUAAUAUGUUUUGAAGAAAUUUCAAAAUAAAUUUCAAAAUAAAUUUCAAAAUAAAAAUUUAAAAAGGAAAGCAAAGUUUUGAAGAAAUUUCAAAAUAAAUUUCAAGUCUUCUUCUUUAAAAAAUACGUACAAAGAGCGAAUUUUCAAAAUUUUUCCUAAAUUUUCUUCACAUUACUCCACAUAAUCCAUUAAAAAAACUUAAAAAAUAUAUUUUAUUAAUUACUAUACAUUCUUUUAUUUUCAGAAUAAUAAAUUGUUUAAAAUUUGCUAUUAGUCCCUAUAAUUUAAAAGUUAAAAAAAAUUCAAUCCUCCUACUUUUCUAAUUUAAAAAUUUUAGUUCAAUCAAUUUUAAUUUUAAAAUCUCUGUAUAAAAGGUGUUUUUUUUGUGACCGAUCACACUUAACCAAUAUUUAAAAAUUAAUAAAAAAUAUUUUUUUUUGAAAUUUAAAGUGAUCUAAAAACAUAUUUUUAAGUGCUUUGGACCGUCUAUUGUUGAUUUCCUUAUUAUAUUAAGUGUUUGCAAUCACUCCUAAUAUAUUGUGCUUGAGUUGUGACAAAGCCGAUCAUCAAAUUGCCAUAAUGAUCUAUUGAUGCUGAAAUUGAAGUUUUUGUUAUAUUGAUAGAGCUUGUCCUUCAACGCGUACAACGUGUUUGUUAUUUUUCUCCCUUCAAAUUGUAUGAUCUUAUUCAUUAAAUGAAUUAAUGAAUUUCCCUUUUAAAAAGAUAUAUUUUUAAAAAUUAAAUACUUUAUAAAAUAUUUAAAAAUUUGUAAGCCUUAAAACAAUCAACAAAAUAUUUUUGAAAUUUUAUAAAUAUAUUUUAAAACUAUAGUAACGCUACAAAAUAUAUAUAUUUACUAAUUAUAUGCACCUUUUUUAUUUUUAUUUCCUAACAUAUCAUUAUUUUCAACACUAUCGUAAUCCUGUUUUGAUAAUUCCCUUUCCAUACAUCCUUUUUCUACAUAGAAUUUCAAAAGAAAAUGUGAAUUAAUGUAAACGUGAGAAGACUUAAUUACAUUUAUUAGUUUAUCAAUCAAAACUUAAUUAGAAUCCAUCAAUAUUUCACACAUCAAAAACCCAAACAUAAAAUUCACUUUUAAAUUAUUUGAAGAUACAUUUGUAUUAUAGGAAAUCGAUUAAAUUAGUCUUUUAUUAUUAAAUGUAUUAUUUUAAUCUUUGUAUUAGGUAUGAAUGAUAUCUCCUAAAUUGAAGCCAGAGCUAUUCUUGAAAGACUGAAAUUAGGAUUCAGAUGUGUUGAGAUGGAAAGUGACAACACAAUGUUGAUUGAAACUAUUUGUAACAGGUUGACUACAAUAAGUAGUGCUGCCGAAGUAAGACAGAUUCACGAUUGGUGUUCCAAAAAUUGGGAAGUCAAAUUUAGACAUAUUCAGCGGAAUGCCAAUAAAGUUGUUGAUUGCAUAGCUAAGGCAAAUGGAGGCGUAAUUGAGCAGCUGGUUAUCUUGGAAGAUCCUCUGCAUUAUGUGAGAUGGUAGCUUGAAGAAGAUAUUAGACAGUCACUAGUGACUGAUGAUAAUUUUCAUUUGGACUGAUGAGCGCUUAAUUUUCUAAGCUUAUGUUCAACAAAAAAAAUUUUAACUACGUUUAAAUUGUAAUAGAGUUAACAUUUAGUGUUUAAAAAAUAUCUUAAAAAUUAUUAUUUUUUCCAAUUGCAGUUCAAUUCCACAAAUAUCGACGAUGAAUCCGGACAUAAAAAUUAUAGAAAAAAAACACAUCUAUUAUCAAACCAACAAUCCAUGUCUAAACUUAAAUUAACAAAAUUUGCCACGCAACGCCCAGUACACUAUUAUAUAUAUACUAGAUUUAUUCUAGAUGCACAUGUUUUAUUAUAUUUAAAAUUUAAAAUAUAUGGUUGACUAAGUGUUAGUUGAGUUAGUAUUGCUAUUAUUGUCAGUGUAAGGAAAUGUGAGUUUAAUUGCGCUCAAAUGUGUUUUAUCCUCCAAUUCAAGGGUUAGGAAAAGGUUAUUGAUAAUUAAGUUAUACCAACUUUUAUGAUAUUAAAAAAAGGAUUUAUAAAUAAUAUAAGGAAAAGAAAGAAAGAGAAACAUAUUCAUAUUGAUGGGCUCUUUCAAUAUUAGACUUUUUUUUCUAUCACAAGUAAAAAUAUCAAAGGUGAUAAUAAUUAAAUUAUAAAAUUUAAAUUGAGAAAAUAGGGGAUUGAGUUUAUAAGUUUUAAAGUAUAAAGAAUGAAUAUAUAACUAACAACAUAUUUUAACCACAUAAUAAAAGUAGUUAUGGUAAAAUAAUGACCUGAAUAAUUUUAAACGUCUCAUCCUUGCAAAAAUGAAAUAAUAGAAAAGAAAUAAGUGUUGGGUGUAGUGGCAAUGUACAUCAUACUUCUAAGGGGAGAUUAGGGUUUUAGACAAGGGAAGAAUUUUAAACUUGCUCUUUUCUCUAGAACUCAACGCAAACCUCAAAUUUAUCUUUUUAAAAGAAUUUAAAAAUAUGUAUAUAAAAGGUGAUUUUUUUACCGAUCACACUUAACAAAAUUUUAAAAAAAAAUGAAAUUUAAAGUGAUCUAAAAACAUAUUUUUAAGUGCUUUAGACCAUCCUGUGCUGAUUUCUUUAGUAAUUUGAUUUGUUCAAUAUAGAUUUUGGUAACUUAAAACAAAAUUAAUAAAAAAUUAUUUUUUUAGAUAUCUUUUUAAUGUUUAAUAAUAAGUUAAUUUAUAAAAUAUACUUUCAUUGGACACAGGGCCUCCAAGGCGGUGAACCACUAAUCAAAUUAAUUUUGAGAUACUUAAAUUUGUUUUCAUCAAUUAAGAAAUUAAAAAAAUUGUUGAGACCUCAUGAUUAUGUUUUAUAAUUUCAGGCUUAUCAACUAUUUUGAAAAACAACAAAACGUCUUACACCAAAAACUAAAAAAUAAAAACGUCGACAUUAAAUUUGUUGGCAUGCAAUCAAUUUUAAGAUGGUUUUUGGAGUUAUAUAUCACCUUAGCAUUGACUUACUUUUCUACAGUUUGUCUUCUCCAACAAGUUAAAUAUUUCAAUUUUAACAACAUUGACAGGUCUUUGGGGUAGGGUCGAGCAAAAUUCAAUAAAAACAGAUGAUAUAAGUUGAGUUGGCUCGGCCAAGUCGAGUCGAUUUGUUCAAAUUAUUUAAAUUAGUAAAUUUUAGGGUGCAAUUAGAAUUUUUUGUUUUGAGAUGCUAAUUAGAUUAAAAAAUUUCAGUUGCUAAAACAAAAAAAUUGUAUUUAAAAAGGCAUAAAUUAAAUAAUUAAGUUUUUCGAGUUUCCAUUUAAUCAAAGGUUAAAAGGACUAAAUUGAAGCUUUUUAUUUUUAAGAAAGGCUGAAUGACAAAUUGCCCAAAGCCCAUGGCCCUAGCUAUACAACUAACUUUUCUAUGAUUAGUCCUUGGUUUGCUUUGGGUGAAAUCUUCCAACUAGCCUCAUCCUUGGUUUUACUUUCCAACAAUUAGUGUAUCGCGGGUUUUGUUUUCUUUAAAAAAUAUUUGUGGAUAUUAGGAGAUAAUGAAAAUUAUUUUACUAUGAAAUUUUAAUAAAACUGGAAAAUAAGUAAUUUAUUUUAAGAGAUCACAAUUAAACGUUAGAUUUCCCCUUUUUAAAUUAUAAAUUUUUUUUUGACAAUUGCAUAAUAUUUUGAGCGUUGUAGGAAUGCCAUAAUAUAACCUUCCCUACGCAUAAUCGACUCUUGAGCAUGAUGGAUCCUAGACCUUCUCCUCUAUUCUCGUACCACAAAUUGCUUCAAGUGUGGGUUCGAACAAUCACAAAUUAAACGCAAAACCAAAAAUGAUUUAUUACUUUCAAUAGCAAAGUAAUUCUCUCUCAAUAGAAACCAAUAGAAUUGUAAUUCCUAGAAAAUAAAAUUUAUUUUUUGAAAAUAUAUUCUCACUACUUUCUAGCAGAAUAACAAUAUGUGAAACUUAUGUCUUGUGUUAAUAGCUCUACCAGUACUAUCUAUUUAUAGGGAGAGACACGAGAAUCCUGGUUGAAUUAGUAAAACACGAAUAAUAUUUAUUUCAUAGAAAACAAUAUUCCACCCUAAGUAGAUCAAGUUUGUAUGACGCAUGGAUCAAAGCUCAAUCUAGGAGAAAAAAAACAAAGGAAUUUUCUUUGUAAAGAAAAUUUGAGAUUGUACUAUUUUCAAAGUUAUAAAUAAAAUUAUACGCCAAAUUUUCAAGUCAAUUUUCAACUCCAAUUUUGUAUGCACAAAUUUCUAAUACACUUGGUGGGACAUUCUUUGACUUUUAUCUAUUCUCUCAAAAAGUUAAAGUUCAAAGUUACAUUAAACUCAAAGAAGAUAUUCAUUAGUAAACCACCUCACAAGCCUGCUCAAGCUAAUCCUACAACUCGUUCCACUUCAUCAUCAAACACCAAUAUUCUUGCUUAUCCUUAUGGAAUUAAACAGUCUCAUUUUCUGCAUUUUGGGUACACACUUAGUUUUGUUUGAUGCUAAAACAGUCCCCGAGCACUCCAAAACCUAUAAUUGAACAAAUAAUACUAAUUUAAUCUUACAUAACAUGAUCCCAAAUUGAAAUUGUAUCGAGGUUUUAACCCAUAAGUGACUAAACCUUACCUUCAACCGAUGAACAGUAAUUCCCACACAAACUAAGACUCCAAUUGGAGAUUACGAGCCAUUGAAUCCUCCCCUAAUUGGCAUAAACAAAACACUUCAAAAGAAAGUUAACAAAUGGAGACAAAUCACUUAUCUAAAACUUACCGAACGAUCACAGAAAAACGUGGAGUGACACGAGGCAGAGUGGGAAAAGAAAAAUCAAGAGGAUGAAGGGUGAAAGAGAGCAAAAAUUCGGUAGCAAUGAAGAGAAAAACAGCAAGAAAGUGGAGGGAUUUUAGGGAAAGUAAAAAAAAAGAUGAAUAGAAUAUUUGAUAACUACCCAAUCCCUUAUUUCUCUCUAUCAAACUCCCCACUAAAUCCACUACUCGAAUUUUUAGUCCAUCUCAAACUCUCCUGGACGCACGAGCAAAAAAUAAUGACCAUGCCAAAAUUUAAACAAAAGACCUCCUUCACACCAACACUCCACUUAUCCACCAGACCAAUAGGCUCAUUCUUUUAAUUAUUUUCCAACUUUUACUUAAAAGCCUACUGACCAAAGAUAGGGCUUAUUCAUAAAAAUACCAAAUUUUGCCCAAGACCUGGCUUGAACUUGGGACCUCUCAAACACACCCAGAACACAUAACCACUAAAGCAGACAGAAAUUUUGUGUCACACAUUCACAAUACCCAAAAUUAAAAUUUUAGGGCGUUACAAAAACACAUUAAACAAUAUCGCAUAAAACAAUCACAGUCAGAUAACAAUUCAGAAUGUCGAUUUUACAAUUUAACCACCAAUAGUAUCAUAGUAUUCACAGUUGUAAUUUCAGAAUAUCAAAUUUCCACAUCAUUCACAAUAUUCACACAUAUAUAAAUAUAUCAUAAUAGAAUUCUAGAUUUGUAUGCACAUGAUUUAGAAGAUGCCAUACAAUUUUGGGUUUUAACAGAAUAAAUCCUACCCCACAUUACAUACCAUAAUGGGAGUUCCCCUAAACUCCCUUCUCCAACACACUAGGUUGUGGAUAAACCACUAUUGGUUCACAAAUAAUAACUGUCAUUUGGCUGUGGACACAUAGCAAGUCCCCGCAAUUGGAUUCUAGAUUUGGUUGUGGAUUCACAGCAAAAAAAUCCUACAAAUGAAGCCUGCUUUUGCCUGUAGAUUAUACAACAUAUACCCGCAGUUGGAAUCUGUCUUUGGCUGUGGAUGCAGUGUAACACCUCAAACUCGACCUAGACGUUAUGGCUAAAUCUUAAUGAUUUACUUUAACUCGCUAGAAAGCCCACGAAUUUACUUUAAAAUCAUGUGGUUAAACUAGUGUUCACUUUGAUAAAUCGUUUUCCAGUUUUAGAGAAAAUUCUUGUUAAAACUGUUACUUUAUUACAAUAAAACAUUGAAGUAAUUGUAUCAUUUUGUAGUGGAAUCUACUAAGCUAUAAGGUUUUGAAAAUCGUGAUUUAGUUUGAAACAAAUCAUUUUGCAAAUAGAAAUUUAAUACUACUUAAUUUGGAAAAGCACGCUAAAACGAAAGCAAAGUCCAAAAUAAUUUACGGUUUGAAAUUCUAAAAAGCCCAAAUUAGUCAUAAAGUCUAUUUAAACCAAUUUAUCGAAAGUGUAACACCCUAAACCCGGCCUGUAUGUUAUGGCCAAAUCUAGAUGUGUUACGAAAAAAAGUUUAUAAAACGACUUCCUUGUUAUUGGCAAAUCAUCGUAGCCAUUAUUACUUAGUAUAUCUGAUUUGUUUGGAAAACUUAUUGAUAUACUUAUUUGAUUUAAAAUCGUUGCUCACUUACGCCUUUUUAUUAAACCAAAUAUUUUGCAGCGGAGUUUCUUUAAAACAUCAUAUUUUGGAAAAUCAAAUUGUUUCUUGAAAAUCGUUAUUUUAGAAAAGUUGUCAUUUUCAGAAAAAUUAUUUUAUCAGUUGUUAUGCUGAGAAAACAAAAUAAAAUCCAAAACCAAAAAUAGUCCCAAAAAGUCUAGAGAGUCCCAAAAUGACAAUACUCUUAAAACUAGACAAGUUUAAACUAAUUUUAAAAGAAUGAAAUUUUACAGAAAUGUGGACACCACUGAGCUUCCGUCGCACCGACCCACCUAAAUCUGAGGGUUACUUGAACAGAAUAAACAAACAGAGAGUGAGUUUUGAAACUUAGUGUCUAACGCGUAUAUAAACAAAAAUUCAGAAUCAAUCUCAUGCAGAACAGAUACAAGUGUAAACCUUUUAUAAAAUUAGAAUUAUACAGAUACAAAUAUGCAACAUCCUACCCUCAUCCUCUACACACCAACUCCGACCAUUCUAUCACACCACGUGGGGUAUAAAAUACCCACCCAGCCCUACACACCGUAUAGUAUUUAUAUGACACUUUUUGGAAUAAUCGCAGCAGAGUUGCCAGUAUAUAGGCGAGAUAUCACCUCACACAGAACACUUCCUCCUCAUAAUACAAAUCCCGCCCCAUAGCCAGAUACAGACAAAAUAUCAUGUAAAAUAAAUUAACAGAUACUAGAGUUAACAUAUCACGCAUGAGCGUAUAAUAGAUAUUACACAUGCUUAUGCAUAACAAAAUAGAUCAUACAUAUUGUAUUCCAUAAUACUCAUAUAAAUGUUAUUUACGUCAAUCUCAAUCUAAUAGAGUAGCUGAUUUCAUGCUUUAACUCUUAUACCACACAUACAGACCCUAUAGAAGGCCCACAGUUGAUCGAGACAACAUGUAUGUCCCUAGGGAAAAAAUUUGUAAUUUGGGCCCAUAUGCAUGUAUGAGCCCACACACCCAAAAUGGCCUUGCCCAUGUGGCUCACCUACCUAGCACUCAGCCCAUACGGUCCAAAAUGGCCUAGGUCGUGUGUCACACACAGCCGCAUGUUGCACACAGCCUACCACAUAGCGAGUCACAAAACCGUUUGGAGUUGACAAGCCUAAUUUUUGGCUUUCGUCAAUCGUCAUUUUCUUACGUUUUCAUUACACACUUGGUUUGAUUCUGACCCAAAAGCAACCCUAAGUCCACCGAAACCUAAAAAUAGCAUUCCAAUGCCCAAUUUCAGUGAACAUUUACAAAACUUAAACAAAAACUAUCCAAAAACAUAGCCUCACAAUAGCAUCCAAUGCACUCGCACACUUACCGUCAACGAAUAGGAAACACCCAACACUCAAUUCGUUGGCGGAGCACCAAUUAUGAUAAUGCAAAAAUUUUAUGGAUUCUCAACACUAUCGAUCCAAAUGUAAGAUUGAUGCUUUCCAAUUAUGAUAAUGCAAAAAUUUUAUGGGAUGGUUUACAUGAAUUUUUGUUGUUGUCAACGAUCAAUGUAUUCAAUAAUUAAAAGAAAAUAUUAGUCGUUGUUAGAAAACCAAUACUAUGAGUGUUGUAGUUUAUUUCAGUAAAUUAAAGGUUUUGUGGGAUGAACUAGACAAUCAUGAACAAUUGAUUUAUUGCAAGUGUGGACAAUGUUUAUGUAACUUAGGGAAGACGGAUGAACAAUGUCGUGAGCAUGAUCGACUUCAUCAAUUACUUCUUGCUCUCUAUUCUAAUUGUUAUGCUCAAACUAGGUUUACAUUGUUUUACCAAGAUCCUUUGCCUUCCUUAAAUCAGGCAUUCCAACAAAUUACUUAGGAGGAACAUGUACGUGGAAUUACACUGAUUAAGGAAGAGAAGUCUGAUAUUUUAGGCUUUGCUUUGCAUACAGAAGGUCAUAACAAAGGCCGAGCUAAUUGUAUUGAUAAGUCAACCUUGUUGUGCACUCAUUGCUAUCGCAAAAGGCAUGAGAUGGCUACCUAUUUUGAAUUACAUAGCCACUUGGAUUGGCGGCUUAAGAAGUAUGGGAAGCCAGAGAAGAAAAGUGAUGAUCGUGGUGGUAAGACAAGUGCACAUCUUCCACGUAAGUAUUUUAUUUCAAAGGAUCACAAUUAAACAUUAGAUUUCUCAUUUUUAAAUUUUUUUUAUUUUUUUAACAACUACGUAAUUAACGAGUACCAAUUUUGGGUGUUGUAGGGGUUCUAUAACUUUCCCUAUAUGUAAUCGACUCUUGCACCCUCUUUUUUUCUCUAGAAUUCAAUGCAAACCUUAAAUUUAUCUUUUUAAAAGAAUUUUAAAAUCUCUUUAUAAAAGACGAUUUUUUUAGGUGACCAAUCACAGUUAAGAAAAACAAAUCGGUGGCAACUCCUUUCUAAUAAAUGUAAAAAACUUUUUAAACAAAAUAAGGUUGAAAUAAUCUAGUUGUCGUUAUACUUUGAUAAAAUUUUAGAUUUAGUCCUUAUACUUAAAAGGUUAAAAAUUAAGUCUUGUUUUUAUUUAAAAAUCUUAGUCCUAUCGUUAAUAUUGUUUUUUUUUUGUCAAAAUUUGUCAAGUUGACAUAUUAAUUAGGUUUCUCUUAUAUAUCGUGGUAUAUGACUAACACAAAAUAAACAAGUUGACAAAUUCUACAAAAAAUAUCAAAGAUGAUAAUAGUUUAAUUAAAAUUUUUAAAUUAAAAAAGUAAGGGAUUAAAUUUAUAACUUUUAAAGUAUAAUGAAUGAAAUUAUUGAAAUACAAGAACUAACAACAUAUUUUAAAAAUAUUACUAGUAAAUUAUAUAUCUACAACAAGAAUUGUAACCUCUUAUAUUAUAUUCUUGUAUUUAUUUUUGCAUCUUUCAUAAUAUGAUUUAUUAAUUUUAAUAUUUUUAUAGAAUAAUAUGCUUUAAAUAGUUUUUUGUAUCAUUUAUAAAAAUUAUAAUAAACUUACAAAAUAAUUUAAUGAUAUUUAAUUAUUAAUCGAAAAAAAUGAUAUCAUAUAUAUUAUGUAUAUAUUAAGAUUCCAAAUCAUUAAUUAUAUAUCUACGCAUUAUAAUAAAUUCAUCUUUCAAAAUUUUCCUUAUAAUUAAAGCAUAAAUUAUAUUUAUAAUAAUAUAAAUAUAUUCUAUCAUAAAUAUUCUUUCAAAUAUUUUUUAAUGUUUAAUAAUAAGUUAAUUUAUAAAAUAUUCUUUCAGUAAAUUAACGUGAUGAGAUCGUUAGGUGCUUGGAUUUGGUGAAGGGGGAUGAAGAGAAAAGGGAUGGAAGUGAAUAAAAAUGUUGAGAAAUGGAAAGGGUUAGCGAGGGAAGCCGCCAUGAAAGGUGGUUCAAUGGAUAUGAACCUUCAAGCUUUUGUGGAUGAUGUUACUCAAGGUUGUUGCAAGUAAAUUUAAAAAUGUUUUUAAAUUAUUUUUUUGUUAAAAAAACAUUUUUUACUUUUUUAUGUGGCAUGCCACAUUAUCAUACUAUCAUGUGACAAUUUCUGGUGAUUUCUGUCCGCAACAUUAGUCAAAUCAACUGUUAAAUCGUUCAACUCACAGUUUUUGUUAAAUGAAGAGGUUAAUUGAUUUUUUUUUGGAAUCAUUGAGUACUCAAUUGGUGCACUUUUUUCAUAAAGGCUAAAUUAAUUUUUUAAUUUGUUAUUGUUGAAGGCUAUAGCAAUAAAAAAAAUUGAGGUAAAAAAAUAUUAGAGCUAAAUUUGUCAUUAUGCCUAAAAUGUAAAACCAAAUUUUUUUGAAAAUGAAAAAAAAUGGAAAAUCGCAAAUUCCGUCGCAUAUUUUUGCUUAAAAUUAUAGUUUUGGUCACCAAUCUUUUGAAGUAAAUAUAGGUCACCAAUAUUAUCAAUUUGUUACUUUGUAAUAACUCACCUUAAGUUAUACCCCGACGCACGAAAGGAUUAAAUGACAUUGGGAUACCAUCAAACUUGUAUCUUAAAUACACAUUUACCCCUAAUUUUAUCACAUUCUUCUUAAUUGGUAUUUAUGGUUUAGAAAAUUUUACAAAUAUAUUAUUUUUUAAGAAAUUAUAAGAAGAUUACAAAAAUUCCAAAAUAAUAUAAAAAAGCUAAGGAAAACCUAGAAAUUCAAAAAAAAAAACGUGGACAUUGAAUUUGCUGUUUCACAUUAAAUUUUUGGAGAAGUAGAAUUUUCUAACUUAUUUUCCAUCAACUUCACUUCAAUUUUCAAUCACAAUCUAUUGCAUUCAAGAGCACCACAUCUUUUGGGAUGAAACAAACCUCUCAAUUUUAAGAUAAACGGAAUCUAUUGCAUUCAAGAGCACCACGUCUUUUUGGAUGAAACAAAGCUCUCAAUUUUAGGAUAAACGGGUCUUUAGGGUUAUAAAUUGAGGUCCUUUUCCACAAUUGCGGGUGAUUCGUUGAUAAUAACCUCAACAUUUCUGUAUCACAUUUAAUUCAAUUCCACAUUCAAUUUUUAGUUUUUAGAGAGAUGAUUGGGUUACAACAAUGGUUUGAAGUGAAGAUAUUUCAAAACAAGAUGAAUACUCUACCAAUAGUCAUAAUUUAAAAUGCAGGUUAUGUUUCAUUUCAGCUAAGUUAAAUGUUAAGAUUGAGGUUAAACCUUUUAGAGGUUGCUCGCAAAAGGAUCAAACCUUUAUAAAAUUGUUUAAAUGAAGGUCAAACCUCUUAAAAUAGACAAAUAAGGGCCUAACCUUUUAAAAGGUGUUCAAAUAAGGGUUUCUCAAAUUUUGUAUAUCAGGUUAUGUAUUUUACUCUAAACACAUCGACAUUUACCUAUUUUUUCUAUAAAUUGGGUUGAAGUGCAUGAAAAAACCUUAUUUAAGCACUUCUGUAAAGGUUAAACUCUUAUUUGACUAUUUUGAAAGGUUUGAUCCUUAUAUAAGCAACCUCUAAAAGAUUGAGUACUAAUUUGACAAGAUUGAGAAAUACCUAAAUUUGUUUUCAUGAAUCAAGAAAAUAAAAAAGAAAUGUUGAGAAAUAUUUUAGAGAUUCUUAGCUUUGACAAGUUCCCUCCAUCAUCUUCCUGCCUCCAGUCCCACCUCUUCUCUUAUGCUCCUCCCAGCUUCUUGCUUUUUGUGUGUUGAAAUUUCAAAGGAACAAAAUAUCAACCUACAUCAUAAGGCACGAUUGCCAGAACUUUACUUUCUAGCCUGUCGAUCCGAUCCAAUGAAAGAAGAACAAAGAGUCUCAAGAUCUGUCAACUUUAUUUCAUUUUCAUUUUCUUUGUCAUUUUCUAUGUUUCAUGUCGAAUACAAUGAAAGAACAUAGAAAAAUGUUGCCUAUUUAUUUCCCAAUCAUCAUGAAAUUACUUGCCAUAGACUUAGAAUUUUCUCACCAAUUUUCAAGCAAUCUGACAUGAUUUCUCAAUCACAAUUAAUUGAAUUCAAGAUCUUUUUAGAUGACACAAACAUUUCAAUUUUAACACAAACCAAUAUUUAGGUUGUACUUCAGUGCUUGACAAGCACUUUCACAUUUGUGGGAUAAGAACUCUUAACAUUUUAGGAUCACAUUUAAUUCAAUUGCAUUUAAGACCUCACGAUUUUAUUCUAUAAUUUCAGUCUUAUCAGCCUUUUCGGAAACAAUAAAACGUCGACAUUAAAUUUGUUGUUGAUGCAUUCAAUUUUUUGAGGGGUCUUUGGAGUUAUAUGUGACUUUAGCAUUGACUGACUUUUUUAUAAUUAAUCUUUUAUAAUAUAUCAAUUUUAAUAACAUCGACAUGUUUUUUAGUAGGGUCUAGCAAAACCCAAUUAAAACCGAUGAUAUUGGCUUAGUUGACUCGGUCAAGUCCAUUAGAUUGAUAAAAUCAAUUUUAAAAUCAGUUAUAAUGGAUUAAGGUAAUUAAUUAUCGAGUAAUGAAAUACAUAAUCAAAUCAAUUGAUUUUGUUAGAAACUAAAAGAAAAUGAGAUAAGCUGAAAACUGAUUGCCCUUUAUUAAAAUUAACGAAUCCGCCCUUUACGUAUUAGAUAAUACGAACAUCACAUAUAUAAUAAGAAAAAUUACGUAUGAUUAUUUAUUAUCAUAAAAGGUUAGUUUAAAUUUAAAGUAAUCUAAUAUGUUUAUUGAACUUCAACUAUUAAAUAAAGUAUAAGCUAAAUAAGUAUAAAUAUUCUAGAAACCAUUUCUAACUGAUGAUAGGCUAAUUCGAUUAAUUUAUAAAAACUACAUAGUAGGGUUAUAGUCCUCAAACUACACCUAAUUUAAUAAUAUUUAUAGUUUUUUUUUUAGCCUUAAACAUUUAUAGUUUUUUGUUAAUUUGGUCCUUACUCUUUAAAAUUACAUAAAAAUUGCAAAAAAAAUUAAAAUUAAUUUUUUUUCAUAAUUUUAAUAACAUUUAUAGUUUUUUUUUUGUGUGUGGUUUGGUAACUUAUCAACUCGACUCUCACUUGUAACCAACUUUUCUAACCUUUUUCGUACCCUUAACCUAAGUCCCGUUACAACUUUCUAAAGACCUCUUUAUCAGUGUAUCAUGUCGGUUUGUUUUAUAAUGGUGGAGAUUUGUUUUUUGUAGUGGCACGAUUGCCAGAACUUUACUUUCUAGCCUAUCGAUCCGAUCCAAUGAAAGAAGAACAAAGAGUCUUAAGAUCUGUCAACUUUAUUUCAUUUUCAUUUUCUUUGUCAUUUUCUAUGUUUCUUGUCAAAUACAAUGAAAAAAGAACAUAGAAAAAUGUUGCAUAUUUAUUUCCCAUUCAUCACUCUAACAGGCCCAAUUAGCCCAGGCCCAAACAUUAAUAAAAUGUCUAGAUUACAAAAUAAUCAACUAAAAAUUAAAAGCUCAAAAAAUAAAAUAAAACCCAUUAUAUUAACCCAAAACCCCAGCCCAAUUACAUUGAAACCCAAAAAAAAAAUAGUUUUCAGAAACCCCUAGGGUUUCAGAAGCCCCUCAAUGUUAUUUUGUAUAUCUAUUUAUCUUUUUAAAUUUUCGAUAUUGUCUUGUUUUGUUUUUGUAUUAUUGUUGUUACCAUCAUUAUUCAUUAUUAUUAUUGUUGAUUUUAUUGUUCUUUGAUUAAUGUUAAUGUUAGAGUAAUAGAUGUUAUGUGAUCAUUGUUAUUAUAUGUUAUAAUUUGUUUACACUCGUAUUGUAGUCAUUUGUCAGCUUAAUAUUUUGAGUAAUAUUUUAAAUAUUACAUUAAUUUCGACCCAAAUGCAUAAUUUUUUAAUAAGUAAUAUUUUAUAUUUUGAAAUUUGAGAGAUCAUUCCCUAACUUACGGGGUCUCAAUUUUUUCGAUAAAUCUGAAUAUACUAACUAUUUUCAAAAAAUAUGUUUUAAAAUUAUCUCGGGAAUUUAAAAAGGAGCGUGUUCUAACUUACUGAAUAUGAUCUUUUUUUUAAAAUCGAGAUAAUCAAAUAACUUUCAAAUAAAUAAAUUUUCAAUGUUUAUUCUCAUAUCAGGAUUUAAAAUAUUAUAUCCUAACUCACGGGAUACAAUUCUUUUUCUCGAUUAACAUGAAAUAUGCCCGUUUUAAUUUUAUUUUUUAAGUGAUUUUAACAAAAGGAUUGUAUUUUAAAUCUCUUCAAAAUUUUCAAUUUUUCGACAUUGAGACAUUAACUAAUCAAUUAGGUACCAAUUUUGGGCGUUACGAGGGUGCUAACCCUUCCUCAUACGUAACCGACUCCCGAACCUAUUUUUCUGAAUAUUGAAGGCCAAAAUUGUUUUAAUAAAUUAAACCCUUAAGACGUGACCCCAUCACACCUCAUAAAAAUUAUCGGUGGCGACUCUCGUUUGCGUUUUUGUUUUCGUUUUCAAAAUAAAAGUCGACCCCUUGUUUUAAAAAAGGUGGUUCGAUAGCUUGGCGACUCCGUUGGGGAAAAAAAUAAGAGAGUCAAGCCACGAGUUGAUUAUUUCUUAUUUUUUGUCAGAAAUUGUGAAUUCGAUUUAAAUUUACGAUCUUUUCAUUGCAUUUUAUGGUCUGCAUCAUUUUGAUAUGCUUGCUUUACUGGUUCGAGUCUUUUAAUCUCCGCAUAUUGCAUUGCAUAACCGUUCGGUUAUACCCUUUUAAGUGGGAGUGAGAAACUAUUCAUUUGUGAGAUUUUUACCUCCGUAUAGGAUAGUGGAUUACUUUCGGGAUACAUCCGUACCUAUGUCUUCGUGAGAUUUUCAUCUCCGUAUAGUUAUAGGGAAAUGUAUUCCCCUGAACUGAACUCAGUCCGUAUGAGCCUAUAAUAGGUAAGGAUUGAGGAAUCUGCUGGUUCAGGUACCCUUUCUUUAGAACUAAACUGCAUGUAGUGAGCCCUAAGAGCAUACCGUAGGUAGAACCACUCCAAACCCCUAGUGGUCACCCAAAUAGGUGCUCUAUUUAUUUUUGCUUGCUUAUUUUUGCAUUGUACUAACCUAUUUUUUUGUUAUGAUUGCAUUGCAUUUUCAUCAUAAAAAAGAUGUGUUGAUUCACGUUCAAUUGCUAAAUAGAGAGCUUGUCAUGGAAAACGGAUUUCUUGAUAAAGUGGAAGACAAUGUGGUUAUCCGGAUAUGGUCCAAGAAAAUUUGACGAAAGAAGGGUGAUAGUCUAAUGGAGGACUACACGACCUUGCUUUAUUGCCCGAGGAUUCAAGUUGACAAAGAUUAUUUGAGAGUCCUCAAUGUCCCGACCUUUUUCAAGAAGCUAACGAGUGUCACGAGGAUGAGUGAGUAAUGAGUUGCGGCCCGGAUCAAGCAAAAAAGAGAUAGAGGAGACACCCUUUUUGAAGAGUUCGCGAGAUUUAUAUUAAUAUCAAAAUGAAGAAAAAGAUCAAUGUCUUCGCCUGGAGUAUGAAAGCAAAGCUGUAUAUAUAUCCGCUUUAUGUAAAUAAAUUUGUUUUCUAGUAAAGUUUUUCUAAUAGAAUUGAAUCAGAAUCAAUGUCUUUUUUUGCAUUCAUUCCAUUCAUCUGCAUUGCAUUUCAUUGCAUCCAAAAUUUCACAAAAGGACCCUAAUUAAUUGAAAUUGUUAUAGUUACUCUGAAAACUAAUAAAAAUCUACCAAUUAAAUAUUCCUACGGUACCCGUCGCAAAACCAAAGUAAUGGAUCAAAUAUUAGAAAGAUUAGAACAAAUUCUGAAAGACAAGCAUAAUCGUUUUUGCUUAGGGUACAAGCCAGAUACAAGACAAAGAAGGAAGGAGUUAGAGAAGAAAUAGGAAAGAAUGACAGCAUAUUUGAGCGAGGAUGAGGUCAAAUGGGAGCCUAUGAACUUUCCCUACAUAUCCAAAACUUUUGUAUCGGGAGGGAUUAUUCAUCCCGAGCGAAGAAUGCCAAGAGAAGAAAAUAUUGAAGAAAUGUUGGGAAACGUUCACAUCAAUGCCAUAUACGAAGAAGUAGUUGAAGGAUGGACCUUGUUAGAUAUCCGACCUUAUGAACCUGGGAGUGUGCUAAACAAUUGGACUACAGAAGAAAUUCCUGUAGUGUUUAGACCUUACUCAGAGUAAUAUUCAAAACACACUUGUUGCUUUUAGCCUAGAAGUGAUAAGAAUCCCUCUGUGAAAUAGGCUCAUGUAUAAACAUCAUUAUUUUAAUAAAGUAAAUCUUUGCAUUCAUUUUGAGCAAAUAUUCUUUUAUUCUUUCCAUACGAGUAAUUAUUUUAGAUUUUUCAUUAUUUUAGGAUUUUCUUCCAAAAAUCAUUCUUUUAUUACAUUCAUAAUCAUACUGUACAAAUAAUUAUUCUUAAAUUCAUUCAUUCUUUGUAUAUUCUUUUGUACCUAUAAUAGGUCCCUAGAUAUCAACGACAUGAGUGACGCUGCUACAGACUUAGAAUUUCCUUUUAAACAAGACAUGUGUUUAGAGGGAUCCCAUGACUUUGAAGAUGACGUAGACUGUGGCUUAUCUCCGGACUUGUUAAGGAUGGUAAAACAAGAGGAGAAGCAAAUCCUACUUCACAAUGAAUCAAUGGAAAUUGUGAGCUUAGAAGGGGAAAAUAGGUGAAGAUUGGGACUGACAUUGCCACAAAUACGAAGUAAGACCUCAUUGAGUUACUCUAAGAAUUCAAAGAUAUUUUUGCAUGGUCAUACUAGGAUACGCUCGGGUUAAGUACUGACAUUGUAGUACACUGCCUUCCUAUAAAAGAAGAUUGCUAGCCAGUUCAGCAGAAACUCCAGAGGAUGAGGCCUGAUAUUGUGCUAAAAAUAAAAGAAGUCAAAAAGUAAUUUGAUGUUGGGUUCUUACAAGUGGUCAAAUAUUCAGAAUGGGUAGCCAACAUCGUCUCAGUUCCUAAAAAAAAUGGGAAAGUACGAAUGUGCAUGGAUUACAGAGACUUGAACAAGGCCAGUCGAAAAGACAAUUCCCUAUUGCCUCACGUUGACACUUUGGUGGAUAAUACAGUAGGCUACUCACUUUUUUCCUUCAUGGAUGGCUUCUCUGGAUACAAUCAGAUAAAGAUGCAUCCAAAAACAUGGGAAAGAUUACAUUCGUGACCCUGUAGGAAACGUUUUACUAUAAAGUGAUGACAUUCAGAUUAAAGAAUAUGGGAGCGACGUAUCAAAGGGUGAUGGUAACCUUGUUUCAUGACAUGAUUUACAAGGAAAUCGAGGUUUAUAUUGACGAUAUGAUUGCAAAAUCUAGAACAGAAGAGGAACAUGUGCAGGUCCUGAGAAAAUUAUUCUUAAGACUGAGAAAGUUCUAGCUCAAGCUUUCCAACGAAAUGCACUUUCGGAGCUAGGUCAGGAAAGCUAUUAGGCUUCAUAGUCAGUGAAAAAGGAAUCGAGAUCAACCCAGACAAAGUCAAGGUAAUAAGAGAUUUACCUCCACUAUGCACUCAGAAGAAAGUUCGAGGUUUCCUAGGAAGACUAAAUUACAUUGCUCGGUUUAUUUCACAACUAACCGAAAAAUGUGACCCCAUAUUUCAUCUUUUAAAGAAACAUAAUCCAGAUGUAUAGGAUGAAGAAUGUCAGGAAGUUUUUGAUAGGAUAAAGCAGUACCUAUCAAAUACUCUAGUGCUGUUACCACCUAGCCCAGAUAGGCCACUGAUAUUGUAUUUAACAGUGUUUGAUAAUUUUAUGGGAUGCAUGCUAGGCCAACAUGAUGAGACAGGAAGGAAAGAAAGGGUUAUAUACUAUCUCAGUAAGAAAUUCACUGAUUAUGAAAUAAGAUACUCGUCUAUUGAGAAAUUAUGUUGUGCCUUGAUCUGGAUAACUCGGAGGCUAAGGCGGUACAUGUUGUACCAUACGACUUGACUAAUUUCAAAGUUAGACCCUUUAAAGUAUAUGAUGGAGUCAACUACUUUGAAUGGGAGGAUGGCCAGAUGGCAGAUUUUACUUUUUGAAUUUGACAUACUUUAUGUGAGCCAGAAGGCUAUAAAAUGGAGUGCAAUAGCGGAUUUUCUAGCUAGCAGAGCCUUGGAGGAUUAUGAGCCUUUAAAUUUUGAUUUUUUGAACGAGGACUUAAUGUAUGUGGCAACCACUAAAGAAAAUGCUCAAGUGGAUCGCAUUUGGAAGCUAAAAUUUGACGGAGCCUCAAAUGCUAUGGGUAAUAAAAUUGAGGCAGUCUUAGUAUCCCCGAGCAGAGAUCAUUAUCCUAUUGCUGGCAAAUUGGAUUUUGAUUGUACAAACAAUAUAGCAGAAAAUGAAGCGUGUAUUAUGGGCAUCCGUAUAGCCAAAGAAUGUAAAAUCAAAGUGCUAAAGGUAUAUGGGGAUUCUGCAUUGGUGAUAUAUCAGCUCAAAGGAGGAUGAGAGAUAAGAGACCUCAAAUUGAUUAAUUAUCGAAAGUUUAUUCUCGAAUUGAUUGAUGAGUUUGAUGAUAUUACUUUCUCCUAUCUCCCACUAGAUGAAAACCAGAUGGCUGACACGUUGGCUACUCUAGCUUUCAUGAUCAAAGUAAACAAACUAGAAGACAUGAAGCCUAUCCAGAUGAGCAUUUAUGAGACUUUGGCUCAUUGCUACAGUAUCGAGGAAGAGGAAAAGGAUGAUCAUCCUUGGUACCAAGAUAUACUGCAAUAUGUAAAGAAUCACGAGUACCCUGAUCAGGCAACGAAGAAUGAUAAGAGGACAUUGAGAAGACUAGCCACUAACUAUGUCUUACAUGGAGAGAUUUUAUACAAAAAGGGAAAGGAUCGGGUACUACUAAGAUGCUGGAUGCUAUAAAAGCUUAGAAAAUCUUGGAGGAAGUCCAUGAAGGUAUCUGCAAAAUGCAUGCCAACGGUUUCACAAUAGUAAGACAGAUUAUGAGAUUCGGGUACUACUGGUCGACCAUGGAAGGAGAUUGCAUCAAUUAUGCCAAGAAGUGCCAUAAAUGUCAAAUUUAUAGAGACAAAAUACACGCACGUUCUUCACCUCUCAACGUUAUGACUUCUCUAUGGCCUUUCUCUAUGUGGGAUAUGGAUGUCAUCGGGCCAAUAUUGCCAAAGGCUUCUAAUAGGUAUCGUUUCAUCUUCAUGGUCAUUGGUUACUUCACUAAAUAGAUGGAAGCUGAUUCAUAUGCUAAUGUCACGAAGUCAGGAGUCAGCAAGUUCUUGAAAAGGGAGAUCAUAUGUUGAUAUAUAAUGCCUGAAAGAAUCAUAUCUGACAAUACAUUGAAUUCGAAAAAUAGCAAAAUAGCGGAGGUCUGCAAUCAAUUCAAGAUCAAACACCAUAAUUCGUCACCAUAUCGCCCAAAAAUGAACGGAGCAGUGGAGGCGGCCAACUAAAAUACCAAGAAAAUUGUGGGGAAAAUGUCUGAGACUUACAAAGAUUGGCAUGAAAAAUUACCAUUUGCCCUCUUUGUUUAUCGAACAUCAAUCAGGACUUUCGUCGGGGCAACGCCUUUCUCUCUAGUUUAUAAGAUGGAGGCAGUUUUACCCAUUAAAGUUGAAAUCCCUUCUCUCUGGGUAUUGGCUGAGCUAAAGUUGGAUGAAGCUGAAUAGAUCCAACCUCGAUAUGAUCAGUUGAACCUAAUAGAAAGAAAAAGGCUAAAAGUUAUUCACCACGGUCAGAUGUACCAAAAACGAAUGAUGCGAGCCUACAACAAAAAAGUUCAUCCCAAAGAAUUCUAUGAGGGGGACCUAGUGUUGAAAAAGAUUUUUCCUCUACAAAAGAAUUUUAGAGGAAAAUGGAUGCCAAAUUAGGAAAGACCUUAUGUUGUAAUAAAGGCCUUUUCUGGAGGAGCAUUGAUUUUGAGUGAGAUGGAUGGUAAAAAUUUUCCUAAUCUUGUAAACUCAGAUUCAUUCAAGAAAUACUUCACCUAAAGAAGGAGAAGGGACCAAUGUGAAAACCUGCAAAGGGCACUUUGAGUCUUAAAAAAAAGAGACCAAGGUGAAAACCGCAAAUGGUGUCUUAAGUCCUAAAAAAAAGAGGCCAAGGUGAAAACUAGCAAAGGGCGCCUUGAGACCAAAGGGGAUUUGAGUUGAAAACCCGAAAAGAGCGACUCAAAUAUUGAUUAAAAUGGGGCAUGCAGUGAUCUUGCUAUACUUGAAUUAAUAGGAAAGGGGUAUACGACAUCUUGGGGCAUCGACAAAGUACUAUAGAUCUCCUAAACACAUUUCAAACUCAAAAUGGUCUUUAGGAAGUUUGUACAGAGAAAUUCAAGCUGCGAUGUCUAGGGCACCUAGUCUUCAUACUAUUUAUAUUAAAUUUGCUAUUCUUGGAAUACUUUAUUCUUUUCAAGAUACGUGUUCCCAAUCAAUUCCCUUUUUAUUCUUCUUUAUCCUUGAUAAUUUAUUCAUUUCGAGCUAUGCUCCAAAUCAAUUCUAUUCUUAUCCAUUGUUAUUAUCUUUUGCAAGCAUGUUGUAUUGGAAUAAUGAUUAAUAGACUAAUAAUACUUUUACAAAUAAAGUGCUGUAUAUUACUCUAAAAGUUUCUAAAUAAUACAAGAACCUAAAACAGGACUAUUGUUUAGAACGCACCGGGUUUAAAGGUUAGAAAUAUCUGAGAAGGAAGAGUCCAAAUUAAGACUAUCCCUUCGAAUUUUGUUGUCAAAAUAUUGAUUGAACAAAACGACAAGAUAUCGUAUUGGUGAACAAACGAGCAAUGAUCACCAGGUAAUAAAAAGAGGUUAUUUUGGAAAAAAAAUUACAUUGGUACGACACCUUAGGAAUGGUGUAAGAGACCAAAGAGGUUCACAUCUUGUAUUCUUGAAUUGCAAUAGGAGAGGAUUGAGAAAGAGCUAGAUAUUAUACUCCUGAAUUAUAAUGGAAGGGAAAUGGUACAAAUUUUAUGUACCAAAAGUACAGUGGAUUGAACCUUGAAGAUUACAGUAGGGGAAAUCUGAUUAAGUAAAAUAUGAAGUGUUUCUUUGGAGAUACCAGUCGAACAAGAUGGCAUUAUGACGUGUCGGUGAUAGAGCCUUAAUGAAUAAUGAGCAAUAACAACUCAAGCAUUAAGGGAUCAUUUUCAUAACAUUCUGUAUUCAUUCAUACACAUCUAGUUAGGAGAUUUUGAUUCAUUCCGAUCAUAACAUCCAAAUCACUAGACAUAAAUAGGCCCAUGAAAUGGAUUCUACAGGUCAUGUUCCCCAUAGAACAGAUGGGUGAAACCACAAAUCCUAUACCGCUGAAGUUGCAGUGGGAUGGAUUGAAGUCAUUAUGGCGAGUCUUAUCUCCCUGAAGUUGCAAUGGAGCAUAUUAAAGCUAGUAAUCUUAUCUCCCUGAAGUUGCAGUAGAGCGGAUUGAAGUUACAAGUCUUAUCCCCCUAAAGUUACAGUGGAGCAGACUGAAGAUAGUGAAUCUUAUUUCCCUGAAGCUGCAGUGGAACAAAUUGAAGCUAUAAAUUGUAGAUUUUAUCUCUCUAAAGUUGCAAUAGAGAAGAUCAUAUCAAACUUUAUCUCCCUGAAGUUGUAGUGGAACAGGUUGAAAAUACCAAUCUUAUCUCCCUGAAGUUACAGUGGAGUAGACUGAAGAUAGCGAAUCUUAUUUCUCUGAAGUUGCAGUGGAACGGAUUGAAGCUAUAAAUUACAGAUCUUAUCUCUCAGAAGUUGCAGUAAAGCAGAUCAUAGAAAACCUUAUCUCCCUGAACUUGCAGUGGAGUAGGUUGAAGUUAUAAGUCUUAUCUCCCUAAAGUUGCAGUGGAGCAGACUGAAGAUAGCGAAUCUUAUUNNNNNNNNNNNNNNNNNNNNNNNNNNNNNNNNNNNNNNNNNNNNNNNNNNNNNNNNNNNNNNNNNNNNNNNNNNNNNNNNNNNNNNNNNNNNNNNNNNNNNNNNNNNNNNNNNNNNNNNNNNNNNNNNNNNNNNNNNNNNNNNNNNNNNNNNNNNNNNNNNNNNNNNNNNNNNNNNNNNNNNNNNNNNNNNNNNNNNNNNNNNNNNNNNNNNNNNNNNNNNNNNNNNNNNNNNNNNNNNNNNNNNNNNNNNNNNNNNNNNNNNNNNNNNNNNNNNNNNNNNNNNNNNNNNNNNNNNNNNNNNNNNNNNNNNNNNNNNNNNNNNNNNNNNNNNNNNNNNNNNNNNNNNNNNNNNNNNNNNNNNNNNNNNNNNNNNNNNNNNNNNNNNNNNNNNNNNNNNNNNNNNNNNNNNNNNNNNNNNNNNNNNNNNNNNNNNNNNNNNNNNNNNNNNNNNNNNNNNNNNNNNNNNNNNNNNNNNNNNNNNNNNNNNNNNNNNNNNNNNUCAAAGGAACAAAAUAUCACCUACAUCAUAAGGCACGAUCGCCAGAACUUUACUUUCUAGCCUGUCGAUCCGAUCCAAUCCAAUGAAAGAACACAAGGAGUCUUAAGAUCUGUCAACUUUAUUUCAUUUUCAUUUCUUUGUCAUUUUCUAUGUUUCAUGUCGAAUACAAUAAAGAGAACAUAGAAAAAUGUGGCCUAUUUAUUUCCCAAUCAUCAUGAAAUUACUUGCCAUUGACUUAGAUUUUCUCACCAAUUUCAAGCAAUCUGACAUGAUUUCUCAUCACAAUUAAUUGAAUUCAAGAUCUUUUUAGAUGACACAAACAUUUCAUUUUAACACAAACCAAUAUUUCGGUUAUACUUCAGUGCUUGACAAGCACUUUCACAUUUGUGGAUAAGAACUCUUAACAUUUUAGGAUCACAUUUAAUUCAAUUGCAUUUAAGACCUCAUGGUUUUAUUCUAUAAUUUCAGUCUUAUCAGCCUUUUCGGAAACAAUAAAACGUCGACAUUAAAUUUGUUGUUGAUGCAUUCAAUUUUUUGGGUCUUUGGAGUUAUGUGACUUUAGCAUUGACUGACUUUUUUAUAAUUUAAUAAUAAGGUAAAUAUAUUAAUUUUAAUAACAUCGACAUGUUUUUUAGUAGGGUCGAGCAAAACCCAAUUAAAAUCGAUGAUAUUGGCUUAGUUGACUCGGUCAAGUCCAUUAGAUUGAUAAAAUCAUUUUUAAAAUCAGUUAUAAUGGAUAAAGGUAAUUAAUUAUCGAGUAAUGAAAUACAUAAUCAAAUCAAUUGAUUUUGUUAGAAACUAAAAGAAAAAGGGCUAAGCUGAAAAUUGAUUGCCCUUUAUUAAAAUUAACGAAUCUGUCUUUUACGUAUUAGAUAAUAUGAACAUCGCAUAUAUAAUAAGAAAAUUACGUAUGAUUAUUUAUUAUCAUAAAAGGUUAGUUUAAAUUUAAAGUAAUCUAAUAUGUUUAUUGAACUUCAACUAUUAAAUAAAGUAUAAGCUAAAUAAGUAUAAAUAUUCUAGAAACCAUUUCUAACUGAUGAUAGGCUAAUUCGAUUAAUUUAUAAAAACUAGAUAGUAGGGUUAUAGUCCUCAAACUACACCUAAUUUAAUAACAUUUAUAUUUUUUUUAGCCUUAAACAUUUAUAGUUUUGUUAAUUUGGUCCUUACUCUUUAAAAUUACAUAAAAAAUUGCAAAAAAAUUAAAAAUUAAUUUUUAUCAUGAUUUAAUAACAUUUAUAUUUUUUUUUGUGGUUUGGUAACUUAUCAACUUGACUCUUACUUGUAACCAACUUUUCUAACCUUUUUCGUACCCUUAACCUAAGUCCCGUUACAAUUUCUAAAGACCUCUUGAUUGGUGUAUCAUCUCGAUUUGUUUUUAUAGUGGUGGAGAUUUGUUUUUUGUAGUGGGCAUGAUUGCCAGAACUUUACUUUCUAUCCUGUCGAUCCGAUCCAAUGAAAGAAUAACAAAGAGGUCUUAAGAUCUGUCAACUUUAUUUCAUUUUCAUUUUCUUUGUCAUUUUCUAUGUUUCUUGUCACAUACAAUGAAAGAAGAACAUAGAAAAAUGUUGCCUAUUUAUUUCCCAAUCAUCAUUCUAACAGGCCGAAUUAGCCCAGGCCCAAACAUUAAUAAAUGUCCAGAUUACAAAAUAACCAACCAAAAAUUAAAAGCCCAAAUAAUAAAAUAAAACCCAUUACAUUAACCCAAAACUCCAGCCCAAUUACAUUGAAGCCAAAAAAAUAGUUUUUAGAAACCCCUAGGGUUUCUGGAACAAUCCGCGCCGCUCCUCCAUCCGCUUCUCCACGCACGCUGCACCUUUCCACGUGCGCCUCCAGCUGGCAGUGUACCUCCAAUGCAACAAACAAAGCAACAAGCAGCAAAAGAAAUGGAAAAACAACAAAAAAAAAAGAAGGAGCAACAAUGUAUAACAGAUUGAUAACAAAUAAUAGAAAAAAUAGCAGUAAAUAGGAAAAAAAAUUAAAAAAUAAUGAGGGUAAUUUCAUUUUUUUCUCUGUUUUGGCUAUAAAGAGAGCCGGUCAAAAUCUCUAAAGGGGGAUUUAGAAUCAAUCAGAAAACAAGUAUUUUGUACCAACAAUUAGAGAAAAAAAAUACAAAAAUAGGGAUUGAAGGUUUUUUUUUUCUUUCGUUUCGAUUUAUUUAAAAUAGCAUAGAAAAUAAAAAGAAGGCUUACCUUGCGACGCCUUCAGAUCCUCUCGAAAAGGGGCUAAAAGGCCCUAUGUGGCACAGAUUUGACCACUGUUCACGGUGGAACCGCAGCGGAGGCGCAGAGGAUUGGCAUCAAUUUAGGCAGGGUUUGAAACCCUAGCAGAGAAAAAAUUAGGGUUGAUAGAUUUUUUUUAAAAAAAUGGCAAAAUGUUGUUUUUAAAAAAUUUUGUUUUAAAAAAAUUGUUGCUUUUAUAAAGGGUGUAAAACGGCGUCGUUUAGGGCAUGUUUCGAUGGCCCCAAAACGGCGCCUUAUAAGGCAACCCCCGACGACCCGACCUGCUCCAUGGGGGAUCCGCGUGGUUUUUGUUAAAUGGGUUAUGUCUAACCCUGGCCCUUCUACUUUUUAUACUUGUUUUAAUUUGAUCCUCUUUUUAUUUAUUUUUAUUUCUUUAAAUUAAGCCUGAUAAUUUUUUUCCAUUACAUUUUAAUCCUUAAUGAAACGGCGCGUUUUAGAGGAGAAGGGAAAAUUACCCUUCUAGUCCCUUCUUGUUAUUCGAGUGUUCAGAAGGGUCCUUUUUUGUUUAUUUUUUAUUUGCCCCAAAAUUUUGUUUUAAAGCUUAAUUUAGUCCUAUUUUGUUAUUUUAGCUAUUUUAUUAUUAGAUUAAUUAAUUUAAUAUUAUUAUUACUGCUAUUAUUUUACCCCUAUUAGUUAUAUAUUUAUUAUUAUAACUAUAUCAUUAAAUCAAUUAGUUUUUACAUUAUUAUUUCCAUUCUGUUUUUUAUUUACUUACUUAAAUACUUUAAAUGCAUUUAUUUUAUUUCUUAUUUUUUUAUGAAAUUUCAAAACUUUAGACUAUUUUUUUGUUACUAUAACCCUAAUUUCAUUCAUUUUAUAAUAGUUUUUUUUUAAAAUAUUUCUUAGAUUAAUUCCCUCGAUGUUAUUUUGUAUAUUUAUUUAUCUUUUUAAAUUUUCGAUAUUGUCUUAUUGUAUUAUUGUUGUUACUAUCAUUAUUCAUUAUUAUUGUUGAUUUUAUUCUUCUUUGAUUAAUGUUUAUGUUAGAGUAAUAGGUGUUAUGUGAUCAUUGUUAUUAUAUGUUAUAAUUUGUUGACACUCGUAUUGUAGUCAUUCGUCAGCUUAAUAUUUGAGUAACAUUUUAAAUAUUACAUUAAUUUUGACCCAAAUGCAUAAUUUUUUAAUAAGUAAUAUUUCGUAUUGUGGAAUUUGAGAGAUCAUUCCCUAACUUACGGGGUCUCGAUUUUUUUGAUAAAUCUGAAUAUAAGAACUAUUUUAAAAAAAUACGUUUUAAAAUUAUCUCGGGAAUUUAAAAAGAAGCGUGUUCUAACUUACGGAAUAUGAUCUUUUUUAAAAAUCGAGAUAAUCAAAUAUCUUUCAAAUAAAUAAACUUUUCGUGUUUAUUCUCGUUUUAGGAUUUAAGAUAUUGUGUCCUAACUCACGGGACACAAUUCUUUUUCUCGAUUAACGUGAAAUACGCCCUUUUUAAUUUUAUCUUUUUAAGUGAUUUUAACAAAAGGAUUGUAUUUUAAAUCUCUUCAAAAUUUUCAAUUUUUCGACAUUGAGACAUUAACUAAUCAAUUAGGUACCAAUUUUGGGCGUUACAAGGGUGUUAACCCUUCCUUGUACAUAACCGACUCCCGAACCUAUUUUUCUGAAUAUUAUAGGCCAAAAUUGUUUUAAUAAAUUAAACCCUUAAGAGGUGACUCGAUCACAGCUCAUAAAAAUUAUCGGUGGCGACCCUUGUUUUAAAAAAGGUGGUUUCAACAGCUUGGCGACUCCGCUGGGGACAAAAAUAAGAGUCAAGCCGCGAGUUGAUUAUUUCUUAUCUUUUUGUCAGAAAUUGUGAAUUCGAUUUAAAUUUAUGAUCUUUUCAUUGCAUUUUAUGGUCUGCAUCAUUUUUAUAUGCUUGCUUUACUACUUCGAGUCUUUUAAUCUUCGCAUAUUGUAUUGCAUAACCGUUCGGUUAUACCCUUUUAAGCGGGAGUGAGAAAUUAUUCUUUCGUGAGGUUUUCACCUUCGUAUAGGAUAGUGGAUUACUUUCAGGAUACAUCCAUACCUAUGUCUUCGUGAGAUUCUCAUCUCCGUAUAGUCAUAGGGAAAUGUAUUCCCCUGAACUGAACUCAGUCCGUAUGAGCCUAUAAUGGGUGAGGAUUGAGGAAUCUGCUGGUUCAGGUACCCUUUCUUUAGAACUAAACCGCAUGUAGUGAGCCCUAAGAGCAUACCCUAGGUAGAACCACUCCAAACCCCUAGUGGUCACCCAAAUAGGUGCUCUAUUUAUUUUUGCUUGCUUGUUUUUGCCUUGUACUAACCUAUUUGUUAUGGUUAUGAGUGCAUUGCAUUUUUAUCAUAAAAAAGAUGUGUUGAUUCACGUUCAGUUGCUAAAUAGAGAGCUUGUCAUGGAAAACGAAUUUCUUGAUAAAGUGGAAGACAAUGCGGUUGUCCGGAUAUGGUCCAAGAAAAUGUGAAGAAAGAAGGGUGAUAGUCUAAUGGAGGACUACACGACCUUGCUUCGUUGCCUGAUGAUUCAAGUUGACAAAGAUUAUUCGAGAGUCUUCAAUGUCCCGACCUUUUUAAAGAAGCUAACGAGCGUCACGAGGAUGAGCGAGUAAUGAGUUGCGGCCCGGAUCAAGCAAAAAAAAGAUAGAGGAGACACCCUUUUUGAAGAGUUCACGAGAUUUAUCUUAACAUCUAGACGAAGAAAAAGAUCAAUCUCUUUGCCUAGAGUAUGAGGGCAAAGCCGUAUAUAUAUCCGCUUUAUGUAAAUAAAUUUGUUUUCUAGUAAAGUUUUUCUAAUAGAAUUGAAUCAGAAUCAACGUCUCUUUUUGCAUUCAUUCCAUUCAUCUGCAUUGCAUUUCAUUGCAUCUAGAAUUUCACAAAAGGACCCUAAUUAAUCGAAAUUGUUAUAGCUACCUUGAAAAACUAACGAAAAUUUACCAAUUAAAUAUUCCUAUGGUACCCAUUGCAAAACUAAAGUAAUGGAUCAAAUAUUAGAAAGAUUAGAACAAAUGCUGAAGGAUAAACAUAACUGCUUUGGCUUAGGGUACAAGCCAGAUACAAGACAAAGAAGAAAUAGGAAAGGAGAACACGUUUGAGCGGGGAUGAGGUCAAAUGGGAGGGAUUAUUCAUCCCAGGCGAAGAAUGCCAAGAGAAGAAAAUAUUGAAAACAUGUUGGGAAACGUUCACAUCAAUGCCAUAUACGAAGAAGCAAUUGAAGGAGUGACCUUGUUAGAUAUCCGCCCUUAUGAACCUAAGAGUGUGCUAAACAAUUGGACUGCAGAAGAAAUUCUUGUAGUGUUUAGAGCUUACUCAUAGUAAUGUUCAGAACACACUUGUUGCUUUUAGCCUAGAAGUGAUAAGAAUCCCUCUGUGAAAUAGGCUCAUGUAUAAAAAUCAUUAUUUUAAUGAAGUACAUCUUUGCAUUCAUUUUGAGCAAAUAUUCUUUUAUUCUUUUCAUACGAGUAAUUAUUUUGGAUUCUUUAAUUCUUUUGGGAUUUUCUUCCAAAAUCAUUCUUUUAUUACAUCCAUAAUCAUACUGUACAAAUAAUGUAAUAGCCUGAAUUUUCAGUGGUGUCGGAAUGGUGAUUCAAGAUCACUAAGUCUGACAAAUGAGUAGAAAAUAUUAUUAAUUUAGUAAGAAUAAGUAAAUGUGAAGUUAGGAAAAUUUUUGAAAUAGUGAAUAGUGUACUAGGAAUAAAUAUUAAAAUAAUUAAAAUAAAAAAUGAGGUAUCGAGACCUCGAAGAUUUUAAACCAAGCCAUAAGUACUUUUAGAAGUAUUUUUAGAGUGUCAUUGAGUUGGUAUUAAAGUUUCGUUAGAAAAUUUUAACGCUCGGAUAGUUAAUUAACCAAAAAGGACUAAAUUGAAAAUAGUGUAAAAUUUGUUAAAUUGUGAUUAAAUAGCUUAAGUGAUUAAAAAGGAGGGAUUUAAAAGGCAAUUAGGCCCAAAUUAUAUGGGCUGGACGGUUGGGUAAGAAAAAUCAGCAGAAUGUAAGGAGAAAACAGGGGCAAAAUUGGAAACUUAACAAAUUAAACAUAUAAAACAAAGACAAAAGUGAAAAAUCUAGAGAUCUGUUCACAAUUUAUCAGCAAAAAUGCCAUAGGAGGUCUGAAAGAAGCUGGUUUUUCAUAUAUUUGAAUCAUGUAAGUUUAAUUCUUGAUUAUUUCUUCUAAUUUUUGUGAUUUUGAUACUUUUACAAUUAGGUCCAACUAAUUAUUUCAUUAGUUUUUGAUUUCAUGGCUGAUUUUGAAAGUUACCAUUGAUGAGUGUUGGAUUUUUAUGAUGAAUAAACAUGGAAUUAAAGCUUUAAUUUUGUUAUAUGAUGAUUUUAUUAAGUAAUUUUGAUAGAAAUUGAUUUUUGGGACCUAAUUGUGAAAAAGUUUGGAAUUAGGGUUUGGUGUUGCGGUUUUGAAUAUGAAAGGCUAUGUAGUAGUCUAAAAUAGUUGGAAAAGGUGUUAAUUGAGAAAAAUUAGAUCAAUUGAGGGGUUAAUUGAGUAGGACCAAAUUGUAAAAACUGUAAAGUUUGAGGUAAAAGUGUAAUUUCGAAAAUUUAAGGGCAUAAAUUGUGAAGUGAAUUAGAAUAGAAUUAUAUGCUGAUGAAUGAAUAAAUUUGUAUUUUAGAUCGAGAACCCGAAGCAAGCCGAGGAAAAGAAAAAGUAGUUGAUUAGUCCCUGAACUUUUACAAAUUCUGCAAAUCGACCCAGGUAAGUUCAUAUGGCUGAAAUUUAAUGAUUAAAUGUUAAUUUCAUGAAUUAUGUAAUGUAUGAUGAAAUGUAUUUAGUGUUGAAAUGAGAGUAAAAUAAAAAUGCGAAAAUCGAAUAAAUGAUCAAAUUAAGCGGAACGCCGGAUUUGAGUACUUCUGAUCAAGAGACAAAGUGAUAAGUGGUAGCUUUAGCUACACUUAUCUGAUCAAGUGAAAAAGUGAUAAGUGCUACACUUAUCUGAUCAAGAGACAAAGUGAUAAGUGGUAGCUUUAGCUCACUUAUCUGAUCAAGUGAAAAAGUGAUAAGUGCUAUACUUAUCUGAUCAAGUGACAAAGUGAUAAGUGGUAGCUUAGCUACACUUAUCUGAUCAGGGCCAAAUGAUAAGUGAUCAUACGUAAGACCAUAGUUAUACUAUGGCCAAGUGAAAGUGAAGUACUCAAUUUUCCGUAACCGUUCCUUAAUUUUGAUCAAGGAUGGUAAGUGACAAAUAGGCCCAAAGAAAUUAUGGUAAAAGAAUAAGUAGUAGUGAGUUUAUACCAAGGAACUCUCCAAAGAUUGUGGUUGACAAGUAAACUUAGUAAUGGUGUAUAUUGUAUAAGUGUACAAAUGUUUGGUAAGAUUUAUGUUUGUGCCUAUGAACUUACUAAGCUUUUCUAUAAGCUUACAUGUGUGUGUUUAUUGUUUUUCUAGAUUAACGUAUUUAUACAUUCGGAGGAUCGGAUCUACUUCGAGAAUCACACUAUCCAGAUAUACUCCGGUAGAUUUUGUUAAACAACUUUUUGGAUUUAUAUGGCAUGUACAGAGAAUUGAAGUAAAAAGUAAUAGAAUGAAUGACUGAGUAUGCAAAGUAAAUUUGAAUGUGAUGGUUGUGUUAGAUAUUGAAAAAUACAUGUUUUUAGUUUGAAAUGGUUGAUUGGCUGAACUUCGUUAGUAUUCAAGUGAAGUAGUUGAAAUACUGGAAUUGGUUGUGAUUUGAAAUUUGCAGGGAAGGUUAGAUAAAUAUAAAGGGGUUAUAUUGAUUUUUUUUUUAAAUUUCAAUGGAAUAAUUUUUGGACAGCAGCAUUGAUGUAACUUUUAAAAAUCACCAAAAAUAGUGGAAAUAGAAUUAGAAGUUGAAUGAGAUAUGAAAUUAAAUCUGAAUGAGUCUAAUUUCACAUGAAAGAAGUAGAAUAAGAAAAAGAGUUAUAUAUUUUUAGAUAUUUGAAUUUUAGUGAAACAGGGCAAGAAUGUUUUUGAAGUCCCCUGUUCUGACUUUAGAAAUUUAGUAAAAAUUGUACAAAAGGAAUUAUGAAUUAUAAUUUAUAUGUUUAAAUUCCGUAAUGAGUAUAUUUUAAGUAGAAAUAAUUGGAACCACCAUAUGAAGUCUUUGCAAUGAGAUAAUUGAAUUUUAGUGACAAGAGGUCAGGAUAGUCAAUUAGUGAAAUAGGGGAGACUUCAACUAAUAAACUGUAUUAAUUUGCUAAACCAAAAAUUCUGAAAAAUUUAUGGUGAAUAUACAUAUGAGUCUAGUUUGAGGGAAAAUUUACGGAUCUAAAUUUUUAGUUUCGUAUCUUGAGUUAUAAUUAUUUUAGUGACUACUGCGCAUGUGGACAGCUUUGUUGUGAAUGGUGAAAUUAAUUUUUAAAGUAAAUUUUUAUGCCCCGAACUUUUAAGUUCAGUCAAGUAACGCCUUAUGCUCGACUCCGGCAACCGUCUUGGGUAAGGGGUGUUAUAAAUAAUUAUUCUUAAAUUCAUACAUUCUUUGUAUAUUAUUUUGUACCUACAAUAGGUCCCUAGAUAUUAACAACAUGAGUGACGUUGCUACAGACUCAGAAUUUCCUUUUAAACAAGACAUGUGUUUAGAGGGAUCCCAUGGCUUUGAAGAUGACGUAGACUGUGGCUUAUCUCUGAAUUUGUUAAGGAUGGUAAAACAAGAGGAGAAGCAAAUCCUACCUCACAAGGAAUCAAUGGAAAUUGUGAGCUUAGAAGGGGGAAAAGAGGUGAAGAUUGAGACUAACAUUGCCACAAAGACAAAGCAUGACCUCGUUGAGUUACUCCAAGAAUUUAAAGAUGUCUUCGCAUGGUCAUACCAGGAUACUCCCGGGUUAAGUACUGGCAUUGUAGUACACUACCUUCUUAUAAAAGAAGAUUGCAAGCCAGUUUAGCAGAAACUCUGAAGGAUGAGGCCUGAUAUUGUGCUAAAAAUAAAAGAAGAAGUUAAAAAGCAAUUUGAUGUUGGGUUCUUACAAGUGGUUAAAUAUUCAGAAUGAGUAGCCAACAUCGUCUCAGUCUCUAAAAAAGAUGGGAAAGUACGAAUGUGCAUAGAUUACAGAGACAUGAACAAGGCCAGCCAAAAAGAAAAUUUCCCAUUGCCUCACAUUGACACUUUGGUGGAUAAUACAGUAGGCUACUCACUGUUUUCCUUCAUGGACGACUUCUCUGGAUACAACCAGAUAAAGAUGCAUCCCAAAAACAUGGGAAAGACUACAUUCGUGACCCUAUGGGGAAUGUUUUGCUAUAAAAUGAUGUCAUUCGGAUUAAAGAAUGUGGGAGCGACGUAUCAAAGGGAAUGGUAACCUUGUUUCAUGACAUGAUGUACAAGUAAAUCGAGGUUUAUGUUGACGAUAUGAUUGCAAAAUCCAGAACAGAAGAGGAACAUGUGUAGGCCCUAAGAAAAUUAUUCUUAAGACUGAGAAAGUUCCAGCUCAAGCUUUCCAACGAAAUGCACAUUCAGAGCUAGGUUAGGAAAGCUGUUAGGCUUCACAGUUAGUGAAAAAGGAAUCGAGAUCAACCCAGAUAAAGUCAAUGCGAUACGAGAUUUACCUCUACCAUGCACUCAGAAGGAAGCUCGAGGUUUCCUAGGAAGACUGAAUUACAUUGCUCGAUACAUUUCACAACUAACCGAAAAAUGUGACACCAUAUUAAAAUAAAAAUAGAUUAAAUUGUAAGUAAAACAUAAUUUAAACAUAUGAAUACAUCAAAUUAAUAAUACUAAAUGAAUACAGUUAUUUAUGAUGAUGUUGUUGCCAAUUCCUAAUUUGGUGUCUAGUUAAUUUGUGACAUCAUAAAUUUAAGUGAUAAAUUUAAGGUUUUAUGUAUUGAUGUGGAUUCAAAUAUCACCAUAAUUUUUGUAAAUAAAAAACUAAUAAGAUAACUUAUAUUAAGUACGAAAGGGUAUUUUUAUAAUUUCUCUAAUCGAGUUGGUGCCCGGUUGACUCAUGACACUAACUCAAUCAGAAGCUUUAAUAAUAAUAUAGAUAUUCAUGUUAAAAAAACAAAAAAAAAGUACUUUAGUUCCAAAUAAUUAUAUAACAAGUAAAUUUAUAAUUGAUGAAUAAAUUUAUAAAUAAUAUAUUUAUAUGAUCUAAUAUAUUAUAUUUAUAUUAAUUAUAUAUCAUCUACAAACUUUGAAGAUCAAUUUAUUAAGUAAAAAUGAAAUUGUUAACACUAAAUCAAUUUUUAGAUUUUGUAUAGAUGAUUUAGUGAUGAUAAAAACAUUAUUAACACUAUUUUUUAAUUAACAAAAAAUUAGUGAUAUAUUUAAAUUAUAUUUAUCAUUUAUUAUUUUUAAUAAUAUUUUUUAAUUAUAUGAAGUAAAAUUAUAUUGUAUACUAAAUAUGGUACAUAUACUCUAAUUAUAACUUGAAAUUUUAUUAUAUAAAUUAAUAUAAAUUUGAAUAACAAAAUAAAAAAAAACUAAUUAGAAUAAUUUUAAAAAACAUUAUUUAAAAGUAGUUAAAAAUCACGUGCAACAGGUGAGAUCAAUGGUCUUUAGAGAAGAAAUGUUGAAGAUCAAAGUUGGAAUCUGGCCUAUAAGGCCUUUAAUUGCUUUAAUAUUAAGCAGUUCCAAACCAAGAAGAUUACCGAUUUCCUCAGGAAUUUGACCUGCACACAUGGUCGAAAAAUCAAUGUGUCAAACUACCUAUUUUGUUAGCAUAAGUCAAAGAGGUUUUCUUUUCUAUUCUACAUAAUUUGCAGAUGUUAGAUUUUAAUAUUUUUAAGCAUAUUUGUUUUCAUCAAAUUAACUAUUUUGAACUAUUUUGCCUUGAAUGAAAUAAAAUGCUCUUACUUUUGUUAUCUAUUACUAAUCAAACUCUUUUAUAAAAAAAAUACUUUAAACUAAAGAAACCAAGAAAAUUCAAUACCUUCUAGGUUAUUCAACCCCAAAUAUAAUUCUUUGAGUCGUGUCGGAUUUCCAAUACUUCUUGGAAUGAUCCCCAUCAAUUGAUUAUAGGAAAAUGACAAAAUUUUAAGGUUGUUGCAUUUGCUUAUACUUGACGGAAUGUUACCAUAUAAUUCAUUCCGACUCAAGUAAAGCCCUUCAAGCUUGGAAAGAUGUGACACAUAUCAUUAGGCAAGCUACCUGAUAGGCUAUUGUUGGAGAGAUCAAUGGCCUUCAGAGAAGAAAUGUUGAAGAUCGAAGUUGGAAUCUGACCUGUAAGGCCUUUAAUUGCUUUAAUAUUAAGCAGUUCCAAACCAAGAAGAUUACCGAUUUCCUCAAGAAUUUGACCUGCACACAUGGUCGAAAAAUCAAUGUGUCAAACUACCUAUUUUGUUAGCAUAAGUCAAAGAGGUUUUCUUUUCUGUUCUAUAGUAAUUUGGUGAUGUUAGAUUUUAAUAUAAUUCAGCACAUGUUUUUCAUCAAAUGAAAUAAAAAGUUUUUCCUUUUGUUAUCUAUUACAAAUCAAGCUCUUUUAUUAAAAAAAUACUUUAAAUUCAAGAAAUCAAGGAAAUUAAUUACCUUCUAAAUUAUUAAACCCCAAAUAUAAUUCCUGGAGUCGUGUUAGAUUUCCAAUACUUCUUGGAAUGAUCCCCAUAAAUUGAUUAUGGGGCAACAACAAAUUUUUAAGGAUGUUUCAUUUGCCUAUGCUUGACGGAAUGUUACCAGAUAACUCAUUGCUAUGCAAGUGAAGCCCUUCAAGCUCGGGAAGAUGUUGACACAUAUCAUUAGGCAAACUACCUAAUAGGCUAUUCCUGGAGAGAGCAAUAGUCUUGAGAGAAAAAUGUUGAAGAUCGAAGUCGGAAUCUGAUCUGUAAGGCCUUUAAUUGCUUGAAUAUUAAGCAUUUCCAAACUAAAAAGAUUACCGAUUUCUUCAGGAAUUUGACCUGCAGACAUAGUCGAAACAUCAAGGUGUUAAAUUUCCUAUUUUGUUAGUGUAAAUCAAAGAGGCUUUUUAUUUUUUUUCGUUAUGAAAUAAUAUGGAUAUGUUCGAUUCUAAUCAUAUUUAAGUAUAUAUUAGUUCUUGAAAGAAUGAGUUCUUAUUUUUGGUAUUUAUAUUGCAAAUAUAUAUUUUUUUAAAUUUAAAAGAAGGGAGGGGGCAAAUGUGUUUAAACUAAAGACAUCAAGGAAAAGGCAUACCAAGUAUAAUUGUUUAAGUUGUGUCAAAUUCCCAAUGCUUUUUGGAAUGAUCCCACUAAAUUGAUUAAUAGACAAUUCCAAAAUUUGAAGGUUGCAGCAUUUGUCUAUACUUGAUGGAAUAGAACUUGAUAAUUCAUUUCUACUCAAGUAAAGCUCUUUCAGCUUGGGAAGAUGGACACACAAAUCAUCGGGCAAGCCACCAGAAAGACUAUUAUCACAAAAAUGAAUCCUUUUCAAAGAAGAAAUGUUAAAGAUGGAAGAUGGAACCUGGCCAGAUAAUUGAUUGAAUCCCAAGUUCAAGAUCUCUAGAUUGGACAAGUUGACAAGUGUUUGAGGGAUCGUGCCUGUGAAGUUAUUAUUUCUCAUUUCCAACCUUUGAACUCUGUGCAAGUUCCCAAGCCAUGGUGGAAUUUCCCCAUUAAGACGGUUGUAGCUUAAUCGAAUGAUCCUCAAACGAUGCAAUUGGCCUAAUUCUUUAGCCAGAUGGCCGUAGAAAUUGUUGUUGCUCAAGUCGAUAGAAAAUAGAAAUGAAAGAUUUCCAAGGUGUGGAGGGAUAGUACCCCUAAGAUUCAUGUUUGUAAGAUUAAUCAAAGCUACAACUCUUUCAUGGAUGAUGCCACAAGAAACACCAACCCACUUACAGACAGAGGUAGAGUUCGUCCAAUUGUUUGCCAACACAUUUUGAGGAUCGACAAUGCGAUCUUUAAACUCAAAGAGUGCAAACUGAUCGGAGUUGAGAUUCCGGACUGUCAUAGCCAAGGAAACAAUAGAACAUUGUAUGAAUAAAAGUGAAAGAAGAUGAAAGCAAGUGUUGUAGUUCAUGAUGGCAAGACGAAAUAAGCCAGGAAAAGGGAAGUUGAAUUGAUGAAGAAAUAGCCAGCCAACAUGCUUAAAUAGGCUUCAACCCUUGCACACUUCUCAUACAUAAAGUUCGCUGCCAUUACAACAAGAAAACUCAUAUCUCCAUUCGUACCUAUCCAUACUUUAUUUGACUAACUUUUCCCUAACAAGUGUUCAGUAAGGAGAUAAAUCAGUUUGGAGCUAUUCACCGGCUUCUCCAAUCUUGGUUUCAAACUCCUAACCCAUCAAUUCACUUUAAUUGAAACGAUAUACACGAGUCUUUCGGCUUAUAUUUUUAAUUUAAUUUUUGUUACUUUUCAUAAUAUUUUUUGAGAAAUCCAAAUAUUCCAGUCUGAAAUUUCUUCAUUGCCACGUCUAUCUCCUGGGUAAGUCCGUGGUUAGGCAGCCCACUUUGGGAGCAGGAUUGUAAUUGUAAUUCUAUCCGACUCAUUUUACUAUUUAGAAAUAUAAAAGUAAUAUUAUAUUAUUUUUUAUAUUUUUAUAAAUUUAAUUUUAAUUAUAAUUUUUAAACAAUAAAACGAGUCAUUUGUAUUUGCCUAGUCUAAAUUGAAUCAGGAGUCAAAAAAAUUUUAAUCAUAAUUUACUAUUAUUUUAAUUAAUUAAAAUUUAACCUACUACAACUAGUAGUUGCAGAAAAAAUGUCAUUCCUUUAGAAAAACGAAAAUCCUUUAGAAAAAUGAGAACUUAUGAAGCAUUCAAUAAGAGUCAUUGGAAUAAAUGGUAACGAAAUCAUAAUUCAAUAUAAAGCUAAAAAAUGUACCAAUCUAUAUAAAUAAUGUAAGAUUUGUGAUACCUAAAUUAUUAUAUUUUCCAUAAAUAUAUGAAGAUAUUUUAUUAGGAAAUAAUUUUAUAUAUAAAAUUUUUUAUUUUCUUUUGAUAGAAAUUUAAUUAUGUUAUCUGUAGAAAAAAAUAUUUAUAGAAAUAUUAUUAGUAGAAAAUCAUAAAUUUGUGUGUGGCAAAAAAAAUUCACCACCAAGAAAGGGGCAAAUUAAACAACUUGAAACAAGUCAUUGGUUGUUUAAAAUAUUAGAUAAUAAUUUCAGUGAAGAAUCAUUAAAAUUAUGACAAAAUAACCCUAGAUAUUGUAGUAUUAAAUUGGAAAAUCUCAAUAAUAUUAUUAGAGUAAAACCUAUGAUCUAUCUAAACAAGAUAUAGAAGAUUUUGAUAUACAAAUUAAGGUUAGAAAUCAUGCGGAAAUAAAAAAGAAAAAAAAGCUAGUAUGGUCAUUAAUUAUAAAAGAUUAAAUCAAAAUAUUAUUUUUUUAUAGUUACUUGAAUUAAUCAGGCUAAACAAACAAAAUAUUUUAGUAAAUUUGACUGCAAAUCAGGAUUCUAGCAAAUCAUGAUAACAGAAAAGUCCAAACCUUUAACGGCUUUUAGUGCACCCAAUGGACAUUACCAAUGGAAAGUGAUGUCAUUUCAAUUAUGUGAUGCACCACAAAUCUUCCAAAGACGAAUGGAUUUUAUAUUUAAUAAAUAUAAAAAAAUUCUAUGUAGUCUACAUAGAUGAUAUUUUUUAUAUUUUUAGAUACACUAGAAUUACAUAAGAAACAUUUAAAUAUUAUUUCUUAAGAAUUCAUAAAAUAUAGAAUCAUAUUAAACCCUAAAAAUAUAGAGUUAGAAAAAAGAGAGAGAAUUUUUAUAAUAGUGGAAAUAAAAAAUUGUCCUCAAAAGAUUGAAGAAAAAAAGAACUUCCAACAAUUUCUAAUAUAUUCCUCCCAAAUUUUCAGUUUCAAUUUUAUUACAGAAUUUCUUUGCCGACAAUAAGAAAUUAAGAGCGCUCUUUAAGUUGAAUAUAGUCCGUCAGAUAUGGCUAUCUAUAACAUGGAACCUUUGGUUUUCAAGCUGAAUAGGAGAAUUGAUUCACUUGAUAAGUAUGAAAAAUUGAAACUGCUAAAUUUAAGUGCACUAACUCUGGAUAUCAUCAUUAUUUUUCUGUACAUUAAAGUACCUGUUUGAUAUGCGAUUUCUGCCUCAAACUAUCAACAUCUUUAACAUCCUUUUGCUAUAGUUAGCAUGGGUACUUCCUUUUAGAUUAACAGUUAGGUUUGAACUGUGAAUUAGAUUUCUGUGGCUGCUGGGAUUGAAGAAGUUAGUAUGCGAAUGACAUUGGACAAAUUUGGCAAAGUCUUCUCCAUCAGUGAAGAAAACCCCUUGGCGUAUGAAAAAUGUUCACCAUCUUAGACAUUUGUUUUCUUAUUGUAAGAAUAUUUUUAACAUUGUAACUUUUAACAUUAUUGUAAGAAUAUUUUGAAUUAUACUUCAGUUAUCAAUUUAUAUCAUAUAUCUUUUGUUGAAUUUGAAGUAUAAUUUAUAUUUGCUGUUUUUGGUUAGAUUUCAUGCUAUAGGAAGGGUUGUAUAUGGAUAGAAAUUGAAUGUUACAAAUCUGCCAAAGUUAGUGGCGUUUUUUCAUAAGAGCUGCUAAAGAAUGCUAUUUUUGGCGGUGUUUGUAAUAAAAGAGCCGCUAAAGGUCAUGUUCUUUAGCGAUGUUUGUGGGUAAAGCGCCGCUAAAGAUCAUGUUCUGUAGCUGUGUUUGUGGAUAAAGCGCCGCUAAAGAACAUGACCUUUAGCAGCGUAUUUUCACAUAAACGCCGCAAAAUUUAGCGGCUUUGUCUAUAGCGACUUUUUUUGCAGCGCUUUAAGUUUUAGCGGCGCUUUUAGGCCUAAAAAAGGGCCGCUAAAAGCCUGUUUUGCUGUAGUGAGCAUAUUUACAUUUUCGUCCCAAUUUCAACUAACACCCCAUCUAUUUCCCACUUCCCUUUUUCGGGCAAUUUCAACUAACACCUUCAUAUCAAACAUAACUAUUUUUCAAUUUUUCUUCUUUAUUUCAUUAAUAAAAUUAUCAAUCUAUUUGUUUUUAAAUAUAUAAUUUCAUUAAUAUUUUUUAAAUUAUAAUAUAAGAGUUGUUGUUUAUUUAUAGUUUUAUUACAUUAUUUACUCUCUCUUUUCUAUCAAGUUUUUUAAAUUAUAAUAUAAGAUUUAUUUUAUCAAUUUGUGGCUUAUCCAGUAUUCAUCUAUUUUAAUAAUAACUUGAGUUCCAGUCAUUAUCAUACCAGAAAGAGUUCCAUUUAUUCUUUAUCGUAAAUUUUAUAAAAAAAUAUACAUUUUAUUAUAAUACUAUAUGUGUUACGAAUAAUAUUUUAUUGUGGAUGCCCAUAAUUUUCAAAGUUGUAACCUCUAAUGUAGUAACCUUAAUGAAAUUAUGAGGCUUUUAUAUUGUAAUCAAGCCUCUAUUUAUUCUUUGUAACUUAAACAGAAGCAUAUUUUCUAUUAUAUUGAUAUUUUUUAUAGAUAUAUAUAUAUAUAUAAGGAAUCAAAUAAAAAGUUAUUUACCUUUCUAUUAUAUUGAUAUUUUCUAUUUGAUUUGUUCUUUUCUUUCACUAUUCCAUAAUAUAUUAUCAGUACGAUUUUAACCAAGAGUAACAUGUUAUUAGAUUGUGUCAAAAUUUUGUUGAGAAUCAUUAGAUUGUUUCCUUUUUCUUCUAUUUAGCCCCAAAUUGCACCCCUACACAAAAUUCAACAAAAACAUGGAAAAAUUAGUGGUGCACUCUCAUAAAUUAACCAAUUUAAUUACAUAAAAUAUGUAACUUUAGCAUUUUAUCAAUCAUGUUCUUUAGCGGCAUUUGUGGGUAAAGCGCCGCUAAAGGUCAUAUUCUUUAGCAGCGUUUGUGAUAAAAGUGCCACUAAAUAUCAUGUUCUUUAGCGGCGUUUGUGGAUAAAGCGCCGCUAAAGAACAUGACGUUUAGCAGCAUUUUUUUACAUAAACGUUGUAAAAUUUAGCGGCGUUGUCUAUAGCGACGUUUUUUGCGGUGCUUUCAAAUAGUUUUAGCGGCGCUUGUAGGCCUAAAAAAAUGCCGCUAAAAGUCUGUUUUGCUGUAUGAGCAUAUUUACAUUUUCGUCCCAAUUUCAACUAACACCCCAUCUAUUUCCCACUUCCCUUUUUCAGCCAAUUUCAACUAACACCUUCAUUUCAAACGUAAUUGUUUUUCGAUUUUUCCUCUUUAUUUCAUUAAUAAAAUUAUCAAUCUAUUUGUAUUUUAAAUAUAUAAUUUUAUUAAUAUUUUUUAAUUAUAAUAUAAGAGUUUUUGUUUAUUUAUAGUUUUAUUAUAUUAUUUACUCUCUUUUUUCUAUCAAGCUUUUUAAAUUAUAAUAUAAGAUUUAUUUUAUCAAAUGGUGGCUUAUCGAGUAUUCAUCUAUUUUAAUAAUAACUUGAGUUCCAAUCAUUAUCAUACCAGAAAGAGUUCCAUUUAUUCUUUAUCGUAAAUUUUAUAAAAAAAUAUAUAUUUUAUUAUAAUACUAUAUGUGUUAGGAAUAAUAUUUUAUUGUGGAUGCCCAUAAUUUUCAAAGUUGUAACCUCUAAUGUAGUAACCUCAAUGAAAUUAUGAGGCUUUUAUAUUGUAAUCAAGCCUCUAUUUAUUCUUUGUAACUUAAACAGAAGCAUAUUUUCUAUUAUAUUGAUAUUUUUUUAUAGAGAUAUAUACAUAAGGAAUCAAAUAAAAAGUUAUUUACCUUUCUAUUAUAUUGAUAUUUUCUAUUUGAUUUGUUCUUUUCUUUCACUAUUCCAUAAUAUAUUAUCAGUACGAUUUUAAUCAAGAGUAACAUUGUAUUAGAUUGUGUCAAAAUUUUGUUGGACUUCAAGUAUUGGAAUUUAAUUGUUUAAGUUAAGAAUCAUUAGAAUCAAUGGCUAUUUGAGAUAUGCUUGAGGAUGAUCUCAUUCUAUUCAUCACAAAGGUGGAGGUUAGAAAAUCUUUAUGUUUAAACAUUUAUAGCUUUAAAGUUAUUUUAACCUCUUAUUGUGACCUUAUAAUAUUUUGUAAUUUUUUGUAUUAUGGUAUAUAAAAAAAAUCUAACCAUAGUGAUUGAUUAGUAAUAUGAAUUUGUUAUUUGUUAUGUUUAAUAUAUAUUUUAUUUAUACUUAUUCAUUUUAUUUUUAUAUGAGUAAAUGAAGUGUUUGAAGAUUCGAAAUUUUUAUCAUCCAAGUUGAAAAUAAGUGCAAAAGUGUACAUUAUUUAAAAUAAAUUACGCAUUCAUUAAUGUUAUAUGAUAAAAUCAUUACAUGUUCUAAAGAACUAAUAUUGCAUCAAACUGUAAAAAGCUCUUGAAGAGUUAAUAUUUUACCUCCUUGUGAUACAAAAUCAUAUACAAUAUGAUAUUAUUUUUCAAAUCGAGUAGAUAUAUGUUGAGGGAAAUCUUUAUGUGGUUUACAUUAAAACCAUGGAUAGAAAUGACAUGAGAUACUCGUGUAUUUUUAUUAUAAAUAUUCCUUGAAGGAAGACACUUCACUUGUAUGAUUGACAUAUGAGAUAGUGGCAAGAAGUUCAUAGUGUUGGUAUGGUCGUCUAGAUCAUCUCAAAUCAAUAAUGAUGCAAAAUAAUUUGAAGAGAAUUUAUAUGAUUUUAUUGAAGAAUGAGAAGAUAUUUUCAUUUUGAUAAUUGUCAUCAAUACUAGUUCUUUGGAAAAAAAAUAUUGAACUAACAUAAAGUUAGAGGUUGGUUGCAUUUUUUGAUGAUAUCCAAAUAAUAUAUGAGCUCAUGUAUCACAUGUAUGCAACCCAAAGUUUACAGUAUUAUUUCUUGAAAUAAUUUGAUUCUACACAAUCUCUAUAGUAUGCAAUUUGUGCUAACAACGUUGGUGCAUUAUAUCCUAAGCUUGAUUUUCGUAGUUUUAGCUGAGAUAAUAUUAAGUUGUCUAUGCCUAUAUAUGUUAUACUUAAUGGUUAGCAAAAUUGUGCCUCCAUUUAAUUGCUUAACCAUUAAUAUAAGAAUAACUUUAAAAUAAGCAUGUAAUUUUAUUUGCAUAGAGUCAACAUGUAAGAAACAUUUGCCCCAUGAGAAUUGGCUUUCAUUUAUAAGCCAAUAGGUUUCAUAUGACUAUUUGGAUGUAAAAUAUCUAUUUUAUAUUCCACCAUAAUGCACUAAGAUGGUCCAUCAAGUAUGAAGUUGAGAAAAUUUAGAAUUUUUAUUUGAUGGUAAAAGUUGAAAAGAGAUAUAUACUUAUAAUUUUGAAAAAAAUAGUCAUGUUGCAAAUUUUUCUCAAUAUUAGGGGGAGACAAGUUGGACAAAUAAGGAUAAUUAUGUCAUCACUUUUUGUGAUCCCUCACUAAUAUUAUGUGCACAAAGUUUGAAGGAAAAAAGUAUUUGCUAGACAUGUUUAGUGAUGACACUUAGAGAUUGUAUAUACUAGAUGAUACAUAUACCAGCUAAAAUGUUCCAAAUAAUUAUGAGUCCUAGAAGGACAUAGUGAUAAAAAUAAUUUUUGGGCACGCUAGAAGGAUAAAAAACUAGUUCAUUCUAUAAAUCAAAAAAUUCUUGAAAGAAAAGAGUAAGAAAUGAAGCUGGCCACACAUUAAAGGAAACGAGUACUCAUGAAGAGACCUAAGGCAUAACUUUUAAUAAAACCCCAAAAGAGGUUCAAUACAUGGAAUUAUGAAUAUAAUAAGAUAUCUCGAUUAGUUAUAUCAUAACUAAAGAUGAUGGGGUUGAUAAAAGGAAAUUGUUGUUAACAACGAUAAUCUAAGUAGAACAUUUCAAUAUUAUGGUAAAAUGAGUAUUUUGAAUGAAAAUAUACUUGAAAGUAUUUAGAUGGGAACAACUCAUCAAAAUAAAUAGACGUUUCUAUUAUAACUUAUGAAAUGUGUCUCGGACAUGAAGUCCAAACAUUCGACAGGUGUAAAGCCAAGUGGAGUAUAUGUUAGCAUAAUAGUGAAAAAAUACAAAUCAUAAUAUAUAAAAUUGACUUGUAAGACAAACUUUCCCAAGACACUUGAUUUUGAUUAUGAAAAAUGAUUAAUUUGUGAUCUUAUCAAUUGAACAUACUUUGUAUAAUCAACAAAUUAUUAAUUAACCUCAUUUAACCAAUUUCCUUCAACACAUUUCAAAUCAAAUUAAUGUGUUGAGCACGCCCUUAACCCUUUUUCUUGAUUCAUUGCAUAGUCUAUUUCCAAGUACCAUAAUCAUCAACAUUUCAAUAUAUAAAGUCAUAACAUAAUGAAUCAUAGUUAGAAUUUUUUUUACCCUAUUAACCAAGUAUGGAACAAAAAUAAAAACCUAAUUUGUCAAGCUCAUUCAAUCAGCUUAUAUAUUAUAAGAAGAGCCUAAGUAUAAAUCCUAUACAUGAUUUCAAAUUCAACUAUUUAUAUUUGAGAUUCAAUUUAAAAUUCAUACUGAAAUUAUCAAAUUAACUCGUAAGCUACUCACGCUAAACAUUAAGGUACUCGAAUUCAAGUGGCUAGAUAUCAUAAACACUUUUAGCUUGUAAAACUAUUUCUAAGGGUCAGCCCAGAAUCAUGGUUGAACCCAAAAUCUGGUAACAAAAAUUUAAUUGAGCCAUCAGCCUAAAACAAAAAAGGCUUAAAAGGUUGGCACCCGAACAAUCAAAGAUAAACACCACCAUAUGCCACUCCCUGAAUCCGAUACAUACAAUAACACCCUUCACCACUUUUAUUCUUCUCCUUUUUUUUAACCUCAAUUUGGAUGGUCGCAUUUCUCUUUUUAGUGCUUUAUAGGGUUUGGGCUUUCAGAAUCCUCAGAGAUGCAAUUCAUGGAUCCCUCUAAGAAAUGCAAGCUUGAUGAAAAUGGUAUUAUUUCAACGGCAUCAGAACCUGACCCAAUCACCAAACUAACCCCACAAGAUGGCCGCAAGCUAAUCGAGCAAUUUAUCGUCGAUCAACUCCUUGACGUCCUCCAAGAUGCUGUUUGUUGUCACCUUGAUGUUCUUUCCGCCGUACACUCUAUUGCCGAUCAAGAUCCAUCUCAAAGGAAGCUUUUCAUCCGUGGUUGGGUUGGGAUACUACAACCCAACCCAACCCACAUUAGCAUACUACCAUGCGGUAACUUCUAGUGAUUUCUGUCUGUAACAUUAGACAGGUUAACAGUUAAAUCGUUCAACUGAAAGAUUUCUUUGAAGGAAGAGGUCAAUUGAUUUUUUUUGGAAUCAUUGUGUACUCAGUUGCAUUUAAGACGGGUAUCAUUCAUAAAGUAUAUAUCUACAUCAAGAAUGGUAGCCUCUUAUAUUAUAUUCAUGUAUUUAUUUUGCAUCUUUAAUUAUAAUAGGAUUUUUUUUGUUUAUUUAUAGUUUUAAUUAUAAUAUUUUUUAAAUAUGCCAAAGUAAAUUAUGUACCAAUUUUAAACUUCUCCUAGGUAAUUUAACGUAAGGGCAUUUAUGUUAUUUUACCACUUAUGAUAAAACUAACCUAAUUUUAGAUCUAAGUGUUUACCAACCUUCUUUUAGUCAAAUUAUGCAAGCCUAAAAUUUUUAGCUUAAUUUGAGUUUGUUUACUAUGUCUAAUUCAAGUUUUAUUAUUAAGAACUAAAUUGUAACUUAAACAAAUUAGAAUACCAAUUUAAAGAGACAAAAAUUCAAAGCCCCAAAACCCACACGGGCAUGUGGGUAAGUGACACAGGCGUGUGGAAACUGGAGCUAUCACACACGGGUGAGUGGGACUGAAAAAUAUGAAAUAAAUUAAUCCAUUUAAAUUUCCAACAACCAUGCUAUACUACCAAACCAAAUAAUGUUAGAAGCUUUGAAUAGGGGCGAAUCUUAAAAAAAAUAGAAGAAUUAGAAUUAAAUUAUAAAAUUUUGAGAAGUUGUCAUGUAUUAAUUUAUUAUUUUUUAAAGGGUCUUAAUAGAUUUUUUUUCCCCAUUUUGGUUUGGCCAAUACCCCUGUCUGCCUCUUUCAAUUUGCUUCAACCCUUAGCCCAAUAUUCGAUUUGUUGUGGAAGUUUGACGCAUAAAAAUUCCUUUUUUAGAGGUUUAAAUUAUAAAUUUUUAUUAACAAAAUAUAAAAGAAAAAAACAUGUGUAGACAAGCCAAGAAACCUUUGGGAUCAUACAGGUGAUUUUGAGAUGUUCAUGGUUAUUUUGGUGGAGAGGGUAAAAAAGAAACAAAUGAUUCAUUAUAUAUGAUAUAAUUAUGAAAUUCAAGCCAUAUAUUGUAUGUUUCAUCCAUACAAAUUUCUUGUAGCAUUAAAUGACUCGUAGGCUUGCUGAAUUUCUUUGAAAGGCCCAAAGGCAAUUUAACAUUCACAAAAUAAUCUCUAAAUAGUGUAAAGACAAAUCAAAUCCACAGUAGCAUUAGAGUUGAUUAAGCUAAGCAUUGGCAAAUAUUACUUUGAUUUUGCAUGCAAUAUUGGCAAAACCCCCUCUUACAUUAGAAAAACAACAUAAUCCAUGAAACAUUGAUAGCCCAAUACAAAUUUCAUCGAGAAAAAAGUCUCUUUGUUUUGUAGAACAUGAUAGUAAAGAUGUGGAGUUUCGUUCUUCUUAUUGGCCUCCUUUAGUUUUCCUUGAUCAACAACCACUAGCCAAAAACACAAUUAGAUUAGAUUAUGAAUGAUACUUUCAACUAUGACAAUAUUAAAUACAAACCACUCUAAAUAACUCUAAAUAAAUGGAAAGCAGCAAAUUACCAGACGAGGCAAGCUAGCUCAAUUAAGACCAUUGUGUUAUACUUGUCUCUGAAUUGAAAAAUUUAGAAGGAAAUAAAGAGAAAGACUUAGAAAAUACUUGAAAACAGAAAAAAAAAUUAUGUCAUUUAAAAUAAAAAAUUUCUAUUCAAGCCAUUUAAAAUUUGUAAGAUUUUUAAAAUUUUAAAAUGAUAAAGGUAAAAUUGUACUUUGGCACCCCAAAAAUGAUAAAACUUUGAUUUAAUUAUUUAAAAAUUAUAAAAAUAUAGGCUAUUAAAAUGGUGAAAUUAUAUUUUUACUAUAGUAAAAAUUACAAUUUAAUUUCACCCCUAAAAGGAUUUUCUGGCUUCGCACCUAAUAAAAUCUUUGGCAAAAGACUAAAAUAAAAUUAUACCAUGAAUGGAAAAAGAAACUAAUAAAAUCCAAUCUAACAAAGAAAAUAACUUGAUGUCCAAAAGCUACCAUAAACCGUAAUUCAUGGGAAGGCUUGUUGCUUAUUUUAUUGGUUUCCAUUUUGAAAGAAGUUUGAAUUUUGAAGAGAGCCUACUACGUGAAAGCAAAAGAAAAAAAAAUAGUUUAUAUGAUUAAAAUUCCAGAAUAGAUUAAAAAUGUUGAAUUAAAGAUAAAAUUAAGUGUGAAUUAAUAACCACAAGUGUACUCUUUACUCACCAUCUCUGUUAAAAAUGUUGGAUGUUGUUUAGCAACCUUUGUUUGAUUUUCUUCAGCUCAACCACAACAUCUUUCAUAUCUUUUCUUUCUUCUGGUAACUCAGCUGAACAAUUCAAAGCCAACUCCAUGAUAGAUGAAAUACAAUUUGCUUUAACAACAAUGUACUCAUCCUCUCUUCUUAAUAAAUCAACAUCUGCAAUUUCUAUCGCUCCUUUAGGCAAUGAUCUUUCCAUCCAAUGCCUUAUACUCUCUUCUUCAACAAAAACCUUAUCAGUUGGCUUUUUCUUUGUGAAAGUUUCUAUAAGGACGAUCCCAUAACUAUAGACGUCAGAUUUUAUAGAAACAAUUCCUGCUGAUCCAAAUUCUGCAUUUCAAGUAUAAUUAGAACAUCAUUCAUCCUCAAUUAUUUCUAAAACGCUUAUUCAAAUAUCUAUCCACAUACACGUGAAACAAGAAUAUAAAAUACAAAUUAGGAAAAUAAUCAUACAAAAAUAAAAAAAAGAAUUCACCUGGUGCCAUAUACCCAAUAGUUGCAAGAGUCAUGGUUUGCUUCAUUACUUCACCUUCUCCCAACAAUUUGGCAACGCCAAAAUCUCCAACAUGUGCAACCAUGUCUUCAUCUAGUAAAAUAUUGCUUGGUUUUAUGUCACAAUGAAUUAUAGGUGUUGGAUGUCCAUUGUGGAGGUGUUCUAUAGCUACCGCAACAUCUAUCAUUAUGUCGACCCUUUGUAUGAUACCAAGGAAACAAUUUUCAGAAUGUAACCAUUUCUCAAGGUUUCCAUUAGACAUGUAAUCAAGCACCAAGGCUUUGAAGUCAACACUUGAGCAGUAAGUAAUGACCUUCACAAUAUUACGAUGAACUAUAUUAAGCAUAGCAUCACAUUCAAUGUCAAAACUCCUAAAUGCUCCCUCUGUUUGCAAAUUGAAAACUUUUAUUGCAACUUCCAUUCCAUCUGAAAGCCUCCCUUUAUAUACAUAUCCAAAACUCCCUGAACCAAGCGUAUUGCUUUCCUCAAAUCCAUUAGUUGCUCGUGAAAGUUCAGCAUGUGAAAUUCUUCUCAGUGUCUUCAAAGACAACAAAUCAUCUUUAACUGGUAGAGCUGUACUCCUUUGGCAUCUUCUAUACAUAAUAGUUAAGACUAUUAGUACUAGGACAAUACCAAUUGUUGGUAAACCAUACCUAAAAGCAUGCAAUAUAAUCAUUUGGGAGUUUUUGUGGAUGUCAUUUUUGCAAGGUGGGACUAGCAAUCUAGGUGGACCACAAAGUGCACAAUUAUUCAUGAAUGAUGUGCUAGAAAAGUUUGAAAAACAUCCUUUGCUGGGAAUUUCCCCUUCAAGUCUAUUGAAAGACACAUUAAAAUACUUUAGAUAUAAAAGCUUUUCCAAAGAUUUGGGAAUGACUCCAGAGAGAUUGUUAUUGCAUAAAUCCAAGAAUUCCAAACUAAUCAACCCAUCAAAUGAUUCAGGGAUAUGACCAUGUAGUAUAUUAUUUGAUAAAUCUAAUGAAACCAAAGUUUGAAGACCCCCAAAUGUGGAUAAGAUAUCGCCCAUGAGAAGAUUCCUUGAUAAAUUUAGUCUCAGUAGACUCCUAAAGUUUCCAACAUCAAUAGCAUGCGAAUUGUGAAGAUGGUUUGAUGAUAAAUCUAUUUCUAAGAUAUCUUUAAGAUUCCAUAAAGUUGAGGGUAUUGCGGAACUCAAUUUGUUGGAAUCUAACCAAAGAUAUCUCAAAGCAGAAAUAUUACCUAAACAAGAGGGUAUGGAUCCAUGCAGCUUAUUCAACCCUAAAUACAUCUUGAAUAGUCUCUCCAAACCACAGAGGCUUUCUGGGAUAGGCCCUUCUAAUUUAUUAGAGGAAAGAAAUAGACCUUGGAGAUUUAUCAUUCCUCCUAUUGAUGCUGGAAUCAAUCCACUUAAUUUAUUAUAGCCAAGUUGUAAAACCAACAUGUUGCUUAAGUUACCUAUUUCCAUAGGAAUAAUGCCUUGAAGCUCACACUCUGUGGCACGAAAGUAUUGAAGGGAUUUUGAAAGGUUCCCGAAAUAAGUAGGAAGAACGCCACUCAAUGGAUUUCCUGAAACAAUUAUUCUUUUCAAAUGCUUGCAAUUCGUCAAAGAAGAAAGAAAGCUCCACUCAUGAUCAGUAGCAGAUCCUGUGAUCAAAUUAUUGUUUACGAUUCCGAACCAUUCAAGGUGUCUUAAGCUGCCAAGCAUUUUAGGGAUUGGGCCAGAGAAUAAGUUUUCUGACAAGGAUAGAAUCUUAAGCAUGGAAGCAUUGGAGAUAGAGUUGGGAAUGUUUCCGCUAAGUUUAUUUCCCCACAGUAAAAGAAUCUGAAGCUUUGGAGCAUUGGUAAUGGGUGGUAAAUUACCUGUAAAAUAGCAUCUUUUAGAAAACAUAUUCAUUGAAUACCAAAUUCACAAAAUAUAUAAUACAUUAAAAUAAAAACUGUAAAACUUUAAAUCAAUUAAGAAUAAAAUUUUGGCAUGGAAAAAUGUGAUGAAAUCAAUUAGAAAGUUGAGACAUAAUAAGAAGUUUUGAGUAGUAAUUAGUCCUUGUGAUUUGUAUAGACAAAACAUAUAAUACACUGAUAAUUUUUUUAAAAUAUUGUAAAACCUGAAAUAAAAUAAAAAAUAAAAGUUUGGCACAAGAAUGUGGCAUCUAAUCAUUCUUAAAAAUAAGACUAACAUUAAAUAAUAAUUAGUUAUGAUUUGAGAAACAAAAAUGUUAAAGAUGUAAACUGGUAUGAUUUUUAUCUAUUGGGUUAAUUAUUUAUUUUUAUUAAAUUAUAUAUAGUGUAAAAUUUAAAGAUUAUUAUUUGCUCAAAAUUUUUGUAUUUUUCGUAUAUUUGAAAUUUAAUCUUUAUAUUUUUUUAUUUUCUGUGAUUUAGUCUCUCUACUUUUUAAAUUGAAAAUUUUAAGUUUAUUUAUUAACACUGUUAAAAAGUUUUUGUGUUAGUAUGGCAUUUUGAAAAAUAAAAUAAACUUGAUAUCUAUGUUUUUAAUUAUUCCAAAUACUGUUUUACUAUUCCAAGAUAAAUUAUUUGUGUCUAGACCAAUAUCUGAAGAACUAUUGUUGCAUGUUUAAUUAUUCUAAAGAAUUGUUGAUUGAGUCUUAGUUGAAGUGCACUAUUCUCCUAUUUAUGAAUUGGGGAGUUGAUAAAGUACUAAAUUUUGAUAUAUUUUAAAAAAUUAAAAAUUUAUUAAAAUAUUUUUAUAAAAAUUGAUUGUACCAAAAUAUACAAUUUUAAUAUCAAAUUUUUAAUUUUUUAAAAAUAUUAGCGAAUAUAUACUUUAUUUCAAGUUACACAAUUUUUACUAGUUUUUAACUUUUUUUUUAAAUUUUUAUCGUCUUUUAUAAUUUCAUAUAAUUUUUUAUAAUUUUUUACAAUAUUUACAAUUUCUAACAAUUUUUAAUAAUUUUAUUAUUUAUUAUAAAUUUAAAAAUUAACAAAUUUUUAUUUUUUUAAAACAAUUAUAUAUUUAUAAUGUAGUUAUUUUUUUAUAAUUUUUUUUGAAAUUUAAAGAUUUUUUUGGUUUUUUCUAGAUGAUGAUGCCAUCAUGAUGUCAUCAUAUGCCACAUGGCAAUUUAUAAUUAGUUGACUAUCUCAAUCUAUUUUUUUAACGUCCAAUGGACUAAAACAAGAACACCUGAUAAUGUUAGAGACUACACUAGGAAUGUUUGAUAAUAUUAGGUACUAAAGUGGGCAAAAAAAAUUAAGGACUAUAUUAAAAAUAUAUCUAUAAUAUAUAUAAAUGCAUGGAUUUUGAGAAACUUUUGAAAUGACAAAUAUAUAGUCUUUGUUUUUUUUUACUAUAUUAUUGAAUUUUUUAUUUUAAAUAUUUUUUUAUUACUUUUAAGAUUUAUCAUAUGUAUGGAUAAAAAUUUUGGUUUUACUAAAAUAUUUGGUUAAAUAAAUUCACUUUAUAAAAAAAUUUAGCAUCCUUAUAAAUAACAAUUUUGAUUCCAUUAAAAAAAUUAUUUAAUAAUAUAUAAUAAAAAUUUAAAAUUUAUAUUGAAUCACUUUAUACUUAAAUUAUUAUUAGAAACUUUAUCAUACACAUAUGUGUAUGAGAACCACGUUUUCAGAACUUAAAUUUGUGUUCUAAAAUAACUUAUGAUAAAUAAUUAAAUGUAUAAUUUGAAAUUAUAUUGAAAUAAAAAUAGAUUAAAUUGUAAGUAAAACAUAUAUAAUUUAAACAUAUGAAUACAUCAAAUUAAAAAUACUAAAUGAAUACAUUUAUUUAUGAUGAUGUUGUUGUCAAUUCAUAAGUUGGUGUCGAGUUAAUUUGUGACAUCAUAAUUUUAAGUGAUAAAUUUAAGGUUUUAUGUAUUGAUGUCGAUUCAAAUAUCACCAUAAUUUUUUUAAAUAAAAAACUAAAGCACCCUCAAAUAAUAUAACUUAUAUUAAAUAUGAAAGGGUAUUUUUGUAAUUUCUCUAACGAGUUGGUGCCCGGUUGACUCAUGACACCAACUCAAUCAAAAGCUUCAAUAAUAAUAUAGAUAUUCACGUUUAAAAAAAGUACUUUAGUUCGAAAUAAUUAUAUAACAAGUAAUUUUAUAAUUGAUGAAUAAUUUUAUAAAAAUAUAUUUAUAUAAUCUAAUAUAUUAUAUUUAUAUUAAUUAUAUAUCAUCUACAAACUUUGAAGAUCAAUUUAUUAAGUAUCAGGAAAAGAAAAAAUGAAAUUGAAUUAACACUAAAUCAAUUUUUAGAUUUUGUACAGAUGAUUUAAUGAUGAUAAAAACAUUAUUAGCACUAUUUUUGAAUUAACAAAAAAUUAGUGAUAUAUUUUAAUUAUAUUUUUUAUUUUUUAUUUUUAAUAAUAUUUUUUUAAUUAUAUGAAGUAAAAUUAUAUUGUAUACUAAAUAUGGUACAUAUACUUUAAUUAAAACUUGAAAAAUUAUUAUAUAAAUUAAUAUAUUUUAAUUAUAUUCAACCAUUUGAAUAACAAAAUUAAAAAAAACUAAUUAGAAUUAUUUACUUUUUAAAGUUUAAUGGAAAAUAAAAAAUUAAAAAUAAAUCAAUUCAUAUAAAUCUUAUUGUUUAUUAUCAGAUUAAAAUGAUAAAAGUAUAUGACAUACAUAGAAGAAACAAAUUCAACACAAUGUUUUUGGAGUUUGGAAAAAAUUAAAGUGAAAAACAUACCUUCUAAUUUGUUGUUAAAUAGAUCUAUUUCUUCGAGCGUAGUUGAAUUAAAAAUACUUGAUGGAAUCUGACCUGCACACAUAGUCGAAAAUUGAAGUGAAAUCAAACUCUUUUGUGAAAAAAAUAUUACCAGAUAAUUCAUUCCAACCCAGGUAAAGCCCUUCAAGCUUGGGAAGAUGUUGACACAUAUCAUUAAGCAAACUACCUGAUAGGCUAUUGUUGGAGAGAUCAAUGGUCUUCAGAGAAGAAAUGUUGAAGAUCGAAGUUGGAAUCUGACCUGUAAGGCCUUUAAUUGCUUUAAUACUAAGCAUCUCCAAACCAAGAAGAUUACCGAUUUCCUCGGGAAUUUGACCUGCACACAUAGUCAAAAAAUCAAGGUGUCAAACUAUCUAUUUUGUUAGCAUAAGUCAAAGAGGUUUUCUUUUCUGUUCUACAGUAAUUUGAAGAUGUUAGAUUUUAAUAUAUUUCAGCAUAUGUUUUUCAUCAAAUGAAAUAAAAAGUUUUUCCUUUUUAUUAUCUAUUACAAGUCAAACUCUUUUAUAAAAAAAAAUACUUUAAAUUCAAGAAAUCAAGGAAAUUGAUUACCUUCUAGAUUAUUAAACCGCAAAUAUAAUUCCAGGAGUCGUGUUAGAUUUCCAAUACUUCUUGGAAUGAUCCCCGUCAAUUGAUUCAAGGACAAGGACAAAUUUUUAAGGUUGCUGCAUUUUCCCAUACUUGACGGAAUGUUACCAGAUAACUCGUUGCUAUGCAAGUAAAGCACUUCAAGCUUGGGAAGAUGUUGACACAUAUCAUUAGGCAAACUACCUGAUAGGCUAUUGUUGGAGAGAACAAUGGUCUUCAGAGCAGAAAUGUUGAAGAUCGAAGUUGGAAUCUGACCUGUAAGGCCUUUAAUUGCUUGAAUAUUAAGCAUUUCCAAACCAAGAAGAUUACCGAUUUCCUCAGGAAUUUGACCUGCACACAUGGUCGAAAAAUCAAGGUGUCAAACUACCUAUUUUGUUAGCAUAAGUCAAAGAGGUUUUCUUUUCUGUUCUACAGUAAUUUGAAGAUGUUAGAUUUUAAUAUAUUUCAGCAUAUGUUUUUCAUCAAAUGAAAUAAAAAGUUUUUCCUUUUUAUUAUCUAUUACAAGUCAAACUCUUUUAUAAAAAAAAUACUUUAAAUUCAAGAAAUCAAGGAAAUUGAUUACCUUCUAGAUUAUUAAACCCCAAAUAUAAUUCCAGGAGUCGUGUUAGAUUUCCAAUACUUCUUGGAAUGAUCCCCGUCAAUUGAUUCAAGGACAAGGACAAAUUUUUAAGGUUGCUGCAUUUUCCCAUACUUGACGGAAUGUUACUAGAUAACUCGUUGCUAUGCAAGUAAAGCACUUCAAGCUUGGGAAGAUGUUGACACAUAUCAUUAGGCAAACUAUCUGAUAGGCUAUUGUUGGAGAGAACAAUGGUCUUCAGAGCAGAAAUGUUGAAGAUCGAAGUUGGAAUCUGACCUGUAAGGCCUUUAAUUGCUUGAAUAUUAAGCAUUUCCAAACCAAGAAGAUUACCGAUUUCCUCAGGAAUUUGACCUGCACACAUGGUCGAAAAAUCAAGGUGUCAAACUACCUAUUUUGUUAGCAUAAGUCAAAGAGGUUUUCUUUUCUGUUCUACAGUAAUUUGAAGAUGUUAGAUUUUAAUAUAUUUCAGCAUAUGUUUUUCAUCAAAUGAAAUAAAAAGUUUUUCCUUUUUAUUAUCUAUUACAAGUCAAACUCUUUUAUAAAAAAAAUACUUUAAAUUCAAGAAAUCAAGGAAAUUGAUUACCUUCUAGAUUAUUAAACCCCAAAUAUAAUUCCAGGAGUCGUGUUAGAUUUCCAAUACUUCUUGGAAUGAUCCCCAUAAAUUGAUUAUAGGAGAAGGACAAUUUUUUUAAGUUGCUGCAUUUGCCCAUACUUGACGGAAUGUUACUAGAUAAAUCAUUCCGACUCAGGUGAAGCCCUUCAAGCUUGGGAAGAUAUUGACACAUAUCAUUAGGCAAACUACCUGAUAGGCUAUUGCUGGAGAUAUCAAUAAUCUUCAGAGAAGAAAUCUUUAAGAUGGAAGAUGGAACCUGACCAGAUAAUUGAUUGAAUCCCAAGUUUAAGAUCACUAGAUUAGACAUGUUAACAAGUGUUUCAGGGAUUGUGCCUGUAAAGUUAUUAUUUUUCAUUUUUAGCCUUCGAACUCUCUGUAAGUUCCCAAGCCAUGAUGGAAUUUCCCCAUUCAGACGGUUGUAGCUUAAUUGAAGGAUCCUCAAACGAUGCAAUUGGCCCAAUUCUUUAGGGAGAUGGCCAUAGAAAUGGUUGCUACUCAAGUCGAGAGAGAGUAGAAAUGAAAGAUUUCCAAGGUGUGGAGGGAUAGUACCCCUAAGAUUCAUGCUUGUAAGAUUCAAAGCUAUAACUCUUUUAUGGAGGAUGCCACAAGAAACACCAGUCCAAUUGCAAACAGAGGUUGAGGCCAUCCAAUUGUCUGCCAAGACAUUUUGAGGAUCGGCAAUGCGAUCCUUAAACUCGAGAAGUGCAAAUUGAUCGGAGUUGAGAUUCUUGGCUGUCAUAGCCAAGCAAAGUACGGAACAUGAUAUGAAUAAAGCUAAGAGAAGAUGAAAGCAAGUUUUGUAGUUCAUGAUUGCAAGACGGAAUAAGGCAAGAAAAUAAAAAAAGUAGGAAAAGGGAAGUUGAGUUGAUAAAAUAGUUUGGAUGAUGAAGAAAAGCCCAGAGAGCAUACUUUAAUAUGUUUCAACCCUCGCACACUUGAUAAACUUGAUAAAUAUAUUUUGAUCUAAUAAAUGUAAAAAACUUUUUAAACAAAAUAAGGUUGAAAUAAUCUAUUUGUCCUUAUACUUUGAUAAAAUUUGAGAUUUAGUCCUUAUACUUAAAAGGAUAAAAGUGUUGUAGUUCUUGUUGUUUUUAUUUAAAAAUCUUAGUCCUAUCGUUAAUUUUUUGGGUCAAAAUUUGUCAACUGUACAUAUUAAUUAGGUUUCCCUUAUAUGUUGUUGUAUAUGACUAACACAAAAUAAGCAAGUUGACAAAUUAUGACAAAAAUAAUCAAAGAUGAUAAUAAUUUAAUUAAAAUUUUCAAAUUGAAUUAAUAACCUUUAACAUAUAAGGAAUGGAUAUCAAAUAUUUAUAGGAAAAAAGGGACUAACAACAUAUUUUAACCACAAAAUAAUAUGAGUGAUUAGAAUGAAUCUAAAAGAGACUAACAACAUAUUGAUAACUUUGAAAUCUCCUUCGAUCAUCCUUUUUCUACGUAGAAAAUGAAAAUUAAUUAGCAUCUAAAGUGUCAAUUAAUGAAACCUUCAAAAGAAAAUGUGAAAGUGAUUUAUCAAAAAAUAAUAUUUUAACUUAUAAAAUAUUUAAUUACAUUUAGUAAUUUAUCAAUCAAAAUUUAAUUAACAUCCAUCAAUACUUCAUACAUAAGUAAAUUUACCAUUUAACUCAGAUUUAACUUUGCAAGUAAACUUAAAAUUUUAUUUAAUUUUGUCACUAAAUUUAAUUUGUUCAAUAUAGAUUUUGGUGACUUAAAACAAAAUUAAUAAAAAAUUAUAUUCUUUCAGACAUCUUUUUAAUGUUUAAUAAUAAAAUAAUUUAUAAAAUAUACUUUCAUUGGACACAAGCAAGGCGAUGAACCACUGACCAAAUUAAUUUGGAUAUAUCUUUUUUCCAAAUAAAGUGAAUUUACGAGUUUUGUUUUUUUUUUAAUAUUUUUGUGGAUAUCAAGUGAUACCAAAAAUUAUUUCACUAAGAAAUUUUAAUUCACUUGAAAAGUUAGUGUUUUAUUUCAAGGGGUCAUAAUUAUAAAUUUUAAAUUUUUUGACAAUUGUGUAAUUAAUAAAUACCAAUUUUGACUGUUGUAGGGCUAGUACAAUCUCCCUUACGCAUAACCGACUCUUGAACCUACUAUUUUCUCUAGAAUUUAACGCAGACCUUAAAUUUAUCUUUUAAAAAGAAUUUUAAAAUCUCUAUAUAAAAGGUGUAAAAAUAUAUAUUUUAUUAAUUACUAUAUAUUAUUUUAUUUUCAGAAUAAUAAAUAGUUUAAAAUAUGCUGCUAGUCCCUAUAGUUUAAAAGUUAAAAAGUUUUUGGCAUCUUGAGUGCAUCAAAUUUCUCCUUUUAUUAUUAAAUGUUUUAUUUUAGUUACUCUAAUUAAAUAUAUCCAAAUUGUAAUAGAGUUAAUAUUUAUUAUAUAAAAAAAUAUUUUAAUUUUUUUUCAAUUGUAGUUUAAUUCUAGUAGAAAUAUUUCAUUUAUAAAAUCAUAAAACUUUAAAAUAUUAACUUUGUUAAAUAAAAAAUGAUUUUUUUAAACUGUAAAUUUUGACUUUAUUAACCCAAAUGGGUCUUUAGGGUUAAACUUCAGUAAUUGACGAGCUCUUCCACAAACUGUGGAUGAUUUGGGGAUAAAAACUUCAAUAAUUCUAGAGUUAAAGUGUAAAUUUACUACUAUAUUAUAAGUAAAUAUUGAAAUUUAUCACUAAAUUUUAAUUGAUACUUGUCAUUACACUUUGAAAAUAUAAGUAAAUUUAUCAUUUAACUCAUAUGUGAUUGAAGUUUGCAAGUAAACUUAAAAUUUUAUUUAAUUUUGUCACUAAAUUUGAUUUAUUUAAUUAUAUUUACAACUCAAUAUAGAUUUGGUGACUUAAAACAAAAUUAAUAAAAAAACUAUUCUUUCAGAUAACUUUUAAUGUUAACUAAUAAGUUGAUUUAUAAAAUAUACUUUCAUUGGACACAAGCAUCCAAGGCGGUGAACAAACCACUGGUCAAAUUAAUUUGGAGAUAUCCUUUUUGCGUUUUUCUUUUUUUUUAAAAAUAUUUUUAAUAUUUUUGUGGAUAUCUCCAAAUACCAAAAAUUAUUUCACUAAGGAAUUAAUUAGUAUUUUAAGGGUUCACAAUUAAACUUUAGACUUUUUAUUUUUAAAUUUGGAAUUUUUUGACAAUUGCAUAAUUAACAAGUACUAAUUUAGAGUGUUGCAGGAUUAUUACAACCUUCCCUACACGUAACAGACUCUUGAACCUACUUUUUUCUCUAGAACUCAAUGCAAACCUCAAAUUUAUCUUUUUAAAAGAAUUUUAAAAUAUCUAUAUAAAAGGUGAUUUUUUUACCGAUCACACUUAACAAAAUUUUAAAAAUUAUUAAUUUCUUUUUGAAAUUUAAAGUGAUCUAAAACUAUAUUUUUAAGUGCUUUAGACCAUGCGGUGCUGAUUUCUUUAUUGUAUUAAAUGCUUGCAAUCACUCCUUGUAUCUUAUACUUGAGUUGUAACAAAACCAAUUGUCACGUGUCAUAAUGUUCUACUGAUGCUGAAACUGAAGUUUUUGUUAUAUUAAUAGAGCUUGUCCUUCAACGCGUAUAACAAGUGUUUGUUAUUUUUUCCUUCAAAUUGUAUGAUCUCAUUCAUUAAAUAAAUUAAUGAAUUUCCCUUUAAAAAAUAUAAUUUUAAAAAUUAAAUACUUUAUAAGAUAUUUAAAACUAUUUAAAAAAUUGUAAGCGUUAAAACAAUCAACAAGAUAUAUUUUUCUUUAAAAAAUCAAUAAAAAUAUGUUUAAAAUUUUAUAUGAAAUUAAAAAUUUUUUAACAAUAAUAUAUUUUAAAAUUAUUUACACCUUUUUUUAUAUAUUUUUCCUAACAUAUCGUUAUUUUCAACACUAUCGUAAUCCUAUUUUGAUAAUUCCCUUUCCAUACAUCCUUUUUCUACAUAGAAUUUCAAAAGAAAAUGUGAAUUAAUGCAGACUUGAGAAGACCUAGAGGUAAGUCACCCAAUGAAACUGACCUAAACCGACUUAUGGACCAAUCAAACAAUAAUUUUGUAUCUCAUAAUAUAUUUAAUUACAUUAAUUAGCUUAUCAAUCAAAACUUAAUUAAAAUCCAUCAAUAAAGUUGCUGAUUGUAUGGCUAAGGCAUAUGGAGGCAUAAUUGAGCAGCUGGUUAUCUUGGAAGAUCCUUCGCGUUAUGUAAGAUAUUGGCUUGAAGGAGAUAUUAGACAGUCGUUGGUCACUGAUGAUAAAUUUCAUUUGGAUUGAAGCAGGCUUAAUUUUCUAAGUUUAUGUUCAACCAGAAAAAAAAUCUAAAUUGUAAUAGAAUUAACAUUUAGUGUAUAAAAAAUAUCUUAAAAAUUAUUUUUUCAAUUGCAAUUCAAUUCCACAAAUACUGACGAUGAACCCUGAAACGGACAUGAAAAUUACAAAAAGAAAAAAAGCACAUCUAUUAUCAAACCAGCAAUCCAUGCCUAAACUGAGAGAGAUGAACCCUAUGAUAGAUUGUGACACCCCAAAGUCGACCGGGAUAGAUCGGCCCGAAUUCGAAGCAUUACAUUAGCCACCUAAAUGACUCUCUAGCUAACGACCACCCAAGACACACCCCGACCUUAUAACACCUCAAUCUUAUCUAAUUAUUAGUUAUUUAUUAAUACCAAAGUAAAUUAUGAGCCAAUUUUAAACUUUUCCUAGGUAAUUUAACCUACGGGCAUUUACGUUAUUUUACCACCUAUGGUAAAACUAACCCGAUUUUAGAUCUAAGUGUUUACUGGCCUUCUUUUAGUCAAAUUAUGCAAGGUUAAAAUUUUUAGGUGAUUUUGAGUUCAUUUACUAUGUCUAAUUCAAGUUUUAUUAUUUAGGACUAAAUUGUAACUUAAACAAAUUUGAAUACCAAUUUAAAGAGACAAAAAUUUAAAACCCCCAAAACCACACGAGCAUGUAGGUAAAUGACACGGGAGUGUGGAAACUGGAGCAAUCACACACAGGCGUGUGGGAUUGAAAAAUAUGAAAUAAAUUAAUUAUGGUGUUAAAUUCUUCCAUCAAUUGUACAUAAUUUUGAUUGGUAUAGUAAUAAAUUUAGCCUUCAAUGUUUAAAUAUUUUGUCAUUUUGGCCUUAAUUUUAAAAAAAAAUUCAAGAAAUUCAACCUCAACAUUCACAUAUUUACACAAACGUUGCGGGAAAUUUUUGUUAAAUUAAGACCAAAUUGCAAGUAUAAAUUUUGAGGGCUAAAUUUAUUAUUAUACCAACAAAAACCAUGUACAUUUUAUGGAAAAUUAACAUCCUGAUUAAUUAUUCUUAGUAGCUCACUUUCAAAAUUAAUAGGGACUAAAUUGCUCUGAUUUUUUAAGGGUGACCAAUUUCUUCAAUUUGGAAAUUGAGAGAGACUAUUCAGAUAUUUUACAUAUUUUUUAUAAAUAUAUUUUUUUAAUAUAAAAUAUAGUUGUUCACACACAUCGUGAGUAUGAUAAAAUAUUUUUAUUGUUGAUUGAAUUGGUGUCAAAAAUUAACUCGAGACCAACUCAAGAUUAAGAAUAACAAUAUGAUAAAUAAUUUAUUUAUUUAAUAUUCUGAAUUUAAAAUAUUGAUGUAAAUUUUAAGACAUGCAUGUCUUGUAGAAUUGAGAUUAUACUUUUUGAGUAUUGAGUCAGUUUUCCACAAUUGUGGGUCUCUAUUUGAGCAACACAAUUUCAACAUUUCUUCAUCUCGCUUAAUCCAAAUGCAUUUAGGAUUUUUUUUUUUAUAUCAUUGUUUCAAAAACGAUAAAAAAAAAAGUGGACAUUGAAUUUUCUGUUUCACAUUCAAUUUUUGGAGAAGUAGAAUUUUCUAACUUAUUUUCCAUCAACUUCACUUCAAUUUUCAAUCACAAUCUAUUGCAUUCAAGAGCACCACAUCAUUUUGGAUGAAACAAACCUCUCAAUUUUAAGAUAAACGGAAUCUAUUGCAUUCAAGAGCACCACAUCUUUUUGGAUGAAACAAAGCUCUCAAUUUUAAGAUAAACGGGUCUUUAGGGUUAUUAAUUAAGGGCAUUUUCCACAAUUGGCAUCGUUAUUUGCGGGUGAUUCGGGGAUAAUAACAUCAACAUUUCUGUAUCACAUUUAAUUCAAUUCCACAUUUAAGUUUUAAUUUUUAGAGAGAUGAUUGGGUUACAACAAUGGUUUGAAGUGAAGAUAUUUCAAAAGAAGGCAAAUAUAUCAAUUUUUUAAGGGGUCUUUGGAGUUAUAUGUGACUUUAGCAUUAUUGACCGACUUUUUUAUAGUUAAUCUUUUAUAAUAAGUUAAUUAUAUCAAUUUUAAUAACAUCGACAUGUUUUUUAGUAGGGUCGAUCAAAACCCAAUUAAAACCUUUCAUCACUGCAAAAAUGAAAAUAAUAGAAAUGAAAGACUAGCCAUUGUAUGAGAUUUAUAAUUGUAACUGUCAACGAAAUUGGGAGAAAUUUUUAAAUUUUAUGAAAUUUUAAAAUUAAACUGUCAAUAAUAGAAAAUUGCCUGAGUGACUUGGGAUAAGAGCUUGAACAUUUCUGGAUCACAUUACAUUUAAGAUGGGUCUUUAAGGUUAUACUUUAGUUUUUGAGAACAUUUUCCACAAUUUGCCAUCGUUAUUUGUGGGGUAAGUGGUUGAACACUUCUGGAUCACAUUGCAUUUAGGACGGGUAUCAUUCAUAGACUGACUUUUCUAUAAUUAGUCCUUGCUUUACUUUAGGUGGAUUCUUCCAACUAGUCCAAGAAUUAUUGUACAGUUACAUUUAAUCUUUUUAAAUGAGACAAACAUUUCAAAUUUGUCGUUACUAUUUGUGAGUAAUUUGGGGGUAAGAAGUUUAACACUUCUGGAUGUCUUAUAGAAUUGUGAUUAUACUUUUUGAGUAUUGACUCAGUUGUCCACAAUUGUGGGUCUCUAUUUGAGCAAAACAAUUUCAACAUUUCUCCAUCUCGUUUAAUCCAAAUGCAUUUAUGCAUUUCUUAUAUCAUUGAAUUUGCUGUUUCACAUUCAAAAAUUGGACAAGUAGAAUUUUCUAACCUAUUUUCCGUUAACUUCACUUGAAUUUUCAAUCACAAUCAAUUGCAUUCAAGAGCACCACAUCUUUUUGGAUAAAACAAAACUUUCAAUUUUAAGGUAAACGGGUCUUUAGGGUUAUACGGGGGCCUUUUCCACAAUUGCCAUCAUUAUUUGCGGGUGAUUUUGGGAUAAUAACUCGAAUAUUUCUGGAUCACAUUUAAUUCAAUUUUUAAAUUUUAGAGAGAUGUUUGGGUUACAACAAUUUUCAUCAUUAAGUUUAAUAGAACAUUUGGGAGGAAAAAGAGCAAAAAAAUGAGCGAAAACCGAAAAAUGGGGGCAAAGUAUAGGACCCACACUAGCUGACCUAUUCCACUUGACUGUGCAUCAAUUUCGUAGAUUUGCACUUUGACCUACAAAAAAAUACGAAUUUUAGGCUUUUCGGGCAUUCUAAGAUGUACAUAUGACAAAAAUAAAAAGAUAUAAGAGAACCUUUUAGAAUAUUCAAGAAAACAACUCCAAAGACACCACUAAAGCCGACUCUGAAGCAAAUUUUCAUUAAGAUGGAAGAUUCCUAAUUGACCACUAAAGCCGACUCUAAAGCAGACUUUCAUUAAAAUGGAAGAUUCCUAAUUGAUUUCUUAGGAGAUUAUCAUGAGUUUCUUUAUUCCUUUCAAUUAUACUACCCUUUGGAUGUUUUUAUUUUUAAUCAUGAACUAAUUUUCUAAAUACCUAAGAGAGAUAAACCCUAUGAUAGAUUGUGACACCCCAAAGCUGACCUGGACAACCGACCCAAAUUCGAAACAUUACAUUAGCCAUCUAAGUGACUUUCUAGCUAACGACCAGCCAAGACACACCCUAACCUUAUUGUACAAGCCCAAUUUUGACCAAGACCAAACCAAAUAAAUUAACAGUCCAUAAGAGUCCAAAUUACAACUAGCCUGAUAUGGCCCAAAUAAAAAACAACAACCCAAGCCCAAACCCAACCCUCGUAGCCCAAAGCCCACAAACUAAAAAAUUUCAGCAGAAAAAAGAAAGUUGCUAACCCUACGCGCCAUGCCUGGGUCCUCUGCCACUGACCGCAUGCCUCUGCCACCGUAUCUCACAGCCUCUGCCACGCCUCUGCUGCCUACAAGAAACCAACAAAGCACAAAAUGACAACAGCAAUAGAGGUCAAAUCGAAAAACAACAAAAAAUAGAUUACGAAUCAUUUAGAUUGGCUAUAAAGGCCGAAAUAUUAACCUUGUAAUGCUUCUUCUUUUUUUUUGACGAACAUUAGAAAAAUAAAAAACAGAAAACAAGUUUAGAAGGUAGAUUUUUUUCAUUUUCAAAUUUGCAUUUCUUUUCCCUGUGUAUUUUCUUUUCUUCUAUUUUUUUUUACAUGCAACUAGUAAGAACAAAGAAAGAGAAAGAAAAACCUCGCCUGGAAUAGCCCCUCAAGUCCGGUCGUCGAAGGCCCUUUUCCUGUUGUCAAAAUCGAACCUAAAAAGGGGGCUAGGGUGCCCUCUCCUGGUCUUUUAGGGCAACAUCGGCCACCAGUCAGGUGGCACUACGGCGGCGCUCACGGCCAAAACCGUAGGCCGAGCGGGGUGGGGGUUUGAGAGAGGGAGCUCUCUGAAAUUUUUUUAAACAAAUGGGAUGAAACUGAUUUUCUUUGGGUUUUUUUUUAUUUCAUACUAAGUAUGAAACGGCGACGUUUUGGGCUUAAGCAGCCAUGGCCAAAACGACGCCAUUUUACGUCGUUUCCCCUAUACCCACGCGCGCGACCCGACCCACCAGGGGAUCCGCAUGUUUUUGCUCUGAGGGGAUAUUUGCGCAAUCUGCCCCUACGCCUUUUUGACGUAUUCAAUUCGGUUUUUUAUUAUUUUUUAUUUUAGCCAUGUAUUUUUGCUUCCGAUUCAAGUUGGUCCUUAGACCAUGUGUUGUUCCACAGUUAAAACGCCGCACUUUAGGAUUGGGGAAUAUUUCCCUGAAAGUCCCUCGCGCUUUGAGUGCGUUUCAUUUCGGUCCCGAGCCACCCCUUUUAUUUAUUUGCAAUUUAGACCGCGAGUUCUAAUCCGAUUUCAAUUUAAUCCUUAUUCCAUGUAAUUAUUUUAUUUUCUUUUUCUUUAAAAAUUAAUUUUUUUAUUUAUAAAAAGGACCUCUUUUAUUAUUAUUAUUUAUUUUAAGUUUUACAUAUAUUAUUUAUUUUAAAUGUUUUGCCUAAUAUUUACUUAAUUUUUUUAUUAUAUUAUUUUUUUAAACUACUAUAUAUAUUGCCUCUUAGAAUUUAUAUAUAUAUAUAUUAUUUUAAUAAAAAAUAAAGAAUACUGUUUUUAAUUAUUUUAAACUAUCUUAGUAUUUUUUUUUUCAUUUUAAAGUUUUAUAUUGUUUGUUUGAGACAUUUUGCCAUACAUUUCGAGUUCAUCUCAUAAGUUAUUUGUCUUAUACUAUUACCUACAUAAAAUUGUUCUUUAUUAUUUCAUUUCGUUUGCUUGGACUAUUAAUAUUGAUAUGUUAAAAUGUUGCACGUGGUGUGAUUAUUAUCAUUAUGUACGUUGUAAUUAGUUUAUUUUUUUCGCAUUAUUGCCAUUAUGUGUAUUAUUCCGUUUACUCGUAUUUCCAUGCUAUGGUAAUUCAUUCGUAUAUCAUGUUGUUCGAAAAUUAUUUCACCAUAUUAUAAAUUGUCACCCCAUCAACGCAACCCUUUUGUUCACGCAUUAUUUCAAACAUUACAUUUUUUACCCAAACAUGCAAAAAUGAAAUUUUCAAAUAAGGCAAUAUUUUGUGUAUUGGCGAUUCGAGAAAAUUGUAUCCUAACUUACGGGGUUUCAGUCUUUCUCAUUAAAACUAAUAGCAAAAUACCAUUUUUAAAAUAUCAAAAAAAUGAUGAAAGGAACCUAAAUAAGGCAAUAUUUUGCGUUUGGAAAUUCGAGAAAAUGUACCCUAACGUGCUAGGUUUCGAUUCUUUCGUUUAACCAAAUAGCCAAAUAUUCUCUUAAAAUUUCAAAGUAUGGGUUUUGGAACUGUCGAAACCACUUUUUUUGAAAAACAAAAAAAUUAGUUGUCGACUUUAACAACGAGAAUUGGAGUCAGAGUCGCCACUGAUCUUUUAAUGAGGUGUGAUCGGAUCACCUUGAAAACAAUUUUAGGUCUGCGAAUUUUGAGAAAAUUGAUUCGGGAGUCGGUUACACACGAGGAAGGGUUAGCACCCAUGUAACGCCCAAAAUUGGUACCGAAUUGAUUGUUUAAUGUCUUAGUGUCGAGAAUUUGAAAAGAUUUUAAAAUACAAUCCUUUGAAAAGAAAAUUUGAAUAAGAUGAAUUGGAUGAUGAGACUCACUUAUUUCAAAGAAAUAAAUUGUCACACUCAGUAAGUUAGAAUGCAACAUUUUAAAUCCUCAAAAUUAAGUUUAUCUUUUGACUUUUAAAACCUAUGCAUUUUGAGAAGGAUAUCCGAUUAUUUGGGUCAAAUGAAAAAAUCAAAACCCAAUAAGUUAGGGUUCGAUUUCACAAAAUUCCUAAAUAUCGAAUAUUGCCUUAAUUUUCAUAUAUUAGAAAAAUCCUCGCCUUGAGAAAACAACAUGUCAUAUCCAAUGCGUUAGGACACAACGCAUCGAAUUCCCGAGAAUGAGCUUUUUGUUUAUGUGUUUUAAUUAAAGAAUAAUCUCGAUUAUUUAGAUUCGAUGAGGAAAAUUGGAACCCAAUACGUUAGGGCUCAAUUCUUUCAAAAAUCUCAAAUUCCGAGUGUCGCGUUAUUUUAACAAAACUUUUUGAAUAAAAAUGCUCUCAAUAUUUGAAUGAUAUUAAACGUAAUAUUUUGACAAAUAAAAACCAUGAAAUAAUAACGUACAACGCGAAAUGGUGAUUCAUAAAUUAAUGUACGCUAAUGAACGACAAAGAAUCGAUAGAUACGAGCAAGCAAUACAAUACACGUAAGAGCAAUUAUCUCACAUCAUAUACAAAUAAUAACUUUAAUAUUCAAAAGCUAAUGAACUAAAAACUAAUCUUAAACGAAGCUCCAAGCGAAUUAAUACAAAAAUAUGCAACAAGAUUUGAAGAAUAAAAUAACAUGAAGGAAGGGAAAAUAUAUUUAAAAUAAAUCAUAUAUAUAUAUAUAGAAAUUUGAAGUAAAUUAAAAAUAAGGUUAAAAAUAAAUACUACAUAAAAUAAUAGUAUCCAAAUAAAUUUUAAAACAAAUAUCAUAUAAGAAGAAAAUCAAAUACAUAAAAUAAUAUACAUAUAUUAAUUUAAGAUAAGUAAUAUAUAGGGAGUGAAAAGCUUCAUGUAAGUAAUAAUAUAUGCUAAUAUGCAAAAAGUGAAAUAAACUAAAUAUAUGCGGAUAUUUAAAAGAAGUAAAGUAUCUAUAUAUAGCAAUAGGUAUAAAAAAUAUAUAUAGUUUAAAAUUAAAUAAUAUAUACAUUACGUACAUACAUAUAUGUAUAAUAAAAAUAGUUUAAAAAUAGUAACAAAUAAUAAUGAUAAGUAAUAUAUAUAAAUAGGUAAAUAGAAAUGUAAUCAAAUAUAAUAAUGAUAACAAUAAUAAAUAGUAAUAAAAAUAAUAAUAGUAAAUUAAUUAAUAGCAAAAAAUAUCAAUUAGGACUAAAUUGGAAUGAAAAUAGAAAUUUUGGGGCCAAUCCGCAAUAAAUAAAAACAAAAAGGGGCCGAAUUGGGUGCGCGAGGAACAAUGAGGGAGUAAAGCGGAAACUCCAAAACGCUGCAUUGCGGCAUGGACUAAAAUAAAACGAAAAUCAAAUUAAAGGGCGAAAAUUAAAAAGAAAAGAAUCGAUUCGAACAUGCCACAAAAGAGAGAGGACCAUUUGCGCAAAUCUCCCAACAGAGGCCAAAACGCGCGGAUCCUUCCCCGGGUCGGGUCACCGCACGGGUCAUGAGCUACCAAACGGUGUCAUUUUUGACGUAUGGAUAACGUAAAACGGUGUCGUAUUACACUAUUAUUUAAACAAGGUUUUAAAUAAAAAAACAAAAAAAGACAAAUGCUGCCUACGUUUUAAAAAAAAACUGCUUGUUCUUUGCUAGGGUUUUGCCCUAGCUUCUGCGCCGCUCGAACGUACUGCCGUUCAGAAACUUACAAUCCUCGUCCAAACUCCAAUCGCAAUGAAGCGAACAAGGGUGCGACGGCCACCCUAAAGGUAAAUCUUCACUUCUCUUUUCUCUUUUAUUAUUUUCGCAUAAAAACGAAGCGAAUAAGUAAAAUAAAAUAAAAUAAAUAUGAGAAUCACCUUAAAAAACAAUGAUAUUCGAUUUCUUUUUUCUCUUUUUUGUAUUUAGUAUUCGUAACCGUUUACAGAUUUGGUUGGCUCUUUUUAUAGAUGAAAUUAGUGAGAAAGAGAAAAAAAAUCGAAGAAUAUUUUUUUUACAUUUUUCCUUAUUUACUGCUAUCUUCUCUUAUUUGCUAUCGAUUUCUGCUCUUUUUGUUUGCUUGUCCUUCUUGCAGUUAUGGCAUACGGAGGGUGGACGUGGUGGCCACAAAGGCGCGCGUGAGGCGUGGCUCGACUGCUCGGCUGAAGUUGUAUCAGAAACCGCUAGGGUUUUCUGAUUCCUUCUUUGUUUUGGGCUCAUUGGACUAAAAGUUUUUAGGCUAGUGGGCUAGGUUAAAUUUAGGUUUUGGGUUAUACUUCAUUUAUUGAGGGCCUUUUUAACAAUUGCCAUCAUUAUUCGCGGGUGAUUUGGGGAUAAUAACUUGAACAUUUCAGGAUCACAUUCAAUUCAAUUUUUAAAUUUUAGAGAGAUGUUUGGGUUACAACAAUUGCCAUCAUUAUGUUUAAUAGAACACUUGGGAGGAAAAGGAACAAAAAAAUGAGCGAAAACCGAAAAAUGGGGGCAAACUAUAGGACCCACACGGGCUGACCUAUUCCACUUGACUUUGUGACCCUCACGGUCGCGUGGCAAACCACGUCAAUUUCAUAGAUUUGCACUUUGAACUGCGAAAAAAUACGAAUUUUAGGCUUUUCGAGCAUUCUAAGAUGCAUAUAUGACACAAAUAAGGAGAUAGGAGAGAACCUUCCUAGAAUAUUCAAGAAAACAACUCCAAAGACACCACUAAAGCCGACUCUGAAGCAAAUUUUCAUUAAGAUGGAAGAUUUCUAAUUGAUUUCUUAGGAGAUUAUCAUGAGUUUCUUUAUUCAUUUCAGUUAUACUGCCCUUUGAAUGUUUUUAUUUUUAAUCAUGAACUAAAUUUCUAAAUACCUAAGAGAGAUGAACCCUAUGAUAGAUUGUAACACCCCAAAGCCGACUGGCACAGACCGGCCCAAAUUCGAAACAUUACAUUAGCCACCUAAGUAACUUUCUAGCUAACGACCACCCAAGACACACCCUAACCUUGUAACACCUCAAUCUUAUCUAAUUAUUAGUUAUUUAUUAAUGGCAAAGUAAAUUAUAAGCCAAUUUUGAACUUUUUCUAGGUAAUUUAACCUAAGAGCAUUUAAGUCAUUUUACCACCUAUGGUAAAACUAACCCUGUAAUAGCCAAUUUUGGAUGGCCCGAUAAUAAAAAGUCCAAAAAUCAAAGUCCACAUAGUUGAAUUACAUAAAUUGACCCAAUACACAAACCAAAACUAAACAUCUAGCCCGAAUAGCCCAAUAACCAAAAAAAUAAUAAGCCCAAAACCCCAGGCCCAAUAAACUCUGACCUGAUUUGAAGAACACUCCAGAAACCCUAAGGGUUCCUGGAACCUUUCAGCCACCACAGCAACCAGGGCCCUUCCUCGCAUGUGUAGCGCCUCCGCGCACGUGCGCCUCCUCUAGCUGGCUCCUGCAACAGAACACACGAGCAGCAACAACAAGUAAAGCAAGGGAAAAAUAGAAUAACAGCAAAAAAGAAUAAAAUAAUAGAAAAAAAGAUGUAAAAUAAUUUCUGUAAUUUUUAUUAUUCGGCUAUAUAAAGUCAUUGGUGAUACUGUAAAAAAGGAUUACGGAUUCAAAAGAAAAGAAAAAAAAUCAAAUAGCAUUAUAUUUUUAAUGUUGUUUCUGAUUUCUACUUCUUUUUUCUUUUUCCUUUGAUUUGUUUAUAUUUGCUGAUUAAAAGAUAAAAAAAGGGGAAGUUCUUACUUACAUAUUGCCCUGCCGGAGCCUUCAUCCCUUCUGUUUCAAAUCGGAAUUGGGUGGGCAAUGGUCUAAUUGAAAACGGCACACAGAGGGUAGAUUUUAGGGAAAUAGUCAUUUUCACUUAAUUAACCAUGCAAACAUCAAAAUUUCUCAAUGAAAUUUUACUACGACCUUAAUAAAAUCCUGUAGACAGUAAAUAAAUAAUAAAAUAUUAAUUUACUUGUCAAAAUUGUGGUCUCAAAACCAUUGUUCUGAUAUAACUGAAAACGUGCUGUUACCACUCUCCCCCUAAAGGAAUUUUUGUCCCCGAAAAUCUAACUAGAAAAUAAGUUCUGGUAUUGUACUUUCAUAGCUUCUUCUGGUUCCCAGGUAGCCUCUUCUAUUUUGUGACGUUUCCAAAAAAAUUUAACUAAAUCUGUACUUUUAUUUCUCAAUUCUUUAACUUCCUAAGCUAAAAUUCUAAUUGGUUCUUCACUGUACGUCAUACCUAGCUGGUUAUCAACAUCUGCUGGUGAAAUCACGUGUGAAGGAUCUGAUUGAUAUCAUCGUAAUAUUGAUACAUGAAAUAAAUUAUGAAUAUUCUCUAACUUUGACAUCAAAGCCAAUUGAUAAGCUACUGGUCCAAUCCUCUUAAUGAUCUUAUAUGGACCGAUAAAUCGCAGACUAAGCUUUUCUUUUCGACAAAAAUGGAGAACUUUUCUCCAAGGCGGUACUUUUAGAAAUACUUAGUCCUCGACUUGAAACUCUAUAUCUUUUUUUGUUCAAAUCUGCAUAAGAUUUCUGACGAUCAGAAGUAGCUUCAAAUUGUCACGUAUCACUUAACCUUUACUUUGGUUUCUCAAAUCAAAUCAACACUGAAUAACUUUUUCUUGAUCAGCUCCAAUAUAACAGAGUUCGACAUUUCUGACUAUAUAAAGGUUCAUAUGGUGCCAUUUUAAUGCUCACCUAAUAACUGUUAUUGUAUGGAAAUUCAACCAAUAGUAGAAAUCUCUUCUAGUUACCUUCAAACUCUAAAAUACAACAUCGGAGCAUGUCUUCAAGUAUCUAAAUUACUGGCCAAGACUGGCCAUUAGUUUGUGGAUGAAAUGCUGUAUUGAAAUGCAGUCGAGUAUCCAGAGCUUCAUGUAACUUACCCUAGAAUCUAGAAGUAAAUUGUGGAUUUCUAUCAGAGAUAAUGGAUACCGGCACACCUUGUAAUUUGACAAUCUCAAAAACAUACAAUUCUACCAACUUCUGAAAUGAAAAAUCCAUACGCACUGGAAUGAAAUGUGUGAAUUUCAUCAAAUGAUCUACAAUAACCCAAACAACAUCUUUUUUUCUCAAAGAUAGAGGCAAUCCUGAUACAAAAUCCAUUGUAACAUGUUAGACUUUUGUUAGGUAACUAAUGGAAGAGUGAUAAAAAUAUUUAAAUUUGAAAAUUUGAGUUGCUAAAAAGAAAAGUUCAUAAUUAGGUGAUCAAAAUAGAAUGAAUUGAAUAGUUGUGAGACUAUUCUUGUACUUUACCCUUUAAUUACUUUUUUUUAUGGAUAUGUAUUAUUAAUUUUAAAUUUAUAAUAAUGCAUUGCUAAAUAAUUGCAAAAAAAAAUUAUAGACAUUAAUUUUUUGGAGAGGAUAGGCAUCUCUAAAUAAUGAUUAUUUAGAGUUGAAAAUUGUCCAUAAAUAUUUUUGGCAAUUUGUUUUUGAGGUGUAUGGUUGAUAAAGUAUGAUCGAUAGAUUAUGAAGUGAAGCUAAAUGUGUGUUUGACUGGGUGAAAUGUAACACCUUAAACUCAGCCUAGACGUUACGACCAGAUCAGGAAGUGUUACGUAAUUGUUUGAAAAUUCAGUUCUCAUAUAAUUUUGGAAUCCGUUUUGAAUUCUUAAAAUUUCAAAUUAUUUGAAAACAUUCUUUGUCUAGCUAUUUUGUUGAAAACACUAUUUGCUUAUAUUAUAAAACUCAUAAUUUUGCAGCGGAAAAUUCUUUAGCAUUUUUUUUAAAAUGCUAUCCUUAUUUCUUGAAAUUCAUUACUUUUGUAGGAAAUAAAAGUGAUUUUUAUUGAUAAAAUAUUUUAACGACAUUUUAUGUAAAUCGAAAAUAAAAACCUCAAAAACAAAUCAGAACAGUCAAAAAGUCCAAAAUUUACAAAACACCAAAAUUCCCAAAUUUUAAAUAAUUAAAAUAAAUGCAAUAUCUUUUAUAACCGAGCUACCCUCGCACCGACCCGCCUAAGUUUGAGGAUUACUUGAAAGUAUCAUUUAAACAGAAAGUGAGUUUAUGAAACUCAGUGUAAAACAAUUAACUUAAAACAGUUAAAGCAUAUCAAACAAAUUUAACAGUAUCAAAGUCUUAACAAAACAAUACAGAUACAUAUUUAUUUUUCCUACCCCCAUCUGCUACACACCAUCUCCGACCAUCCCAACACACCAUAUGGGGUAUAAAACACCCAUCUAACCCUACACAUCACUUAGUGUCGUUUAAGAAACUUACAGAAGAAUCGUAGUUGCACUACCAGAUAAAUAGGUGAAUUAUCACCUUUUCAAAUAUACUUCCUCCACAUAGUAAAACCCAUCAUAAUAACAGAUACAGUACAUAUCAAUAAUCAGUAAUAAGCAUAACACAUACAUAUAGCAUCGAUGCAUAACAUAUAUAUAGUACUUUUACCAGUUUUCCUAUAGCCCAUUACAUAAUUUACUCGUCAUAUGCAGCUUCAGAUACAGAACAAAUAUCAAAAUUCAUGCGAACAGAUGACUAACUUUUUAUAUUUUUUAGUCCAUUUAAGCACAUAUUGACCCCAUGGAAGACCCAUAGUCGAUCUAAGUGACGUGAACGGUCCUGAGGAAAGUUUUAGAAUGUUGGGCCCAUACGCCCUGUGUAGCCUACAUGGCCCAAAUUGCUCAAACCGUGUGUCACACACGGUCCAACACAUGGCCUGUCACACAACCAUGUGUUGCACAUGGCCUACCAUAGGACCUAACACAUGACCGUGUGGCUCUGUUCGCUGAUUUUCAAGUUUCUCGUUACACUUCUGAUUCUAUUUUAACACGAAAGCAGCCACAAGAUAACCAUUACCUAAUACGAAAACCAAAUCACCAAAUGAGACAAUUUUUCUCAAACCCGAUUUACAAAAUCAAUUUUACCAAUAACAAAGUUAAUGAUGAAAUUCAGUCCAAAUCUCCAACCUUGAUUCUUACCCUCAAGAAAAAGUAGUCCAAAUAACGAUUCUAAGUCGUCGAGUAACUAAUCGCCUUGUGAACUACACCUAAAACCAAAACAAUUGAUUAACAUCGAUAAAUCACACCAACCAGAACUCAACAUAAUCGAAGCUAACGAAGGCAAGAUUCCAUAACAGAAGAGAAGUAGGCAAUACUUAUGCACGAAUCAAAUUACACUUAACAUAGCAGAGUAUCCACCACCGAUUUGGAAAGGCAUAAAGAACAACAUUCAAGAAUGAACAAAAGAUUGAGAAAAGAACAAGAGCAGGAAAAAGAAACGAAAAUUGAGGGCCUUCUCUACUAAAAUCCACGUGAAAGAAAAGAAAGUAAUAAAGAAAAAAAAAUAGAACCAGAAAGCAAAAAAAUCGAGAACAUGUAAACAAAUGGGAGCAAAAAUUGGGGAUUGAAAUUAUUUUAAUCAAUUAAUUCCCUGCCAUUUAAAAAAACAAUAAAAUAAAAUAAAUAUCUUAAUAACCACCCACUAAACUUAGAUAAGUACCCAGAUUCUUUUCAAGAAUUUGAAUUUAAUCUAAACUUAUCCACUUGAAUAACACAAAGCAUAAAAUAUUUCGCUUGCUUGCAUGGAAGCUUGAAUACAUGACCAAUGAGUACUCAAGAAUUUAACCACUAAACCAGUAAAUUUAUUCUUGUCAUAGAUUUAAUGAUAAUAAUAUUUAAGCUGGAUAAACAGAGAUAGACUUAGAAACAAAAAUAAUUGAAAUUUUCUAAAGAAGUGCAACUUAAACCCAAGACCUCAAACUCACAAGACACUUCACCACUAAAACAAACACUUUCUAAUGACAAAUUUUAUCAAAUUAUGUAUACGAAAUUUGGGGUGUUACACGGAAAGUGGAGGGAUGGGAGGAAGGAGUGAACAAGUGGAAAAAAAAUAAAUUUUGAGUAUGCUUAAUUGAAAAGAAAGUGAGAGGAAAGAAGAUAAGAGAAAUGAUCAUUUUCCAUUCCAAUGAAUAAAAAUGAAUCAUUCCAAAUUGGAAAGAUGAGAUGAAAGAAAAUGAGAAAUAUGUGUAUGAUAGUUUAAAAGAAUGUAUUUUUGAAAUGAUUUAUUUUCUUUCAUUUCAUUUUUUCAACUCUACCAAACAAUGAAUGGAACUGGAGUAAAAAUUAAAAGUAGAAAACUAGAAGAAUGAAAAAAUAAUUUUUAUUUUUAUUUUUCUAUUUUUCCUACCAAACACAUCUAUGAAAUUUUCCACCCGUUAAAUCUUCCAUUCUUUCAAUUUUUGUUACAGUCUAGAAAGCAAAACUUUAAUGUUGAAAAUUUAAUUCCAUAGCAGAUAGAUUACGAAGUGAAACUAAACGCUAAAAUGAUUAUAUUAUGAAUAUGAAAUCUCCAUUAAUUCUGAAACUGUAUUACCAAUGGAGAAGUAUUGAUUUCUAAUUGUAAAAAUGUGAAGAGAACAGGUUUACUUUUACAAGUAAGAAUUUUUUGAGCAUCCUUCAUAUUUUUACAAUUAAAAGCCAACUCCAUAGUCAAUUUGCUUUGAGAAUGAACUGUGUAUCUUCAAGACUUCCAGCUUCAGUACAGAUUAAGUUGAGCAUUGGAUGAACUUGCCAAGGCUUCUCAGACCAUUGCACUUCUUCCACUAUAUUCAGCAUUUCUUGAAAAUAUUCAUGCAACACUAUUGGUAACAUGGAUUUCUGACAUUAGAAAAGUAGCAAAAUUUGUGGAACUUUGAUAGCCCCAUUGACAAUAAGGAAUGAUGGGUUCCAUUCUUCUUAUUAAUCUCCCUUUUUUCCCCUUGAUUAAGCACUGGUUAUUUGAAAGCAAAACACAUAGUUGGAUUAGAUUGUAAAAUUAGCACCUAAAAACAUAAUUUUCAUUUUAGCACAGGGUGAUUUAGAUGAAACAACUCUAAUUUUUAAAACAAAUGCUGAACACACAUUAACUGAAAGGAACAAACCUGAAGAGGCAAGGAAGCUCAACCAAGACCACUGUGAUCUAUUUGUCUCAACAUUAAACAAUUAAAGAAGAUUAGAUAGAAACUUAGAGAACACUUCCAAAGAUAUAAGCUUUCUUCAAUUCAUCAAACGAUUACAUAAAUUUCUUAAAUUGCAAUCAAACAUAACAAACCUUAUACUUGACUAAAAGUAAACCAGCUUCCCCAUCAUUUAGGCUUCUCUACCAAGCAAUGUUUCAAAUGUUAUAAGGCUCAGCAUGGAACUCAUGGAUAGGUUUUAGGAGGCCUCUCUGAUACAGAAACAAUAUGAAGUGCAUUAACAGAUCAACAACUCCUAUUGGUAGGAAAUUCAAACAUCCUUAGUUUAAGAAAAUUACAUUUUAAUAGAUCAAAUUCAGUAUAGAAUAUCUUUACCUUGUUCUUAGCUUGGCGCCUUUGACUUGUCAGCCAUCUUACAAUACGAUUCAAUUGCUUUAACUCACCCUCUGGGGUUCGAUACCUCAAAAACUUUUAACGCCAAUGACAAGAUAACAAAUAAUUUAACAAGUAAAUGAAAUUGAAAUGCAUACCUUAAAACUCCUUUUUGGUACAAAAGUAAAAACACAUUUUACAGAAAAGAAAGCAAGGAAAAAUCCAAAUAUAGAAGUACAACAAUGUUGAAAUCCCAAGAAAAGAUAAAAGAACAUAAAAAUUAACAAACACAAGCAACUAAGUAGACAAAUAAUCAGUCUAACACAUAGAAAUAACUUAAUCCCUCAAUGCUAUCAUAGAGUGAAAUUGUUGGAAGGGUCUGCUUCUGCUGUUAGUUCUGCUGUUGAGAGACUUGCAAAGAGAUAUCCUAGUACACAAGGGCAAAUGAGUGAGCAAAGAGUUUACGUAUUAUAUAUAGAACAUGAUUCAUCGAGGAUGAAUCUUAUAUAUAUAUAUGGUUAAAAUACAAAAAUGAAAUUAAAUAUGGAGUUAAACACAUACCAAAAGUAAGUUAAUAACCACAAGCAUACUCAUCGUUCGAUGAUGUUUAGAAACCUUUGUUUGAUCUUCUUUAGCUCAAACACAACAUCCUUCAUAUCUUUUCUUUCUUCUGGCAACUCAGCUGAACAAUCCAAAGCUAACUCCAUGAUAGAAGAAAUACAAUUUGUGUUGGUGCAAGAGGCAGCAGCAAGCUGAUUUCAGCUUUGCUUAAACAGCAAGUCUCGAGGCUUGCAGCAGAAACAAUCAAGGAAGAAAAACUUACAAUGGAAAACAGAAAAGAAAGAGAGAGAUUUGAAUGAAAAUGAGCUAAAUUUUCAUUAACAUUUUUAAGAAGGCAUGAUGCCAAUACAUAUAAGGGAUUACAAUAGCAAAACAAACAAGUUACCACCUAAUAACUUACCUAACACCACAAAUUUGCCUAGUAACUUGGUAAACUUGUUUGAAUACAUAAACAGCUACCUAAACUUGUCAUUCAUGACUUAAUUACAUCAAAAUGCAGCUACCAACUAAGUUUGAUCCUAACUAAAUACAAAACAUUCAUUUAAAGAAACUAAAUGAAUAGCUUCAGCUUGCUGCACCAAUUUGCUGUUGAAGCACGUUCCCUGCAUGGCCACCUUUGCUGCUGCAUGGGAGCUGACUUCAACACUCCUCCUCAGCUUUUAUGCAGCAGACUCCUAGUUCCCUCUUUAGGCUUAGAAAUCUUGAUACACCAAGAGACUUUGUGAAGAUAUCAGCAAUCUGAUUUUCAGAGCUGCAAUGAAUCAGCUCAAUUUCUCGAGCUUGUUCCAUCUCCCUUAUCACAUGUAGUUUAAUAUCGAAGUGUUUUGUCCUACCAUGGAAGACAGGAUUUUUGGCAAUAGCAACUGCUGACUUGUUGUCACAAUGUAUCACAGUUGCUUCAUUCUGCUGUAGGUUUAAAUCACUCAAAAUUUUUCUCAGCCACACAGCUUGAUUAACAGCAUUAGCAGCUGCUACAUACUCAGCUUCAGCUGUUGACUGAGCCACCAUUGUUUGUUUUCUUGAGCUCCAACAAAUCAUUGCAGAGCCAAGUGUAAAAGCAUAACCAGAGGUGCUCUUCAUGUCAUCUUUUGAACCAGCCCAAUCGCUAUCUGUAUAGCCAAUCAAUUUCAACUCCUUGACCCUUUUGAAACAUAUACCAUGGUUCAAGGUACCUUUGAUAUACCUCAGAACCCUUUUUCCUGCUUUGUAAUGCUGCUGAUUACAGCAAUGCAUGAAUCGUGACAGCAUGCUCACAGCAAAUAGAAUAUCAGGUCUUGUUGCUGUCAAAUACAACAAACAGCCAAUAAGGCUUCUAUAAUCUGUUUCACAGACAGAUUCAUGUUCCUCUUGGCUCGAUAGCUUCAUGCCAAUAGCCAUUGGUGUGCUCAUUGGUUUACAAUUCUCCAUUGAGAAUUUAGCCAGCACUUUCAAGGCAAAUGUCUUUUGUUUCAAGAGGAUUCCUCCUUCUACUUGAUUGACUUCUAAGACAAGGGCUCUAGAUACCAAUAAUUUGCUUUAAUAACAAAAUUAUCAUCCUCUCUUCUUAAUAAAUCAGCAUCCACAAUGUCUAUCAUUCCUUCAGAUAAUAAUCUUUUCACCCAAUGCCUUAUGGUCAUUUCAUCACCAAAAAUUUCAUCUGUUGGCCUUUUCCUAGUGAAAGUUUCUAUGAGGACAAUUCCAUAACUAUAGAUGUCACAUUUUAUAGAAACAAUUCCCGUUGAUCCAAAUUCUGCAUUUUAAGCAUAAGUAAUCCUGGAUUAUUUCUAAUAUGUUUACCACUAUAUAUAGACAUACACAAAAAAUAAUCAUUAAUUAAAAAAACUCAAAAAUUCACCUGGUGCCAUAUAACCAAUAGUUGCAAGAGUCAUGGUUUGCUUCACUACAUCACCUUCUCCCAACAAUUUCGCAAUGCCAAAAUCUCCCACAUGAGCAACCAUGUCUUCAUCUAGUAGAAUAUUGCUUGGUUUUAGGUCACAAUGAAUUACAGGUGUUGGAUGUCCAGUGUGGAGAUAUUUUAGAGCAGCCGCAACAUCUACCAUUGUGUUGAUCCUUUGUAUGAUAUCAAGGAAACAACUGUUUGAAUGUAACCAUUUCUCAAGAUUUCCAUUAGACAUGAAAUCAAGCACCAAGGCUUUGAAGUCAACAUUGGAGCAGCAAGUAAUGACCUUGACAAGAUUACGAUGAACUAUGUUACGCAUAGCUUCACAUUCAAUGUCAAAGCUCCUAAAUGCUCCUUCUAUUUGCAAAUUGAAAACUUUUAUUGCAACUUCCAUUCCAUCCGAAAGCCUCCCUUUAUAUACAUAUCCAAAACUUCCUGAACCAAGCAUAUUGUGCUCCUCAAAUCCACUAGUUGCCCGUGAAAGUUCGGCAUGUGAAAUUCUUCUCCAUGUUCCCAAACAUAGUGAAUCAUCCGUAAUUGGUAGAGUUGUACUCCUAAUUCGGAAUCUUCUAUAUAUAAUAACUAAGACUAGUAGUAACAUGACAAUACAAAUUAUUGGUAAACCGUACCUUAAAUCAUGCAAUACACCCAUCUUGGAAUUUUUGCGGAUGUCAUUUUUGCAAGGUGGGACUAGCAAUCUUGGUGGACCACAAAGUGCAUAAUUCUUCAUGAAUGAUGUGCUUGGAAAGUUUGGAAAACAUCCUUUGCUAGGAAUUUCCCCUUCAAGUCUAUUGAAGGACACAUUAAAAUACUUUAGAUAUAAAAGCUUUUCCAAAGAUUUGGGAAUAACUCCAGAGAGAUUGUUAUUGCACAAAUUCAAAAAUGUCAAACUAAUCAAACCACCAAAUGAUUCGGGGAUAUGACCAUGUAUAUUAUUUGAUAAAUCUAAGAAAACCAAAGUUUCAAGACCCCCAAAUGUGGACAAGAUAUCUCCUGUGAAAAGAUUCCUUGAUAAAUUUAGUUUCAGCAGACUCCUCAAAUAUCCAACAUCAAGAGCAUGUGAACCGUUAAGGUAAUUUGAUGAUAAAUCUACUUCUAAGAUAUCUUUAAGUUUCCACAAAGUUGAGGGUAUUGCCGAACUCAAUUUGUUGGAAUUUAAAUAAAGAUAUCUCAAAGAAGUAAUAUUACCCAAACAAGAGGGUAUGGAUCCAUCCAGCUUAUUCAACCCUAAAAACAUCUCGUAUAGUCUCUCCAAACCACAGAGGCUUUUUAAGAUAGGUCCUCCUAAUUUAUUAGAGUAAAGAUCUAGACCUUGGAGAUUUUUCAUUCCUCCAAUUGAUGUCGGAAUAAAACCACUUAAUUUAUUAUGGCCAAGUUGUAAAAGUAAUAGGUUGCUUAAGUUACCUAUUUCUAUUGGAAUAUUGCCUUUAAGCUCACAAUCAGUAGCGUAAAAGUAUAUAAGGGAUGCUGAAAGGUUCCCAAUAUUAGUAGGAAGAGUGCUAUUCAAAGCAUUUUCUAAAAUAUCUACUCUUGUCAAAUUCUUGCAAUUUGUCAAAGAAGAAAGAAAGGCCCACUCAUGAUUUAUAGUAGAUCCCAUGGUCAAAUAGUUGUUUGUUAUUCGGAACCAUUCAAGGUGUCGUAAGUUACCAAACGUUUCAGGAAUUGGGCCAGAGAAGAAGUUAUCUCCCAAGUCUAGAACCUUAAGCAUGGAAGCAUUCAAGAUAGAGUUGGGAAUGUUUCCGAGAAGUUUAUUUCGACGCAACGAAAGAAAAUUCAGCUUUGGAGCCUCGAUCAUGGGUGGCAAGGUACCUGUAAAAGUUUCAUCUUUUAGUGUAUAUAUAUAUUCUCAUUCAAUACCAAAUUCUCGAUAUAUAUAUUACACAAAUACAUUUUUAAAAGGAAAAAUGUAAAACUUCAAAUCAAAUAAAAAUAAAAUUUUCACAUGGAAAAAUGCAAUUAAAUCAAUCUUAAAAAUGACACAUAAUAAGAAGUUCUGAAUAGUAAUUAGUCACUUAUGAUUUGUAUUAAAUAAUAAAAAUAAAUAAAACCAUUUUUAAUAAAGGGUGCAUAAAAAAUUAAAAUAAAAUUUUGAUUAAUUGAUAAAUUUAAGGUUUUAUUAUUGAUGUGAGUUCAAAUCUCACCAUAAUUUUUUUUUACUUUUUUUAAAUAAAAAGUAUUAAAUACCUUUAAAUAAUAAAAUUUAUUUUAAAUACAAAAGGAUAUUAUUAUAAUUGCUCUAAUCGAGUUUGUGCUUGGUUAACUCAUGACACUUAACCAAGCACCAACUUAAUUAGAAACUUAAAUUACAACAUAGAUAUUCACAUGCACCAAAAAAAGUAAAAAAAAAAAUUAGUUUCUAAUAACAAAUUUUAAUGAUUUAUAUAACAAGUAACUUUCUAAUUCACAUAAUUUUUUUAUAAAUAAUAUAUUUAUAUAAUCUAAUCUAUUAUAUUUAUAUUAAUUAUAUAUCAUCAAUGAAUCAUCAGUAAAUUUUUAUGAUCAAUUUACUGAUUAUUAAGUAAGAGUAAAAAAUUAAAUUAAAUAAUGAAAAACUAUUUUUUACAUUUGGUACAUAUGCUUUAUGAUGAUAAUUAAAAAAAAGUAUUAACACUAUUUCUGAAUUAACAAAAAUAAUUAAUAUAUUUUAAUUAUAUUUAUUAUUUAUUAUUUUGAAUAAUAUUGCUUUUUUUAAUUACAUGAAAUAAAAACAUAUUAUAUAUUAAAUAUGAUACAUAUGCUUUAAUUAUGGCUUAAAUUUUAUUAAUAUAUUUGAACUAUUAAAUAAACUAAAAUAUUUUAAUUAUGUUUAGCCGUGUGAAUAAAAAACUAAUUAAAAAAUUAUUUAAAAAAUUAAAUGUGUAAAAUCAAGUGGAAUAUCAUAAUCUAUGUAUAUGAAUGUAUAAUGUGAGAAAUGAUUAUAUGAAAUUGAGAUAUCAUGCCAUUUGUGUUUCUAGUAAUUUAAUGUCAUUUCAUUAUUUUCAUCUUAAAUUUCAGCAUAUCAUGUUGGAUUUGAUUUUUUUUUUCAAGAGAAAAAUGUUGAAAUGACAUUAAAUCAUUAAAUUAUUAAAAAUGAAUACAAAUGACAUGGUAUCCCAGUUUCAUACAAUCCCUUUUCAUGUAUAUGUAAUAUGUGGUUGUUUCAAUUUUUAAAAUAAAAUAUAUUUUCCACAUUGGUUUCUUUUCUUCCAAAGAUUAAGUAUUUCUAAUAUUUUUAUAUUUGUUGCUUAUAUAAAAUAGAUUAGUUUAUGCAAUAAAAAUUUAAUUACUUUUUUUAAGCUUAAUGGAAAUUAAAAGUUUUAAAAUAAAUCAAUUCAAAUAAAUUUUAUUGUUUAUUAUCAAAUUAAUAAAUUUUAAUGAAGUAUAUGAUCAAAAAAGGAGAACAAAUGAAAGUGAAAAACAUACCUUCCAAAUUGUUGUCAUAUAGAUAUAUUCCUUCGAGCAUAGUUUAAUUAAGGGUCAGUUCUUCAUUACUUUUGAAAAGUGUUUUUGAAAAGUUUAGUUUCAAAUUUGAGUGUUUAGCAUUGCUGUCAAAAAGUAGUUUUCGGAAAUAAAAUGUCCAUUUUAGACAUGUUAUUAUCAAGUAACAAAUAUGCAUUUAAAUAAUAUUUAAAUUAGUUAAUAUUAUUAUAUUUUAGUAAGAAUAUAAAAAAAUAUUAUAACUUGUUGUUAAUAUUUUAAUAUAUGAAAUAUAAAUUUUAAAUAUUUUUAAGAAAUAAAUAUUAAUUAUUUAUAAAAUUUAAUUAGAAUAUAUAAACUAUAUUUUAAAUAUUUAAAUACAACCAUUAAAUAUUUGUAAUUAGUAUUUUAAAAAAUAUUUUUUAUUUUUAAUUAAUGAUUUUAACACAUUUGUAAUUAAGCACCAAGAAAAAAAAGGAAAAUACUAUGUUAUUGGAGGGUUGAAAAAGUAAUUAAGCACCAAAAGUGCUUUUGAGGAAGGAAAAGCUAAAAUUUUUAGCUUCUCCUUCUCAACUCCUUUUGAGAAGUGCUUUUCAAAAGUACUUAUGAAAAGCUAAAAAUGAGACUAACACUGAAUAAUAAUUAGUUAUGAUUUGGGAAACAAAAAUGUUAAAGCCAUUAUUUAUCUUUAUUAAAUUAUAGUGUAAAAUUUAAAGAUUAUUAUCUUCUCAAUUUUUUUUUUAUUUUUCGUAUAUUUGAAAUUUAAUCUUUAUAUUUUUUAUUUUCUAUGAUUUAGUCUCUCUACUUUUUGAAUUGAAAAUUUUAGGUUCAUUUAUUAAUACAGUAAAAAAAGUUUUUGUGUUAGUAUGGCAUUUUGAAAAAUAAAAUAAACUUGAUAUCUAUGUUUUUAAUUAUUCCAAAUAUUGUUUUAUUAUUUCAAGAUAAAUUAUUUGUGUCUAGACCAAUUUCUUAAGAACUAUUGUUGCAUGUUUAAUUAUUCAAAAGAAUUGUUGAUUGAGUCUUAGCUUGAUUGGCAUGUGCAUUGUUACCAAUGUAGGAGAAUGUGGGUUCAAGUAUGUUGAAGUGUAUUAUUCUCUUGUUUAUAAAUUGGGGAGUUGGUUAAGUAUUAAAUUUUGAUAUAUUUUAAAAUAUUAAAAAUUUUUUAAAAUAUUUUUUAAAAAAAUUGAUUGUACCACAAUAUACAAUUUUAAUAUAAAUUUUUUAAUUUUUAAAAAAAAAUAUUAGCGACUAUAUACCUUAUUUCAAGUUACACAGUUUUUACUAGUUUUUAACUUUUUUUAAAAAAAAUUUAUCGUCUUUUAUAAUUUCUAAUAAUUUUUUAUAUUUUUGCAAUAUUUAAAAAUUUCUACCAAUUUUUAAUAAUUUUAUUAUUUUUUUAUUUUUACACAAUUAUAUAUUUAUAAUGUAGUUAUUUUUUUAUAUAACUUUACUUGAAAUUUUAAAGAUUUUUUUGGUUUUUUUCUAGAUGAUGAUGCCAUCAUGAUGUCAUCAUAUACCACAUGGCAAUUUAUGAUUAGUUGGAUAUCUCAAUCUAAUUUUUAAUGUCGAAUGGACUAAACUAAGAACACCUGAUAAUGUUAGAGACUAUACUAGCAAUGUUUGAUAAUAUUAGGUACUAAAGUGAGCAAAUAAAUAUUAAGGACCAAAGUAAAAAAAAAAAAAAGCAAUAUGUUGUAGGGAAUAAACUGUGCAUUAAGCCAUUAAAAAUAUAUCUAUAAUAUAUUUAAAUGCAUGGAUUUUGAGAAGCUUUUGAACUGAUAAUUAUAUAGUCUUUGUUGUUUACUAUAUUAUUGAAUUUGUUAUUUUAAAUAUUUUUUUUACUUUUAAGAUUUAUCUAAGAAUUUUGGUUUUACUAAAAUAUUUGGUUAAGUAAAUUCACUUCAUAAGAAAAUUUAGCAUCCUUAUAAAUAACAAUUUUGAUUCUAUUAAAAAUAUUAUUUUAAAAAAUAUAUAACAAUAAAUUAAAAUUUAUAUUGAAUUACUUUAUACUUCAAUUAUUAUUAGAAACUUUAUCAUACACAUACGUGUAUGAGAAUCACGUAUUUAGAACAUAAAUUUAUGUUUUAAAAUAACUUAUGAUAAAUAAUGAAAUGUAUAAUUUGAAACUAUUUAAUAAUAACACAUGGCAUAUCUACCAUAUUAAAAUAAAAAUAGAUUAAAUUGUAAGUAAAACAUAAUUUAAACAUAUGAAUACAUCUAAUUAAGAAUACUAAAUGAAUACAGUUAUUUAUGAUGAUGUUGUUGUCGAUUCCUAAGUUGGUGUCGAGUUAAUUUGUAACAUCAUCAAUUUCAGUGAUAAAUUUAAGGUUUUAUGUAUUGAUGUGGAUUCAAAUAUCACCAAUUUUUUAAAUAAAAUUUAAAAUAAAUAUAUUUUCCACAUUGGUUUCUUUUCUUCUACCGACAAAGGAUUUCUAAUGAUUUUAAAAAAAAUUUUUCUUAUAUAAAAUAGAUUAGUUUAUGUAAUAAAAAAUAAUUUCUUUUUUAAAGUUUAAUGGAAAUUAAAAAAAAUCAAUUCAUAUAAAUCUUAUUGUUUAUUAUCAAAUUCAACACAAUGUUUUUGGAGUUUGGAAAAAAUUAAAGUGAAAAACAUACCUUUUAAUUUGUUGUUAAAUUAAAAAAUUAAAAAUAAAUCAAUUCAUAUAAAUUUUAUUGUUUAUUAUUAGAUUAAAAUGAUAAAAGUAUAUGACAUAAAUAGAAGAAACAAAUUCAACACAAUGUUUAUGGAGUUUGGAAAAUAUUAAAGUGAAAACCAUACCUUCUAAUUUGUUGUCAAAUAGAACUAUUACUUCGAGCGUAGUUGAAUUAAAAAUACUUGAUGGAAUCUUACCUGCACACAUAGUCGAAAAAUCAAGGUGUCAAACUGCCUAUUUUGUUAGCAUAAGUUAAAGAGGUGUUCUUUUCUGUUCUACAGUAAUUUGGAGAUGUUACAUUUUAAUAUAUUUCAGCAUAUGUUUUUCAUCAAAUGAAAUAAAAACUUUUUCCUUCUGUAAUCUAUUACAAAUCGAACUAUUUUAUUAAAAAAAUACUUUGAAUUCAAGAUAUCAAAGAAAUUGAUUACCUUCUAGAUUAUUAAAUCCCAAAUAUAAUUCUCUGAGUUGUGUCAGAUUUCCAAUACUUCUUGGAAUGAUCCCCGUCAAUUGAUUCAAGGACAAGGACAAAAUUUUAAGGUUGCUGCACUUGCCCAUACUUGACGGAAUGUUACCAGAUAACUCAUUUCUAUCUAAGUAAAGCCCUUCAAGCUUGGGAAGAUGUUGACACAUAUCAUUAUGAAAACUACCUGAUAGGCUAUUGUUGGAGAGAACAAUGGUCUUCAGAGAAGAAAUGUUGAAGAUCGAAGUUGGAAUCUGACUUGUAAGGCCUUUAAUUGCUUGAAUAUUAAGCAAUUCCAAACCAUGAAGAUUACCGAUUUCCUCAGGAAUUUGACCUGCACACAUAGUCGAAAAAUCAAGGUGUCAAACUACUUAUUUUGUUAGCAUAAGUCAAAGAGGUUUUCUUUUCUGUUCUACAAUAAUUUGGAGAUGUUACAUUUUAAUAUAUUUCAGAAUAUGUUUUUCAUCAAAUGAAAUAAAAACUUUUUCCUUCUGUAAUCUAUUACAAAUCAAACUAUUUUAUUAAAAAAAUACUUUGAAUUCAAGAUAUCAAAGAAAUUGAUUACCUUCUAGAUUAUUAAAUCCCAAAUAUAAUUCUCUGAGUUGUGUUAGAUUUCCAAUACUUCUUGGAAUGAUCCCCGUCAAUUGAUUCAAGGACAAGGACAAAAUUUUAAGGUUGCUGCACUUGCCCAUACUUGACGGAAUGUUACCAGAUAACUCAUUUCUAUCCAAGUAAAGCCCUUCAAGCUUGGGAAGAUGUUGACACAUAUCAUUAUGAAAACUACCUGAUAGGCUAUUGUUGGAGAGAACAAUGGUCUUCAGAGAAGAAAUGUUGAAGAUCGAAGUUGGAAUCUGACUUGUAAGGCCUUUAAUUGCUUGAAUAUUAAGCAAUUCCAAACCAUGAAGAUUACCGAUUUCCUCAGGAAUUUGACCUGCACACAUAGUCGAAAAAUCAAGGUGUCAAACUACUUAUUUUGUUAGCAUAAGUCAAAGAGGUUUUCUUUUCUGUUCUACAAUAAUUUGGAGAUGUUACAUUUUAAUAUAUUUCAGAAUAUGUUUUUCAUCAAAUGAAAUAAAAACUUUUUCCUUCUGUAAUCUAUUACAAAUCAAACUAUUUUAUUAAAAAAAUACUUUGAAUUCAAGAUAUCAAAGAAAUUGAUUACCUUCUAGAUUAUUAAAUCCCAAAUAUAAUUCUCUGAGUUGUGUUAGAUUUCCAAUACUUCUUGGAAUGAUCCCCGUCAAUUGAUUCAAGGACAAGGACAAAAUUUUAAGGUUGCUGCACUUGCCCAUACUUGACGGAAUGUUACCAGAUAACUCAUUUCUAUCCAAGUAAAGCCCUUCAAGCUUGGGAAGAUGUUGACACAUAUCAUUAUGAAAACUACCUGAUAGGCUAUUGUUGGAGAGAACAAUGGUCUUCAGAGAAGAAAUGUUGAAGAUCGAAGUUGGAAUCUGACUUGUAAGGCCUUUAAUUGCUUGAAUAUUAAGCAAUUCCAAACCAUGAAGAUUACCGAUUUCCUCAGGAAUUUGACCUGCACACAUAGUCGAAAAAUCAAGGUGUCAAACUACUUAUUUUGUUAGCAUAAGUCAAAGAGGUUUUCUUUUCUGUUCUACAAUAAUUUGGAGAUGUUACAUUUUAAUAUAUUUCAAAAUAUGUUUUUCAUCAAAUGAAAUAAAAACUUUUUCCUUCUGUAAUCUAUUACAAAUCAAACUAUUUUAUUAAAAAAAUACUUUGAAUUCAAGAUAUCAAAGAAAUUGAUUACCUUCUAGAUUAUUAAAUCCCAAAUAUAAUUCUCUGAGUUGUGUCAGAUUUCCAAUACUUCUUGGAAUGAUCCCCGUCAAUUGAUUCAAGGACAAGGACAAAAUUUUAAGGUUGCUGCACUUGCCCAUACUUGACGGAAUGUUACUAGAUAAUUCAUUUCUAUCCAAGUAAAGCCCUUCAAGCUUGGGAAGAUGUUGACACAUAUCAUUAUGAAAACUACCUAAUAGGCUAUUGCUGGAGAGAACAAUGGUCUUCAGAGAAGAUAUCUUGAAGAUGGAAGAUGGAACCUGACCAGAUAAUUGAUUGAGUCCCAAGUUCAAGAUCUCUAGAUUAGAUAUGUUAACAAGUGUUUCAAGGAUUGUGCCUGUAAAGUAAUUAUUUUUCAUUUGCAGCCUUUGAACUCUCUGUAAGUUCCCAAGCCAUGAUGGAAUUUCCCCAUUCAGACGGUUGUAGCUUAAUUGAAGGAUCCUCAAACGAUGCAAUUGGCCCAAUUCUUUAGGGAGAUGGCCAUAGAAAUGGUUGCUACUCAAGUCGAGAGAGAGUAGAAAUGAAAGAUUUCCAAGAUGUGGAGGGAUAGUACCCCUAAGAUUCAUGCUUGUAAGAUUCAAAGCUGUAACUCUUUUAUGGAGGAUGCCACAAGAGACACCAAUCCAAUUGCAAGCAGAGGUUGAGGCCGUCCAAUUGUUUGCCAAGACAUUUUGAGGACCGGCAAUGCGAUCCUUAAACUCGAGAAGUGCAAACUGAUCGGAGUUGAGAUUCCUGACCGUCAUAGCCAAGCAAAGUACGGAACAUGGUAUGAAUAAAGCUAAGAGAAUAUGAAAGCAAGUUUUGCAGUUCAUGAUUGCAAGACGGAAUAAGGCAAGAAAAUAAAAAAAGUAGGAAAAGGGAAGUUGAGUUGAUAAAAUAGUUUGGAUGAUGAAGAAAAGCCUAGAGAGCAUGCUUUAAUAUGUUUCAACCCUCGCACACUUGAUAAACUUGAUAAAAAUAUUUUGAUCUAAUAAAUGUAAAAAAAUUUAAACAAAAUAAGGUUCAAAUAAUCUAUUUGUCCUUAUAUUUUGAUAAAAUUUGAGAUUAGUCCUUAUACUUAAAAGGUUAAAAAUAAAGUUUUCUUUUUUAUUUAAAAAUCUUAGUCCUAUCGUUAAUUUUUUUUUGGUCAAAAUUUGUCAACUGUACAUAUUAAUUAGGUUUCCCUUAUAUGUCGUUGUAUAUGACUAACACAAAAUAAGCAAGUUGACAAAUUAUGACAAAAAGUAUCAAAGAUGAUAAUAAUUUGAUUAAAAUUUUUAAAUUGAAUUAAUAACCUUUAACAUAUAAGGAAUGGAUAUCAAAUUUUUAUAGGAAAAAAGGGACUAACAACAUAUUUUAACCACAAAAUAAUACGAGUGAUUAGAAUGAAUCUAAAAUUUUAUAGAAAUAAAAGAGACUAACAACAUAGUUAUAACUUUGAAAAUUAAAAU
rnacentral:lncRNA from 1 species